ACCCCAAAACUGUCAGAGCCCACGACGUGGCACGUAGUGCCACGACGUGGCAAGUCUCCUGACACCUCCGGGAGUCCCCCAGAUGCAACUUGCGAUGACGCAUGCAGUGACGACCAAGCCCACGACGUGGAAAAAGGUUGCCACGACGUGGCAAGGGCCAAAUUUGCCCUAUAAAUAGAUUUGAAGGGCCAGCCGUUUAGGGUUGCUAUUUUCUCUCUUCUCUCUCCCGUUUUGCAUCGAUUUGCGUGCCAGAAAUACCCCGAAGCCCCGGUAUUAUUCUCGAGCCCCGAGGCAAGUCCCGAGAUCCCGAAGAUCCCGAGAAGUGCGGUUCCCGAGCCGAAGCUCUGCCCGCGAGAAGUUCGAUUUUUGUGGAGAUCUUCCAGAUCUGCUGAGGAUUACUACUUCUGCAAGUCGUAGUGCUGUCCGAUCAUCUUCUGAUCAAGUGAGUGUAUACUACCUUUCAUAAACACGAUAAUAAUACAAGUAUGGUUUGAGUGUAUUAAGUAUAUUGUUGUUUAUAUGUGUGAGUGUGUAGUUACUUUCUUCUAACACAUAAAUAUUAAGUAUUUUCUAUAAAAUACGUGCUAUGUGUAUAAUAUAAAGUUGUUUAUACGUGUGGGUGUAUAGUCCCUUUCAUAAACACGGGUAUAAUACAAGUAUUGUUUGAAUGUAUUAAGUAUAUGUUUGGGAGAGUGUGUGGUUACUUUCUUCUAACACAUAAAUAUGAAGUAUUUGUUAUAAAAUACGUGCUAUGUGUUUAUAUAUUGUUGUUUAUUUGAGAUGAGUAUGGAAUGAAUGUUUUAUAUAGUUUUUAAAUGAGUUAAACUGUAUAUGUAUUUUAUAUCUACAAAUAUGUUGGGUAGAACAUGGGUAGAUGAGAUAGUUGGUAUGUGAUAAAAUGAUGAGGUAUGAAAGAUGAUUAAGAAUGAUAUUGGUAGAUGCACCAAUUAAGGAAUGUCAUAAAACUAGCAGAUGCGCUUGAGAAUAAUAUCGGUAGAUGCACCAAGUAGUAAAUGUCGUGAUCUUGGCAGACGCGCCAAAUAGAGAUUGUCGUAACAAUAGUAGAUGCGCUUAUAGGGUAAUCUUGGCAGAUGCGCUUAUAGGAUAAUCUUGGCAGAUGCGCUUAUAAGAUAAUGUCGGCAGAUGCGCCUAAAAAAGAAUGUCAUAAACCUGGCAGUCGCGCCUCAUAGUGUAUGACGUAAUCCUGGCAGAGGCGCUUAAAGGAUAAUAUUGGCAGAUGCGCCUUAUGUAGAAAUGGAAGUUUGUGCUAAUUCCUUAGGUCAAUCCUUAGGAAUGAAUGAAGGAAGGAUAGUUGAUUAAUAGGGUAAAACCUUAAGAAAAUAAAGAAGAUAAUGGUGAUGGGUAAUUGGGUUGAUUGUUUAAUGGUUGACUAUAAUAAUUAUAUUAUUGUGGGUCGAAAACCCUAUAUGCUCACCAGGCUCCCAAGCCUGACCCACUCAGUUUAAUUGUAUCACAGGUAUCGAUACGAAGCUGCUUUGCACUGAGAGAUUAAAGGAUAUGUAAAUCUUUAGUGUAAAUAAUGUAAGUUCUGUUUAUGCUUAUGUGUCUGUAUCGGAACAUGACAUCCCGAGAUUUUGUUAUAUAAUAAAAAUACAUUUCUUUAAAGAAAUGCUUUGAUAAAUCUUUAUCAUAUUUUGGGAACAAAUUCCGCAACUGUUUUCUUUAAAAUAUUAUUCUGAUUUUAAAAACAAGCAUAAACAAAUCGGUCUUUUCUGGCCGUGAAAUUGAGGAUGUCACAAUCUAUUAAUGCAAAUUUCGAAAUGUUUAAUGCAGAUUUGGUGAUCUUAUGUUAAAAAAAAUUCAUCAUUGUUACCUUAGUAUUUGUCUAUAUGAUAAAUUAAACUCAAAAAAUGUAAGGUAAAAUCCUUUUAAUUAUUGUUGGGUUGUUUGAUGAAGUUAAGGAAUAAGGUUUAUACAAAAUCCACUUAUAUUGGAGCUUUGAUGCCUUGAAGGUUAUGUGAUGAAGUGAUAUUCAUAUGAAACAUAUAAUUCAUGUAAUUAUUCUAUUAAUCAAGUAGUAAUUAUAUUCUAUUAAUCAUUCCAAAAUUAAGCAAGUUGAGAUCUAACCAUAAAUACUAACAUUAAAAAAAUAUACUAAAAUAAUUUAAAAAUCGGUUUAAUAACUGUCAUAAGUCAUACCAAAAAUAUUUUAAAUCAUAUCAAAAUUAUAAUAUUUUAAUUAAGAUAAUAUAAUACUAAAAAUAUUUUAAAUCAUACCAAAAAUAAUUAAAAACUGCUUUAUCAGUAGUCCUUAUUAAAAAAAACUAAUUAAAAAUUGUGUUUUUUUUUUAUUUCUUAAAAUUGGCAUCAUUUUCAAGGAUAAAAAAACUUGUAUUGGUUUUUUUGAAAAACAUGUAAGCAACAAAGUUGUAUUAAAAUCAUUAGUUGAAAAAUUAUUUUAAUAUUUUUUUAAUGUCAGUAUUUAUGGUUAGAUCUCAAUUUUCUUAAUUUUAAGUCAUACCAAAAAUAUUUUAAAUCAUACCAAAAUUAUAAUAUUUUAAUUAAGAUAAUAUAAUAUUAAAAAUAUUUUAAGUCAUACCAAAAAUAUUUUACAUCACACCAAAAAUAAUUAAAAACCUUUUUAUUAGUAGUCCUCACUAAAAAAUCAUUAAAAAUUGUGAUAUUUUUUUAUUUCGCAAAAUUGACAUCAUUUUCAAAGAUAAAAAAAAUUGUAUUGGAUUGAUUUUUUUUGAAAAGCAUGUAAGNNNNNNNNNNNNNNNNNNNNNNNNNNNNNNNNNNNNNNNNNNNNNNNNNNNNNNNNNNNNNNNNNNNNNNNNNNNNNNNNNNNNNNNNNNNNNNNNNNNNNNNNNNNNNNNNNNNNNNNNNNNNNNNNNNNNNNNNNNNNNNNNNNNNNNNNNNNNNNNNNNNNNNNNNNNNNNNNNNNNNNNNNNNNNNNNNNNNNNNNNNNNNNNNNNNNNNNNNNNNNNNNNNNNNNNNNNNNNNNNNNNNNNNNNNNNNNNNNNNUAUAUAUAUAUAUAUAUAUCAAGGUUGUAAAAAUCGCUCGUCGGUAGCUCGGCGGUCGACUAAGGUCAAGCGAUUAAUCGAUUUGGCGGGGAUUAAUCGGAGGAUUAAUCGGGGACCAAAGAUUAUUAAUAAAACUAUUUUAAAACUUAGUAUAUCCUAAGAACAAAUAGUAUUUGAAAAUUUAAAAUUUUGAAAUUUUGAAAUAGUUGGUAUAAUAUUUGAAAAUUUGAAUAUUUAAACAUUUAAAAUUAUGAUGUUUUGAAAAUUUUGGUGUAAUAUUUGAAAAUUUGAACAUUUUAAUUUUUUGAAAUCUUCCCGCCAAGAGCCGUCGAGGACCGCCUAGNUUUCAUAAAUAAAAAUGGAAAAAGUGAAAUAAAAUUAGAUUAUUUAUUAAUCUAUAUAGCAAAAUUUAUUUAUCUUAUUAUUAAAAUAGAACAACAAAGAACAUGAAACAGUUUCAGCACAACAGCCAUGGCCAGAUUCUAAUUGGUUAUUAGUGCAUAUAGCAAAAAAGUGCAAUAAAAUUAGAUUAUUUUAUUAAUCUAUAUAGCAUAAUUUAUUUAUCUUAUUUGCAUAAAAAGUUAUUAUUUUAUGAAACAUAAAAGGGUAUUGGAUCAACAGACAGUUUAUGAAACAAAGGUAACAUGAUUUUUUUUGUUGGAAUGGAGUUUCAGAUGUUUACCCCUUGAGGAAUAUCUUCCUAUGAUGCAAGUUCAUCAGAGGUAACAAAUCCAACAACUUCAACACAACCUGUGUUAAAUUCAAACAUAAAAUUUACAUUGCUUUUAGUGAUAUUACCGAAUGUAUAUUAAAUGAACAAAAAAAUAGAAAGAUGCAUCACCUAAUAAUCUUGAAACUGGAUGUGUUUUUCAAGUUCUGUAAUGAGAAAUGAUAAAAAAAACUGAGUGUGUAUACAUAAUUACAUAUAGACUUAAAAUAAAUGUAAUGUCAGAAACUUAAAAAUGGAGUAAAAUUAAGAGCUUACCACAAUCUAGUCCUUCUUUGUCAUCAGUGACUAUGUACUCAUGGCCCUGUGAUUCCAACCAGUUGCGAAUGCCUAAUGCAUUUUCUGCACAACCCAAGAAAUUGGGGUUCAUCUCAGCAUACUCAUGUGCCUUGUAGAAAACACCUACAAUCUUCUUUUUGCCAGAAGAAGCCUACAGAAGCAAUCAUUUCUCUCAUACUCAUCAUCUUUUACUUCUGUUUAAUCAAGGCCAUAAAAAUUAGAUCAUUUGUAAUUCCCUUACAUCAUCACUGCUUUGGAUCAAAUUAAGAUGCAACUGGUAAUUGUAAAGAAUUCAUGAACCUAAAAUUAAACUCAACACAAUUUUAGACAUGCUUUACCUGACAUGAUUGUGAAUAGCAAAGGAGACUGAAAUGUACAGAUGAAUAAGAAAUUCUCAGAAUAUGAAGCACUUUUGGUGGAACAUAAUAUGGAUUUCCUACGAUACCAUUAUCAGAAAACCCAAAAUCAAUAAGCUUCAUAUGAGAAUCUUAACUUUUUCACAUGAGAAGGAAGCUAAAAAGAAACAAUAAUAUAUGUACAUUUCCCAUUAACAAAUUAAACUCAUAAUUUGAAUAUAAAUUACCCGAUUGAGCAACAUGGAUCAACUUUUGCGACUGAGAUGCCGAUUAGGGUUCGUGGAGGGAAAAUGAAGCAUCUAUGUUGCUUCUUAACAAUGUUUUCCUCUUGGAGUACAUCUUCAUCAUCUGGAUACGUAUGUUCCGAUGUUAGAACAGACCGCAUGCAACUACAAAUCGACCCAUCUUAAGAAAAAACACAGAUUAAGAUUUUUUAGUAAAGUUAAUUGCCAUUACAAGUGUAUAAAGAAUACAUAGUUACAGAGGAGAUAUCAAAAUUGAAAAAAGUAGUGAUUAUCAAAUAAGUAGAUACCAUAUUUAUUAGACAGUCAUUCUUAUUUGGUGCACAUUCCCCUAUACGGCUCCAAUUGAUACCAAGGUCUUCAGGAGUGGAAGUGGCAUCAGAAAGCAACUGAAGGGCUUUAGCAAGAAGAUUAGGUGGGAAGAAAGACAAAGGUCCUGUAUGUGUUAGAGAAGCUGUCAGUAUAGAGAAAUCCAAAUACAGUAACCUGCAUAAAGAAAAAAGCUAAAUCUUAAAUCCGAAAAAUGAUAGAGUAAGUAGUGUUUGUUAAAUGAAAUUAAUAAUGAAGUUACAUGUGCAGAAAUCCAACUAUAUACAUGGAGAAAACAUGAACGCAAAACCGAUCUGUCAGCAAAAGCUAGAAAAUGUUAAUCCACCAACAUAUGGAAUGGAUUUAGGUUUUUUACAUAUAACUUGGAAAGAAAAACGACUCUUAAUUACCAUGUUUAAUUGGAAGAGAAAGAACACAAGAAACACAACUUCAAAGUUGUUGUUCAUGAAGAAAUCAACCCGAAUUUGAGAUAUAACUUCAUAUAUGUAAACAGAACCGAAUAUAAAAAUGACAGAGUUGUAUAUUUGAAAGGGAAAGAAGGAAGAGAAGUACUCACAGUUGGGUGAUGUGGCAAGUAGAAUUGGGGAAAUUACAGCCGCAUUUGCAUUUGAUGCCAGGAUCACACAUUGAAGGCAUUUUCUAGCGCUUCUAACCACAUAGCAUCCAUGCGUGUUAGUGGUUACCAUUUAGGGAAAAGAGAAAUAGACAUUGGAAUGGAGAUAGUAGUCACCGUUUGGGGAAGGGAGAAAGAGAUCAAUUCAGAAAUUACCCUGAAAGCACCAAAUCAAUCAUCAAUUUUUAAACGUAAACCACUUUCAAGUAAAUAGAGAUGUAGAGAAAGAGAGAGCGAUAGAAGAAACAAAAGGCGGUGAUGGAAGUAACUCACUGUUCGAGAUAGGGAAAGAGCAAGAAGAUAAUAGUCAGUGUGAAGGAAAGCAUCGAUGAAUAUAGUUUGGAACAACAAUGUGUAGAUACCUGUUCGGUGUUCAGGGCAUGAUUGUGCUUGUAGUUUCUGAUCUUCGUCGACAGAUGAUGACGGUUACAGAGGAUAAAUGACUUGGGAAAAGAAAUCGAUGAUGUUCAUUUGAAGAUGUCGAUGGUGGUUUUGUACAUUUUUAUGUGUGUGGUAACUAAUGGGGUGAAAUUAGUAAGAAAAGGGAGAGCUCGAUGAUAGCAAUUGUAGAUGAUGGUGGUGAUAACAUAUUUACUGAAAACAAAAGACAGAGAAUGUAUGAGAGAGGUCGUGAGGUUUGUGAGUUUGUAAUCACAGUAAACGGGGACACACCUCGCCAUAGGGAUCUCGAAUACAUGGUAAUUUGAAAUUAGGGUUUCCAUUUCAUUCUGAUGGCGAUCGAGAGAGAUAGAGAGAGAGAGAGAGGGAGAAAGAGAGAAAAGAGAGGAGAGAGACAAAGAGAGGCGAGAGAGAUCACUACAUCUUUGGUGGGGGAAGUCGGCAGCCGUGGACCUUCGGUGGGAGACGUUGGUGGAGAUCACUGCAUCUUUGGUGGAGACAAUGAGAAUAUGUUUGAUGGCGGCUGUGUUUAGGAGAUUAGGGUAAGGUCUGUGUAGUGUAAUACAUAUAUGAUCGGUGUAGUGUAAUACGUAUAAGAUUGGUUGUAUGCUUAAUAUUAUUGUACAUGAGGUAAUAUAUGUUGUAUCUCUUAAUUUUCAUGAAAUAAGCAAUAUCCUUAAUAAUAUAUAUAUAUAUAUAUAUACAUACCCAUGGAAUAGACUGGACUUGGACCUUUUUUUGGACCCUCGGGCCGGUUAUCAGUUCUAGGAUUUGAUCAAAACCGGUGCGGUCGGGUCCGGGAAAAAAAGUUUUGAACCUAAUUUUAAAAAGCUUUUCAAAUAUAUUUUCUAUUUAUCCCUGUCAUAUUGACGGUUUGACCGAAUAUGAAAUAUCUAUUGCGUCCUUUCUCGGGUUUAUCUACAUUUUGACGUAAUUAUUUUACGUUUCCGUGGUUAUUUUAUGAAGUAUUUUGCUUGACAUUGCUUUGGUCCCUGUUCUGUUGCUAUUGAAAAAAUUCUUUUUAAAUCCAUAUAAUUUUAAAUUAAUAUAAAAAUAACUUAUUUAGAUGUUUUCCAAUUUUAUUUAAAAAUAGUUUUGGAGCAAUUUUAAGCUUAUUUAACAUUUAAAUUUAGAAUUUACAUUUACCACUAUAUUUAAAAAAAAUCACUUUUUUAUAUUCAUCUCUAUAUUCAAAAGUAACAAAUUAAAUAUAUUAAGUAGCAAGUUACCGACAUUUCAUAUUUGAACAUAUCGGGAACAAGCAAACCACUAAUACUCGACAGGGUGAGGGAUAGGUGAUCAUGGAACCUUAUUGAGCUUGAUUUGGCGGGGAUCAUUGAAUCUAUCUUAGAUUUUUAUCGUGAAACAUAAACUAUAUUCUUGAAUGUUUAUUGGUGGUAUCUUGUGUUAGAAUAAGCUUGUUCAUGAACUCAUAAUCAUACGUUGCAAACAUUAUGGUCAUUUUGUUAAAGUCAGAUAUACAUUGACUUUGUGAUAACAUAAUACCACUUUAUAUAGUUAUUUUAGUGAAGAUUUCAAAUUUCCAUUGAUUUUUAAUAAGAAAAGCGGUUGACCACCACUUUGAAGGUGCCCAAUUUGCAAAGUGAAUAUGCCCUCAGAGGCGACAAUGGUGAAAUGUGUGCGUAAAGAACCUAUGAGUGGUAUGGGCUACUUCGAGAAUGAGCAUGAAUUACUCUAAAAGGUACCAUAGGGAAAAGGUUUUUAGUUAUGUGUAUAAUGGAUUUUUAAUCUCUAAGUUUUAUGGAAAGAUAUUUUAAACUCUUUAGACAAUAGAUUUUGAUAAAAUAAUGGUUACUUAUUUUUUUUUUCAAAGUCUUCUACUCUUUCUAUUUAUUUGAAGGGAUAUUUCCCCUAUUGACUAGGUUUGUCAGAUAUGCACAAAAAAAAACCUGAACCAAGGCAAAUGGUAGCAACUAUGUUUGGGAGCCAAAAUAUGAUGAUGGCUUAUAUGAGACAAAGAAGGUGUGUGGAGGGUUUUGGUAGGAUUAGUGUUUGAAUGUGAUGGUGGUGGAUGAUGUUUUCAACGGUCCUAGUGGAUGCCAACGGCGAUUUCAAGGGUGGGAGUAAGUGGCGUUGGAGUCUUAUGUGAAAUCAGUGAUAUCAAGGGUGUGACCGGAGGUGUGAUGGGGUAGGUGGGGUCCGUUAUUCAAUAUUUAAAAUAAAUAUAAGGAAAAAGCAAAACAGUGAAGUAAAAUAACAUAGGCAUUUUCGUCAUUUCACACGUCAUUAAAGUUGGGACCCUUAUGGUAAAUGGAUAAAGGACCAAUCUUGUUAGAUUUUGAAAUCAAGAGGACCAUUAGAAUCAAUUUUUAAAAAUAUGGAUUAAAACUGCAGAUUAGUGUGAACCAUAAGGACCAAAGCUGUAAUUUAGUCAAGAAUAAAAAAAGAAAUUCAAAAGUGGCAAAACCCUAAGGUUGCGUUUAGUUACGGAAAAACAAUUUUCAUUUUCCGUUUUUUGUUUUCCUUUUCGAUUUUCAUUUUUCGUUUUUAUUUUUCAUUGAAAAAUUUAGAAAACGCGUUUAGUUAAACUUAUUCGUUUUUCAUUUUCAAUUUUAGAAAAUUAGAAAACAUGUUUAGAUCUGUAUUUUUCCAUCGGUUUUUAUUUUUAGAAAACGGUAGCGGUGGUAGGGUGUGGGUGGGGGCGGUGACGGUAGCGGGUCGACGACGGUGGUGGUGAUGACAGGCGAUGGUGGUGGCGGCGGCAAUUGUGUCAGUAGUGGUGGUGAUGGUGGCGGCAGCGGUGGUGGUGGUGCUAGUGACGGGUUAGUAGUGGUGGUGGUAGGUCGGUGAUUGUGGUGGUGGUGUUGGGUGGUUGGGGGUGCGAGUGUGUGUUUUUAUGUGUGUAUGUGUGUGUUUGUGGGGGUAUGUGUGGGUUUGUGUGUGUAUGGGUGUGUGUCUGUGAGGGUGGGGGUGNGGUGUGUGCGGGUGGGUGAGUGUGUGGGUGGGUAUGUAUGUGUGUGUUUGUGGGUUGGUGUGUGUGUGCGGGUGGGUGGGUGUGUGUGGGGGUGGGUAUGUAUGUGUGGGUGGGUGAAGGGUGUUAAGGUGGGGGUAGGUAGAGGUGAAUGGGGUGGGAGUGGGUGUGUUUAUAUUUUAGAAAAAUUUUUAAUUAGAAAAAUAUAGAAAACAAUGAUUAUCAGUUUUCCAAAAAUUUCCAACCUAUUUGUAAUUUUAGAAAACGGAAAAUUUUCAUUUUCCAUGAAAAAUUUAGAAAAAUAGACGAACUAAACGUGUUUUCAAAAUUCUCAUUUUUCUUGGAAAAUUUUUCCGGAAAACGGCUCAUUUUUCCGCAACUAAACGCACCCUAACAUUCUCAUUCUCGCCGUUCCCCUUCGUUCUUCGUCGUCUGCUUCAGGUAAAAACAAAGGCAGUUUGUCUUGUUAGACAAUGUCACUUACUAAUCACAGAUAUCAGAUCACAUAUCACAUCAUAAUCAUUCGUUUUUUCAUUAAAAUUUUGUUUAUUUAGCUACUUUUGUUUAGUUUUCCAUAUCAUUUAGGAUAUCUUCUAAUCGUAAUCACGGUUUUUUUUGUUCAUUUGAUUCUUUUUGAAUAAUUUUAUCUGCUUCCUAAUGGUAACUCAACAAACUUCAAUAUCCAAUUGUAGUAAUUCUAAAUUUCCUGUUCCAUUGUGCAAAACUUGCUGAUCAGUUGAAGCCAGAUUAGGUUUUGUUACUAAAUCAAUCAGUUAAUGCUCUGUUUAAUGCAAAUAACCUGUAUUUGGUUUAUUCUUCAUGGUACAAAAUUGAUAGUGAAUUUAUUUUCAAAUUAGUCAGCUAAGAUUGUGUCAUAAAAAUCUGUCAAAAGGGAAAGAGAGCAGCUAAUAUGUAAAAUAUAUUUUAUCUGUAACAUAUAUAAUGUAAACUAAAUUAUAUAAAGAAACCAACAAUUAAAACCUAAAAAUAAAGGUCGUCUUCCUUUCUCCAAAACAACAGGUUAAUGUGAAAAUACAGACUUGGGACAUAUUUUAGCCUUGGGGCCAAAUUACAUAUAUGGUCCCUGUGGUAUGUCAAUAGUUACAGAUCCAGUCCCUAAAACUUUUUUUUUUUGAAACUCUGACCAUCUCUUUGGUUAUUUUUAUUGCACCCAUGGUCCUGAUGCUGGAUGCCAUCAAUAUUUGGCGGUUAAAGUAAUGUAAAAUGUCUAAUUUACCCCUGCUUAAUUAUUUGUUAGUUUUUUUAAACUUUUAUGCCCUUAUCUCCUCUCUCUAUUUUGGUUAUUGAUCAUGUAAAACACAUACAAUCACACACUAAUAUAAAUCCCCUGCUACACUUUGUUAUAUCCAGACUGUUUCUGCUUGAAAUAAGAAAAUCCAGCAGCUUCUAUGGUGUCACUUUUCCAGUUUUAGAUGCUUAAGCUUGAUUCCCAUGCAUCCCUUGAACACAAAGCAACCAAAUUUAACACUAAUUAAGCUGUAGAAUGGCAUUUGAACAAGAAAAUCAAAAUCAAAGGUCAAAACACACAUAAACAUUAUGUACUACAUAGUUCCAAAAUCAACUUGAUGCUAGAAGUUUGGGUAUAAAAGUUGGAAUAUUAUGACAUUUAGAGUUCAUAUAAUGAACUUUAAACAUUUUUUAGGCAAAUGAAUUCACAUGGAAAAGUUUGGAGGUGCAUCUGUAAUACAUUAUAAUCACUUAAGUUAUAUUUUAUUCAAAGGUAUCAUUAUUAUUAUCGAGAUUUAAAUUUUUUGGUGAGAUUUAAGUUGCAUAUUAUAAUAUUAAUAAUUUUGGAUUUUAUGUAGAGACAUUUUGUAGUGGAUCCUGACAUCAAGCACACGUGAGGCAUUUUGUAGUGGACAAGCGUAAUUCUUGGACAACACGAUGAUAAAAGUCCGAGAUAAGGAGAAACAUGAAAUAUCAGUACCUUGUUGGGUGAUGUAGAGAUUGAAAAAGGGGAAGAUCUGAAAUCGGAAUUGGAGAGUGCAAUUAAGGCAUCUAGGGCUUCUGUUAUCGUGUUGUCUAAGAAUUAUGCUACUUCAACAUGGUGUCUCGAUGAAUUAGUGUUGAUCCUUGAGCAGUGUAUCACAUCCAACCAUAUUGUUAUCCCAAUAUUUUAUCAUGUGGAGCCCACACAAUGUCAAGAAGCAACAAAGUAGCUUUGGAGAUGCAAUGGCUAAGCAUAAAGAAACAAUGAGGGAAGAGACAAAUGCAAAUAAAAAAGUCAACGGGCUAAAGCGAUUAUAGAAGUUGCUAAUAUAAUAGGAAAUGACAUUAAUAGAACGUAACCACUUUCUUGCCUGUAUUUUCAUAUGCUCUUUAGUUUUGUUUGAUUAACGUAUGAAGUGAUAAUAUCAUCUUCGCUAUAUGCAUUUCAAUAAGUUUCCUCAAUAUUAUCAAAUAGGCAUAUAUUUCAUUUUUAUGGAUAAAGAAGAUGCACAACAUAGAAUCGAAGUUUCAUGUUAUGUUAUGCGUUUAUUGUGGUCAUAAACUAAAAUAACAGAUAAGAACUGUAAAGGGAUGGUCGGGUAAAAUUCUGUAAUUUUUACCUUUUUAGGUGCUUAGUUUUAUAUUAUUAGUUGAUAGUUAUGGUUUAUUGUUAAUUAGUUUAUUGAUAAGGAUCAAGGACUAGGGUUAGUUUAGGAAACUUUUGUAUAAAUAGGUCGGGAGGCAGAAAUUGAGUUUAGAAAAACUGGGAGAUUACCUACUUCUCGAAUUGUAGGUACUAAAUGAAAGUCCCAAUCAGGGGCGGACCCAAGAAUUUUCCGAAGAGAGGACAAAUUUUUAUGGAAGGCUUAAAAUAUAUUUUUUUUGAAAAAAAAAAACUAUUUUUUAAUGAAUUUUCUUUUUGUUGUGGGGGCAAUUGCCCCCACUGUAGGACCGCCAGUGCAUGCAAUGUAUAUUGAAUGAGAACUGAUUCGUAUACAACAAUUUUUUUCCAUACACAACAAUUUGUGCAUUAAAGUAUUGUAUUGUAUAACUCCAUAAAAUAUGAAUUGUUGUGUAUGGAUAAAAAUUGUUAUGUACGAAUCAUUUAUCUUUUUAAUAAAUAACAAGGGUUAUUGUCACUCUGACCCAACUAUCGUUCGUAUAUUGGUUUAAAUGGUCCCUCGUGACUAUUUUUUGCUUUUAAAGGGCUUAUACUUGUCAUUUUAUGGUUUAAAAGGUCACAUUUCUAGAUUUGAAGGGUGCAACCGGUCACACCCAUCUGACUAGGACGUUUUCUUAUUCCACCUCAAUGCCAAAUAUGUCAGGUCAUUGCCACGUGUUAUGUCACUAAAUGAAACUUAUAUCCGUUUAAACCCUCUCAAUUGUCCCUUUCAUUUAUUCUGCUACCAUUUGCAUUCGUAUACUUUUUUCAAACCGUGAUUGACAUGAAUCCGUUUCUUAAACUCUUCCUCCCUGAAAUCGGCCAACAUAAUCAAUCCUAUGGUUGUCUACAUGAAGAUAGAAGUCCAUUUUGCCAGAAUUUUUUCGAGGUACCCUGCUAUUUGUUACUCAGAUGGUGUAGAACAAAGGUUCGAUGAUGUCGAUUUUGUUGGAAUGGACAAGAACGAGUUUGUGGGGUUCAUUCAAAGAUUCGCUAAUGAGGUAUGCAUCAAUGUUUACUUUUGCAUGCCCGAUGUGGUGUUCCCUGAUGGAUUGAGGUUAAUAGCUAUUGAUAUAGACUAUAUGGACUUCAUCGAAGUAGGAUAUGCUUCUGGUAGUGUUAUUAAUGUAUACAUGGACCAUCUUGGUGUUAAUGUGCAUCAAUGGAUCCUUAAGGAGCAAGGCGAAAUAUGCAGUUCAUUAAAUGAAUUGUCUGAUAAAAUUGAAGUUGGUGAAGAAGUGCAAGGUGGUAUGGAUAUGGAUGAUGGAAUUGAAAUUGAGGAUCUGUUGGGUCAUAAUUGGCAAGGUGUUACGGAGGAUUUGCAAGGCACUAGGGAAGAGUUGCAAGAUGGGGAAGGUGAUGACAUUAACAUUGAAGUUGAGAAUGAUCAAGGUGAUAUGGAGGAUCUGCAAGGUAGUACGGAGGAUUGGCAAGGUAAGGAAGAUGAUGGCAUUGACUUGGAAGUUGACAAUGAACCUGAUGAAUGUAUUCCUAUGAAUAGGACAAAAGAUGAUGAGUUUUUGAGCAAACUGUGCCCAAAUGACCAAGUUACCCCUAACAGUCCUCCUCAUGAAGAGCUAUAUGAGCAUGUAGUCGAUGAUGAAGUAAUAUCUAAUGAGCAAGCUAUUUAUAAUGACAAUGUUCAUUGGAAAAAACAGAAGCCUGUAUUAGGUAUGAGAUUUGUGAAUCCUAAACAACUGAAACACAUGUUGUGUAACUAUGCUGUUGCAAAUGGUUAUCAGUUAUGCUACAAGAAAAAUGAUAGCAGGAGACUUUUAGUGAAAUGUUGUUCCGGUGUUUGCAAGUUUAGAUUGUGGGCAUCUUGGAUGAGUGAGGAUAAAUCUUUCCAAAUUAAGAGUCUCAUAAAUGAGCAUAACUGUGCAAGAAACUUCAAAUUAGGUUCAAUUGUCAACUAUGCUUGGAUAAGUACCCAUUACACCACCCAAUUCUAUAGAAACAAAAGGUUAGUGUUAGGCUCCUUAGGGAUGAGGUUAAAGAGAAAUUUGGGAUAGAUGUAAGUAUGGGACAGUGUAGAAGAGCUAAGAAGUAUGCAAUUGAGUUGAUUGAGGGAACAUUAGUGGAUCACUAUGCAAAGCUAUGGUCAUAUGGUGAGGAGAUAAGAAGAUCAAAUCUUGGAUCAAUAGUUAAAAUGGAUGUCAAUGCUAUGCCAGAUGGUAAGACUUAUUUUAGCAAGUUUUACAUUUGUUUUGAUGCCCUAAAGCAAGGGUGGAGAGGGAGCUGCAGAAGAAUUAUAAUUUGGAUGGGUGUUUCUUAAAGGGUUUAUGUUCACGAGAGCUAAUUGUUGCUGUAGGAAGGGAUGUUAAUAAUCACAUAUUCCCAAUUGCAUGGGCAGUUGUAUGUGUAGAAAACAAAACAAAUUGGAAAUGGUUCUUGGAAAAUCUAAAAUAUGACCUUCAUCUAGAGGAUGGUUUUGGUAUAUCAUUGAUGUCAGAUCAACACAAGGUAUGUCAUAUACUUACAACUUUUAUAUAUUUCACAAUUAAGUUACAUGAUGUUUAAAAUAUGACUAUUAUUAUGUAGGGGUUGUUAGAGGCUGUUAAGGAAGUGCUUCCUAUUGCUGAACAUAGGCAAUGUGCAAGGCAUAUUGUAGCCAACUUUAGGAAAAGAUUUAGUGGUGUACACUAUGAGAACAUGUUUUGGAAGGCAAGCAAAGCAUCCACUGAGCCUUUAUUCAAUGCUGCCAUGAAGGAGAUUCAAGUACUUAAUCCUACAGCCUAUGAUUACCUUAUGGAAACAAACCCAAAAUCUUGUAGUAGAGCAUUCUUUCAAGAAGGAAAGAUGUGUGAUGCAGUGGAAAAUGGAUUGUCUAAGAGCUUUAAUAGUGCCAUCAGGGAUGCAAGGAAAAAGCCAAUCAUCACCAUGUUAGAGAAGAUUAGACUAUAUGUUAUGGAGAGGCUAUACAAUUUGAAGAUGAAAGGUUGUUCAUGGCCUGAUUACAAACCCUGCCCAUCAAUAACACUCCUACUAAAUAAAUUGAAAAGAGCUCAAAGGUACUUUCUAGUCUUUACACUUUUAAUAUAAGUGACAUACUAACUAAUAAGGUGAGUUUAAUAGGUAUUGGCAGGUUUUACCAAGUGGUCUUAACCAAUUUGAAACCAGAAACCUGGCAGAAUCAUAUGCUGUUGACCAUGACAAGAAGACUUGUACUUGUAGAGUAUGGCAACUUAAUGGGUAUGGUUGUGUGCACUCAGUAUAUACUAUAUCAUAUUUGAAUAGAGAUGUAGCCACUUAUAUUGAUCCAAUGUUGUAUGCUGCCUUCUACAAGAACACUUACAAAUACCAUAUACAUGGGAUGAAUGGAAGCAACAUGUGGCCAGUUACUGAGUUCAUACCACCCUUACCACCAUUGAAAAGAAGAAUGCCAGGUAGAUCAAAGGUAAAUAGAAGAAGAGAUGCAUCAUAAAAGCUUCCACGGCACACUGUGUCUAAGGCAGGGAAAAUAAUCUUGUGUAGUGUGUGUAGACAAUCAGGGCAUAACAAGGUUACUUGUCCCAAAGUUGAAAGGCCAAGAAAAGGAAAACAGUUGACAAGGGUAAAGAUAGUGAAGGAAGUAGUGGACCAACUAGAGGUGGUAAAAGGAAAAAAUCUGAGAGGAUCAUAAAAAAGAAACUUGCAAAGAAGGUUAAGACCAAGGAUGGGAAAGGUGAAACUAGUGCAAACCCGGUAGACCUUAAUGAGUAGGUAUAAUUUGAUGGUUUCCUAUGGGUAUGUUUGACAAUGGUUUUAUGUUGUACUUGUUUGUUUGGUUUGACAUUUACUUGUUUGUGUGAAGUUAGUAUGUUUACAUUGACAAUGGUUUGUAAUAUUAUCAUGCUUUAGUUCUUUAAGACUUUUGGAUUCCUAUUACUUUUCACCUAGCAUGCAGUCAAUUCCCAUUAUUUUCAUGUGCUAUUUGUGUGCUUAAUGGACAAAAAUGUGGUCCUUGUAAGUAAGGGUAUUGGCACAAGACAUUAUACGUAAUGACAUUAAGCAACUCAAGAACAUUAACAGUUACUUUUAUUUGACUAGAUUAAGGGUAAUGACACAACAACACAUCAAUGAACCAUCACAUAACUACAUAGUGUUCUUAAUUCACCAAUCCAAGUAAAUAACUUAUAAAUGAUUAAAGUACAUUUGAUUACAACUUAUAAAUGAUUAAACCCAAAAAAACACCUAACUACAAAGUAAAAGCAGCUUCAACUUCAACACCUCUGCUUGUAGGGUUUUUCGACCUCAGGAGUACACUUAAAAUUAUGUCUUCAUUGUUGCAUUUUAUUUCAUCCGCCCAAGAAAUGAAACCUGAUCGUGGUCCUUAAAACAGAAAUUAAGGUAACAUUAAAAAACCGAUCAUCAAACUAGGGUUCUAAACAUAUGAAUACAAUUACCUGGUUUGGACAUGCAUAAAAUGGUCUUCCAGGGUUAUUGACAGUCUUCGGUGUGCGAAUUAUUGCUGGACUUCCACACCCACACACAAUCUUCAUGUGCGAAUUUUUGAAUCUCACUCCACAGUUCCUUUGAAAAAGAGAAAACAAAAUGAAGGAUCAUAGUUGCUUUGAAAAAGAGAAAACAAAAUGGUCUUCCAGGGUUAUUUACAGCCAUUAAAAGCAUCAAAUGACAAAAAUACCCUCACUGUGCAACACACGUGGGGUACAACAACCCAACAUAUGUUAUCAUUCUUGUUCUUGCAUGAUCUUACAACCAAACUAAAAAUGGUCAAAUGUACUUUGAUACAAAACGCUUGAGAGCUACUCAGGUCCUUUUCCAUUAAAAAACUUAACAUACGCACAAAAUGCCUGUCAUUAACACAAACACAAGUCCUUUAACAUGAUCGUUAUAUAUGAAACACAAAAAAACAAAAAAAAAAACUAAGAAUAGAAAAUCCAUAGCUAUCCUAGCUUCAUAAUGUACCCAAAGCAUCUUAUCCAAGCUUUAUAAGGACUUUGACCCCCAACCAUCAUCAUCCCAAGCAUUGCCACCAUGACGCCGCCCAUCACCAGAGCAAUCGCUUUUAACUUCCUCUCAUGAUCUUCCAACUUGUGAUGCAGACUGAUGUGAUCAACAUGACACACAAUGAAAUCUUUACCCACUUGAUCUUUGAGCGUCUGCAUCUCGAUCUGGUUGACAGCAAUCUUGUGUCCAUAAUCGCAAAAAAUCGAAUGCAGGUCGCUGAGGUUAACAAACUCUCCAAAAUUUAUCGAGUCAGGUGAGGGAGGUGGUGGAGCUGACAUUGAUAGAUUUUAGGGUGUUGGUCGGAAUCGUGUUUGGCUUAUUAGGGUAAAAAGGUAUCGAUUUCUGCUACCUUAAGCACCAAAGAUUUGUGAAGAAGACUUUAUGCCCCUACCACUGACUCUUCCUUGUCCUCUACGGGUUGUUGGAUGGUUGGUAGACAUAAUGGCUAAUUAAUGAAGGUUAGUUGGACGUUUAGGUGGAGGAUGAGUACACGAGUCCAGUUCAAUGUUGAGUAAGCGGCUUAGUUGGCAAGUCAAAAAGUUCUUUUACCUUCGAUUGUGGGUUAAAGUCCCAUAUUAACCGGUCAUUUACAAGUAUAAGCCCUUUAAAAGCAAAAAAUAGUCACGAGGGACCAUUUAAACCAAUAUACGAAAGAUAGUUGGGCCAGAGUGACAAUAACCCAAAUAACAAUAAGCUAUUUCUUUUUAUAGUAUUUGAUUUUCUACGGAUCCAUUUGUUGUAUAAAAUAAAUAUUAAUUAGUCUGGCCAAAAGCUAUAAUCGAAUAAGUCAUAGAAAACCCUAACUUUCAGAUAAUGUGUAGUUGCAAACAGUUUGAUACAACUUAUCUUCUAGUAGAAAGUGAAAACCGUAUAAAGCAUUCAAAUUUCAUUCUACUUUAUUUUUAUUUAUUUAUUUAUUUUAAACAUUCCACGAAAAGAUAUAUCAAUCAAAUAGUUGAAGAUUCAUAAUGAUAUGAAUCUCAUCACAAAAUCAUUUUCACUUGUUGUACCCUUGUCUAUCAUGAAUAGUUAAUUUCAGACAAAGAAACAAAAUUCGUUUUGUGAUGCAACGUGUUUGAAUGUUAAUCUUUGCUAUUGGUUUUUUUUACUAUUGUUUGAAUAGCACUUGUUCUAGUAUACAUGCUUUAAAUAUAUAUAGCGUUUCCUUAAUUUAUAUACCAGCCAAACAUGAACAUUUGAUACUGCAUUCCAUCUACAAAAGCGACAAUUUCAACUCGUUUUACAUAAAUAUUCAAUUUUAGUUUCUAUUUUAUAUCUUUUGGGUCAAACGGAUGUGAAUAAAAACUUUGGCUAAAUAGAGAUAAACCAAACAUAUGCCUAAAGUUGUCGAAAUGCAUAUAAAUGUGCAAACCAUCGAAAUAAAAUCAAGUAGUUUUGGAUAUGUAUAUGCAAAAGUCAAGUGAGACUAUGUUAAUGAAAACAUGUUUAAAAAAAAUAUAUGAUUUAUCAAUCAUAUAUAACGGGAUAUGUUAAUGAAAUGGUCGAGAGUUUCAUACUAAAAAGCUUUUGGCCUAACAAUACUACUUAUUAAGUGUCUUGGAAAUGUGUCUCUAAGUCUUGUCGUGGACAAAGUAUAUGAUUUAGAAUGUGAGUUAUAUUGUUCUAAAAAAAUGAGGGUUUCCUUAUGUGUGAAAGUUAAUGUUAUACCACAUUAGGUGUCGAGUAUAUAACAUUAAACCAUAAUUUAAACACAUAAGUCAGGAUGGCCGAGUGGUCUAAGGCGCCAGACUCAAGUUCUGGUCUUCGUGAGAGGGCGUGGGUUCAAAUCCCACUUCUGACAUUUAAAGAAAUUGCUUUUUAUUGCUUUACCGUUUAUGUGAAAUAUGGUUUUUAUUGCUUUCCUGUUUCCAUGACCAAUUGUUUUUUAUUUAAUCAAUUUGACAAGUUAUAUAUCAAAAUCAAACCUCAUCAAUGCAAUAGAAUGUCUCAUGCUCAAUAUAUGAUACCACAAUACUAUUAAAGUAAUAAUAUACUUGAUUUAUUUCAUAACAAAACUAUACAACUUUUAUUUCAAAACAAUCAUUUAUGCCCAAGAGAUGACGUGUGUUAGUUCCGUCUUGGAACAAAUUCAACAUGUCACAAAAUCAAAUUACAAAUGAAUUGUAAUCAAGCAUCUUAUCUUAUCAAAACAUAAAACAUUAUAAACACAUCACAAUCACAAGCAAAAAAAACAUGCAAAAAAAAUAGUUUUAACAAACAAUACUUAAACUCUCAACCACCCCACAAUCAUUAAGAUAGGUGGAUGGGAGGCCAGCCAUCAAAAGAUACACCAUAUGGUUUCAACAUGGGAAUUUCUGAAGUGGCUUCCCUAAGAAAAUUAAAGCACUCGUCAUCAACUCCGUUGGUACACGACCUAUCCUCUAAGAUAUAAGUAGACAUAACAAUAGGACGGGUUUGAAGCGAAUAGACCUUUAUCCAAACCCUUUAAACAAAUUUUAAAAUUUGAUUCAAACUCGCUCGGUAACCCUCAAAGUUUUACAUAAUCAAGCUCAUAUCCUUAUUCACCGAAUCAACAUAUAUCCAAAUCUGCCCCAUAACUCAUAUGUUUUUUGAAUAAUCAAACAAAUUUUACUUAAUUCUUAAAAUAACAUUUAUUAAAUAAAACAAAUGCUGAUUUAGUUAAUGUAUUAGUAAUUCAAGGACUUUCGAUUGAAAUUAAAAACACUAUUAUAAUAACUUCCGAUUGAUUUUUGACUUUCGAUUGGAAUUAAAAUCACACUUGUCCUUAUGCUCUAGAGCCACAACCAAUGCAAUCACAAACAACAUACAAAACACACCUUUCAUUUUCCGUUCUCAACUUUUUUUUUGAGCUAAAAAACAAUACUUACAACUUGGGGUUAACUUAUAGACCUUUUAUCCAAUUUUAAUGUAUCUUUUUGCCACUUGCUUAUUUUUAGUAUUAGUUUUUUUAUUUUUGCCAUUCACAUGCAACUUGCAAGUUUGAGAUGAAAGCUGACUAAAUUAUUUUACAUGUGCACGUACCAUUGACUAAUUUUAUUCCUUAAAUAAAUAAAACUUAUGAUUUUUUUUAUUAUCCAAUAUUAGUACUGCACUAGGGAAUAAAAAUAUUACAUGUAAAAAAGGUUAUUUUAUAAUUUAUAAUAAAGAUUACUUUAUAAUAAAAUCUUUUUUUUUUCAACAUAACAUUUUUAUGACUAUAUAUGAUUAAUAGUUAACAAAUCUUGAUUAAAUUAAUGCAAAAUUGUGUUUUUUUAAGCUAAAAGACGUCUGAAUAGGUUUGAAGACUUUAGUCCACAUCUAACCUAGAAGAUGGCGUAGAGACCUUCUUAAAAUAACAUUUCUUAAAUAAAACAAAUGUUGAUUUAGUUAAUAUAUUACUAAUUCGAGGACUUUCGAUUGAAACUAAAAUUAUAAUUAUAAUAACUUUCGAUUGAUUUUUUACUUUUGAUUAGAAGUAAAAUCACACUUGUCCUUGUGCUCUAGAGCCGCAACCAAUGCAAUCACAACACAACAUACAAAACACACCUUUCAUUUUCGCGCUCACCUUUUUUUUGGGGCUCAAAAACAAUACUUACAACUUGGGGUUAACUUGGUUUAUAGACCAUUUAUCCAAUUUUAAUAUAUCUUUUUGGCACUUGCUUAUUUUUAGUUUUAGUUUUAUUAUUUUUGCCAUUCACAUGCAAUUUGCAAGUUUGACAUGAAAGCCAACUAAAUUAUUUUAUAUAUGCACGUACUAUUGACUAAUUUUAUUCCAUAAAUAGAUAAAACUUAUGAAUUUUUUUAUUAUCCAAUAUUAGUAUUGCACUAUGGAAUUAAAAAUAUUACAUGUAAAAAAGGUUACUUUAUAAUUUAUAGUAAAUGUUACUUUAUAAUAAAAUCUUUUUUUUCAACCUAACAUUUUUAUGACUAUAUAUGAUUAAUAGUUAACAAAUCUUGAUUAAAUUAAUAUAAAUUGUGUUUUUUAAGCUAAAAGACGUUUGAAGACUCUAGUCCACAUCUAUACCAAGAAGAUGGCGUAGAGACUUUCUUAAAAUAACAUUUCUUAAAUAAAACAAAUGUUGAUUUAGCUAAUAUAUUACUAAUUCGAGGACUUUGGAUUGAAAUUAAAAUCAAUAUUAUUAUAACUUCCGAUUGAUUUUUGACUUUCGAUUGGAAUUGAAAUCGCACUUGUCCUUGUGCUCUAGAGCCGCAACCAAUGCAAUCACACACAACAUACAAAACACACCUUUCAUUUUCCGCGCUCACCUUUUUUUUUGGAAGUUGAUAUUUCCACUUAAUAAAUUAAUUCAUCCAUAUGAAGUACAACACCUUUGCAACUAUCAUACAAGUUAGUAAAACAUACAUUUCAAAUUGAUGAAUCAAUUUAUUAAGUGGAAAUAUCACAAAUUUUUUUGGGCUAAAAAACAAUACUUACAACUUGGGGUUAACUUAGUUUAUAGACCCUUUAUCCAAUUUUAAUAUAUCUCUUUGGCACUUGCUUACUUUUAAUAUUAGUUUUAUUAUUUAUGCCACUCACAUGCAACUUGCAAGUUUGAGAUGGAAGCCGACUAAAUUAUUUUACAUGUGUACGUACCAUUUACUAAUUUUAUUCCUUAAAUAGAUAAAAUUUAUGAUUUUUUUUAUUAUCCAAUAUUAGUAUUGCACUAGGGUAUUAAAAAUAUUACAUGUAAAAAAGGUUAUUUUAUAAUUUAUAAUAAAGGUUACUUUAUAAUAAUUUUUUUUUCAACAUAACAUUUUUAUGACUAUAUAUGAUUAAUAGUUAACAAAUCUUGAUUAAAUUAAUGUAAAAUGUGUUUUUUAAGCUAAAAGACGUCUGAAAAGGUUUGAAGACUCUAGUCCACAUCUAUACCAAAAAGAUGGUGUAGAGACUUUCUUAAAAUAACAUUUCUUAAAUAAAACAAAUGUUGAUUUAGUUAAUAUAUUACUAAUUCGAGGACUUUCGAUUGAAAUUAAAAUCACUAUUAUACUAACUUCCGAUUGAUUUUUGACUUUUGAUUGGAAUUAAAAUCACACUUGUCCUUGUGCUCUAGAGCCGCAACCAAUGCAAUCACACACAACAUAUAAAACACACCUUUCAUUUUCUGCGCUCACCUUUUUUUUGGGCCCAAAAACAAUACUUAAUACUUGGGGUUAACUUGGUUUAUAGAACCUUUAUCCAAUUUUAACAUAUCUUUUUGGCACUUGCUUAUUUUUAAUACUAGAUUAUGACCCUGCGUAAAACGCGGGGGAACAUAAAAAUGUACAUGUAAAUGUAUAAAAAAGUUGGCACUAUAAAAAUAUAAAGUAACAUAAACAGACUUAGCAUUAUUGCUAACAUUUAAAUGUUUGAAAAAAAACAAAGAAACACUUGAAUAUCUAUAAUAGUUGAAGGACCUCUUUUGUAAACAUAACUUUUUGUUUUAUUAGUUGGACAACCUUCCUCGUAAUAUAUGAGUACCUUCAAUCCCUUUUCACUUGUGACACGAGAAACAAAAAAUAUAUAACUGAAAAUGAGUGAGGACAAGCUUAUGCAAGUAUAAUCCAACAUUUGAUAAUUAUUGUCAUUGACUUUUGUUAGUGGCCAUAACAAAAUAAACUACUAUAGGGAAUUGCCUCCGUUGAAAAUAGAAUGAGAUUCUUUCAUUAGACGGAGUUAAAUUCAUGCAAGGUAUAUAAGUAGUCUCCAUAAAGAUUCUAUCAUAUAUGAUUUAGGCUUCAAUGACGUUUCUUGCAAGCCUAACAAUCUAUAAUCUACUACAAUUGCAUAGUCCUUUGGUUUGGUCGAUAUUACAAAGUAAUAUGACUGGAACACAUAUUUUUAGUGUAAGUUUAUGGUUGGAAAUUCUAGAUGCCUUAAAAUCAUUCAACACAACUGAAGAGUAAAUUGAUUCCUCAAAAAAAACCUGGUAACUCUGUAUCACGUAAAGAAUUUGAACUCAUAUGUUUUCCCUUCAUCUUUCAUCAAUCCUAAAAUGUAGUCAUUGGUAGCAUCAAAUUCUUCAUUUGUAGGGACCAAAAUAGCUUUAUCUUGAAAAUAUGAUUGAUCAUCAAGAUGAUUUUCAAAGGAUAGAUAAAUGAUGGAAACAAUUGAAUGAAUAUGGUCACCUAUAGAGCGAACAACAAUGUCUUCUGGAAAUUCAAUUUCAGCUUCACCAUCAUUAGGGCCACCAAUAUUACCAUCACCAAUUUUAACAAUCCACUCAUCAAAUGCUUUUGUCUCAUCCAAAUCUUAGUUAUACAACCAAAAUAAAUCUCAUGUUUACGGUUAAACGUAAAACUGUACAUCACGCCGUAAUUUAGACGAAUAUGAUGCAUGCACAGUAUCUGAACAAUUGCCUCUUUGUAUUGCUAGAAUAAUUUUUCUAAAGCCAUCUCCAUAUAAAAUGGUCUUGCCUCCAAACAAUUCUUAAAGAUAAAUACCUACAGAGUAAUGAUAUCCUCUUUGCUGACCAUAUUUGAUGUAUAAACUUCAUUGUCGUUGAAUUGUUUGUCAGAGUUCACUAAUACUUUUGUAUUGGCACGCGAUAUCCCUCUAGACAAUGCCACAUAAAGUUGGCUAUGCGUGAAACCGAUUCUGGGAGAUAAAUACCUACAUUUGGAAUUGUUUCUCUAUAAGCUUUAUUGAUUGCCACCGCGAAACAUAAUUUGAUUAGAAAUUGUUUUCUUAUCAACUUGAAUGGUAAUAUGUCAUCUUCAUACGGACAUAAAGGAAACCUUGGACCAAAUCUCUAGAUAGUUUAUUUUGACUAUUAGUAAUACAACGGUACCAAAUAGUUUCUUUUGAUGAUAAGUUUUAGACGACUAUUUAGGGGCUUAAGGUUUAGAGGGAGGGUGUGUUGCAAUAAAUAUUAGCAAAUUGGUUAAAAAAUGAGACUUAUUUAUGAAUGCGAAUUUUCAUAUGUUCUUAGCAGGAACAUGCUAUACUUUAAAGAAUACGUAAUAUAUUGUUCUUGUAUCACCUCUUAUUCAUAUAUAAGUAUACAUUAAUCUUAAAAAAAUAGUUAUUUUGUCAAAAUAUUUGUUUAAAAACUAAAAUAAUAUGUGAAAUUUAUUUUAAAACGGGUAGAUGCUAACACUUUUUUUCGUAAUAUGAUUUUCAUAUAUGAAAAACAUAAACCAUGAUUACUUUUAUAAUUUGAAAAAUUAAAACAUGAUUACUUUUAUAUAUCUGACAAAAUUUUCGUAUAACAAAACUUUAGAACAUAAUUAAUCGUUUAAAGAUAAUAAUGAAAUAUUGAAAUAAAGAAUCAAUUAAUUGGUUGCUAUCUUAUUUUUAUUUUUAUAAGGUGAUAAUCUCGUUAUGUCUUAUUUAAAAACUUAUAUUAUAAUAUAACUUAUAUAUAUAUANAAAAUAAUAUUUUUUUUAAAGUACAAUGCCGUUAAUCUACUUUUUUUUUUUUUUUUUUGCAAAUUUCAAUACCAAAAAAAAAUUUUCCCUAGAAAAUUGUCAUAUUAAUGACUUACUAAUUAACAAUUAAAUUUAUAUAUUUUUUUUGAACCGGCAAUUCUAAUCUACUCCUAAGCUAACAACACUUAUUCCACCUAUGUCCAUGACGGGACUUGAACCCUCGACCUCAAAGAGGGAAGACNCAUAUUAAUGACCUACUAAUUAACAAUUAAAUUUAUAUACUACAUAAAUGGUUCACAUGUGAACAAAAGUACACAAAUGGUCCAUAUUUGAAAUGUUUUUCUUACAUAAAUGGUCUAUUACGCGAAAGAAAAUGAAAACGUACUUUUUAUUAAUGAAAUGUUUUCAAAAAAAUCCUAUUAAUUAUAUCUAAUGUAGAAAAAAAUAAAUUUUUCUAGAUUAGCCAAAAAGAAUACGGAAAAGUCAUUUUUUGAAACUACGAUGCUAUUAAUGAACUUUUUUGCAAAAUUUAAUGUUAUUAAUGAUUUUUUUUCCAGAAAACAAUUGGUUAAAUGAGCUUCAAUAUACAAAAAAUAUAACUUUUCCAUAUCAACUAAAAAUAAUCCAAAAAAGUCAUUUUUUAAGAAUAUGAUGCUAUAUAUGAACUUUUUUUUUUCAAAGUUUAAUAUUANGUUAAUAUUAAAAGCAAUUUUUUUUCCAAAAAAGGUCCUAAUAUAAGGUUAAAAGAACAUAUUGUAAAAUAUUUAUCGAUUUACAUGAGCAAGAAUUAAACGUUUCCAUCAAUACCCAAUAAAGUAUAUAAAUCAUGCCUCCUUCUGUAAUGAAUUCCAACGCCCCACAAUGUGGAAUCCCCUCAGUCGCAGCAUUCCAUAACUCAAACCACAUCCGAUAAUCAAUAUGAAGAGAAGCUGCAAUAAAAAAUAAUAAUUGUCACCAUCUUAUACAAAUAUUAGAGAUUAUUUGGGUAUUAGAUAGUGUAAUAACUUGCAAUUAAAUAUAAUUUUCAAAUAAAACUUAGUAUGAGAAACUAACCAAUGUGAUCAAGGGUCAAAGAAGGCAUUAUAACUAAAACAUAAACAAAGAACUAUUAGGGAUGAAACAUGAAACUUUAAGGAGAAACAUACAAAUUUAAACCGUGAAGGAUAACAAAAAUCGACAAGUAUAUUUUUUAAGUAAUUUAAACCAAUAUAUUUUUAAAGUAAUUUAAACCGGGCCACAAGUUUAUCCCAAUAUUGUUCCCUUAAGCAUUUCAUCGAACAGGUAGUAGACAGGUAGACCAAAAUUUUUUUUUCCAAGUAUCCAAAUCAAGGUCUCAAAUCCUAACACAUCAAAAAAAAAUUGUGAUUUUAACAACCAAAAGCAAAGGAUAUGACAUACAUUGUGUAUGAGUCUAUUGUUUAUAAUUUGAUUGCUCAACUUAUUGAACAAUUCGUCAAUAGUAUGAAAAAAUGGGGAAUCCCAUAGAAAGAUCCGAUUCAAAUUUCUAAAUAGCACAACUAUGACAAUUAAUUUUCAAACCAUAAAAUUUGACACCCUCAUAACAUAAAAAUCAAAAUAUAUUUUACUUACGUUCACAAGAACCCAGAUGAAUUCGACCAUUUCUGUUGUGUGUCAACUCCAAUGUCGACCUACAGGAAAUCUAAAAAAAAAAUCAAGCAACUUGAGUAACAAUCAUUUUCAUGUUGUCACAACUUUAGCAUAAAUAUCGAUAAAUAGUACGAAUAUUAGUUAUCAAGAAAUAAGCAUAUAUAAGAUGACUAAAAAGUUGUCAAGUGGAAUUUGAGUUACUUGUUUUCUUACCUUUAUCUGAUGUAUUUAUAAUUCUAGUCGUUCGACUACAAAUCUAAAUCGUUAAGUAAAAAUCAAAACAACAUGUUUUCCCUAUUUUCUUCUCCACUACAAAACUUAGGUUAGAUAUAUUAUGUGAAGAAUUGUGGGAGUCAGGGUAUUUUUGUAUUUUAUUUUUUGUGAGAUUUAAUUGUCAUUAAUAGAAUUCCAAAUUUAAUUCAUUUUAUUUUUGGUGAUAUUUAAUUGUCAUUAAUAGAAUUCCUUAUUUGAUUCAUUUUAUUNGAAUUCCUUAUUUAAUUCAUUUUAUUUUUGGUGAGAUUUAAGUGUCAUUAAUGAAAUUCUAAUUUAAAACGUAAUAUACGUUUUAUAAAAUCUAUUGACAAAAAUAAAUAGGUUGACAAAGAUGAUGUGAUCAAAUAAUCUAAAGGUUGAAAAUAUAUGAUUGAAAUGCAAUCAAUGGUCCUGAUUUCUUCAGUUUAGAAUUAAAGGUUCUCUUUUAAUAAUAUUUAGAUAUUAGUUUUAUUAUUUUUUCUAUUCACAUGCAACUUUCAAGUUUUACAUGAAAGCCGACUAAAUUAUUUUACAUAUGCACGUACCAUUGACUAAUUUUAUUCCUUAAAUAGAUAAAACUUAUGAUUUUUUUAUUAUCCAAUAUUAGUAUUACACUAGGGAAUCAAAAAUAUUACAUGUAAAAAAGGUUAUUUUAUAAUUUAUAAUAAAGGUUACUUUAUAAUAAAAUCUUUUUUUUUUUCAUCCUAACAUUUUUAUGACUAUAUAUAAUUAAUAGUUAACAAAUCUUGACUAAAUUAACGUAAAUUGUGUUUUUUAAGCUAAAAAUGUCUGAAGAGUUUUGAAGACUCUAGUCCACAUCUGUACUAAGAAAAUGGCAUAGAGACCGUCUUAAAAUAACAUUUCUUAAAUAAAACAAAUGUUGAUUUAGUUAAUAUAUUACUAAUUCGAGGACUUUCGAUUGAAAUUAAAAUCAUUAUUAAAAUAACUUCCGAUUGAUUUUUGACUUUCGAUUGGAAUUAAAAUCACACUUGUCCUUGUGCUCUUGAGCCACAACUAAUGCAAUCACAAACAACAUACAAAACACACCUUUCAUUUUUCGCGCUCACCUUUUUUUUGGGGAGUUGAUAUUCCCACUUAAUAAAUUGAUUCAUCCACAUGAAGUACAACACCUUUGCAACUAUCGUACAAGUUAGUAAAACAUACAUUUUAAGUGGAUGAAUCAAUUUAUUAAGUGGAAAUAUCACAAACUUUUUUUUGGGCUCAAAAACAAUACUUACAACUUGGGGUUAACUUGGUUUAUAGACCCUUUAUCCAAUUUUAAUAUAUCUUUUUUGUCACUUGCUUAUUUUUAGUGUUAGUUUUAUUAUUUUUGCCAUUCACAUGCAACUUGCCAGUUUGACAUGAAAGCCGACUAAAUUAGUUUACAUGUGCACGUAUUAUUGACUAUUUUUAUUCCUUAAAUAGAUGUCACACCCUCGAACCAGACGGCGGAAACGUCCGAGGGCUCACGUGACUCAAAUUGAAUAUCAUGACAAUGAAUAUACAUGAAACAUAACAUAAACUUCACCAUGCAUCAAUACAUUACAACUGACAUUGUUCACAUCAAGUACAUUGUCUAAAUAUUGCAUUUUCAUAUCAUAAAUUGUUUGAAAGUUUUCAAAAGCAUAACACCCUAACAUACUUGGUACUACUCCUCAGCUUACCUGUUACCUGAGAAUACAAGUUAUUUUGAAAAACAUCAACAUAUGGAAUGUUGGUGAGUUCAUAAGUAGGGUUGUUCUGAAAAUUUUUGUAUAGUUUAUAGAACCCAGAAAAUCCGAUAUUUUCUGAAAAGACAAUUGUUUUUACCAAAGUGUGAAGAUCCAUAGUUUUGUACGUGAGUGAUUUCAAAGCUUGUAUAAAUAAGAAGUUUUGCAUGAUAGUUAUUGAAAAGUACGAGUGAAUGAUGUUGGUCUCCUCGAAAAAUCCGAUGUUUUCCGAUAACAUAAUAUAAUAUAAUUGUUUCCAAUUGUUAUACCAUUACAACGAAUGAUUAUGAUUUUCCUUGAUUACUCAGAUGGUAUUGGAUUUAUUUAUGUGAGUCAUUAUAACCAUGCAUGAUAAUGACUAGUGCGUCUGUCUUGGCAUUCUAAUGAAUGCCGGAAUUGAUCUUAAGAUUUUGUCACCCUAGACUGGCCGAGUCUAACUGUAGCGAACAACUGAGGUGUGGGGGAGUCACCCCCGUAUAGAUAUAUACACAAACUCUCGCUCUCCCUCCAUGAGACUUUGAUUAUAACUACAGACUACAAACAACUCAUAAAGGUGCCACCUGUUAUUUCUCACUGAAUCCAAAUUGAAUUUGAUUACCAUUGAUUAACGACCUGUAUUUGUUUACUGAAUUGAAGGUAAGCCUAACAAAUGAGGAGAAGAGGAUUACAAAGUCCUGCUAAUUACGUGUAUUAUUUAAGGCUGUUGGGUAUACGAAGGACACGUUGGCCCAUUUUGCAUUUGAUUUAUUUGGACCUUACUAGAAAUGCUAAUGGGCCACUGAGGCCCAAUAUCACUUGAAAGCCAUUGAGGGUCCCAUAAACAUGUAAUUGGGUCACAGGAGGCCCAAUAAACGUUUAUUUUUAUCGUUGGGCUCAAAAGUUAUGUUAAUGGGUCACGAAGGCCCAAUAAGCAUGAUUAGAGACUUUCAAGCCCAAAGAUUUGAAUAUUUACUUGUUUUAGGUAUAGUAUAACUGUUGGAAAGUUUGAAUGAACGAUUGUUAAUUUCGUAUCGGCACGAGGCCGGUCGGUUGUUUAUAACGAUAUUUGGAAUUUUACGUAUAUUCAUCUUUCUAUUUUCAUGAGUUGUGGUUUGGUAUUUUUUUUUGACUCAAAUAUCUUAAUAAUAAAAUAAUUGGUUCAAAAUAUUGGUUUGACCUUUUCAGCCCUUCUUUAAUAAAAAUGACAAUUUUAGUCCUUUAUUUAAAAAAAAAGACAUUUUAGGCUCUUAAACCAUUUUUUUUACAUUUUUGACCCAUAGACUUGUUUAAGUGAUGUUUUUAGUUCAAAGUUUAAUAUUUGGCAGUUUCAGCCCCUCCAGUAAAGAGUUUUUCAGUUAAAGUCCACACUUUUCGCAACUUUUACAAUUUUGGCCCAAAAUCCAAAAAGUUUACAUUUUUGAUCCUUGUUUGGAAAAAAAUCAUUUUAACCCCUGAAUUAGUUUUGUUUACCCUAUUACCCCUGUUUUGAGAAGUUUACCAUUUCAAUCCCUUGAAAAUUAUAUUUUUCACAAUUUUUGGCUCAAUGGGCCGAAAAGCCCAAAAAUUGGCCCAUUAAGCUACAAAUUACAUUUCUAGCCCUUUAAAGAGUAUGAUAUUCAUAAAAGCAUUUAUUUUUACUGUUUUGACUCUUUUAGUCCUUAAGAAAACCGUGAAUGAUAACUUUCGACUCAACUUUUGUUUAUUUGUCAAAUUAAGCCCAAAAAUGAGUUUUAUGUUGCAAUAUGUUUAUUAUCACCUUAGAGGGUAAUUUUUCUUGACUUGUUUAGUGUAAUAUAGAUUAGAUCAUGUUUAUCUUCCUCCUAGAGCCAUAGAUCUCGAGAUUUCUUUCCUUUUUGUUACAUAUUUACCACAUAAACACAUGAAAUCACACAUAACAUACACAUACACAUAAAUCUACACAUUUUACUUGUAUUCUCCGCCAUAAAACUUAGGAAAACCGAAAAGAGAGGGGUAUGAACUCACCUUUUCUUGUGGAUCAUGGUUUUGAAGAAGAAAUGGAAGAAAAUGAGGUGAUUUUCGGCCCUAGCAACACUUGAUAAUGAUCUCGAGCUUGAGGUGUUUCUAAGAGUAUGAUUACCACAAUUAUUUAAGAGAAGGGAUCUCAUCAUGAGAAAAGAGUUAUAAAAUCAUAGGAUAUGUGUAACUAACCAAGAAGUGAUGAUAAUCUCUUGAAAUCCUUUUGUUGCACAAGUAAAAUUUCGAGACUUUUGGAGUGGGAAAGAGGAGAAUUUUGAGAGAGUUUAGAAGAGUUUUGGUGUUGUGUGUGUGUGUGUGGUUUGGCUCUUUCUUUUGGGCCGAGAAUUAAGAAGAAGAAAGGAGAAGAGAGAGAGGUGAAGAGAUGGUGCAUGGAGACAUGUGAGGUUUUGCAUGGAAAUCCAUGAUAUAAUAAGGUGGUGGCUAACCCUCCUUAUUUCAUUAAUUUUUUUUGUUUUCCUUUUGGGCCAAGAAAGAGAGAAAAGAGAAGAGGAUUUGGGCCUUUUGUGCUUAAGUCCGUAUUACGGGCCCAUUUUGAUGAUUUUCGGCCCAAUUGGUCUUUGGAGAUGGUUCGCAACCCAUUAUAAAUCAAAGUAUGAGUUUUAUGGCCCAUUAGGUUAAUUAGUUUUGUUAUGGCCCAAUAAGGGUAUUUUAUUUCAUUCUAGGCCCAUUAUGGCCCAAAAUGUUAAAAUAAAUGAAAGUGGGUCCAAUUAGAGCCCAUUUAAGAGUUCUAAGCCCAAAAUAGUCAAAUUGGAAGCUAAUUGAUCCAUUAGGCCCAAUAAGAAAAUCCUAGUCUAAAAUGGACUUAAACCGGGAUUUUUAGGGUUUCCAACUUUUGUUGACUAUUUGAAAGUUUGUAUAGGGUAUUUGAUGGAAUUUUGUUCUCAUUGAAUAAACACCAAACAUGUUUUAGCUACAAUGUCAUUCUUUGUUAAGUGUUUACAACGUAUCAGAAUUCCUAGUUGUGACAAUAGAUAAAAAUUAUGAUUUUUUUAUUAUCCAAUAUUAGUAUUGCACUAGGGAAUUAAAUAUAUUACAUGUAAAAAAGGUUAUUUUAUAAUUUAUAAUAAAGGUUACUUUAUAAUAAAAUCUUUUUUUUUCAACAUAACAUUUUUAUGACUAUAUAUGAUUAAUAGUUAACAAAUCUUGAUUAAAUUAAUGUAAAUUGUGUUUUUUAAGCUAAAAGACGACUGAAGAGGUUUGAAGACUCUAGUCCACAUCUAUACCUAGAAGAUGGCGUGGAGACCUUUUUAAAAUAACAUUUCUUAAAUAAAACAAAUGUUGAUUUAGUUAAUAUAUUACUAAUUCGAGGACUUUCGAUUGAAACUAAAAUCACUUUUAUAAUAACUUCCGAUUGAUUUUUGACUUUCGAUUGGAAUUAAAAUCGCACUUGUUCUUGUGCUUGAGAGCCACAACCAAUACAAUCACAAACAACAUAAAAAACACACCUUUCAUUUUCCGCUCACCUUUUUUUUGGGCUAAAAAACAAUACUUACAACUUGGGGUUAGCUUGGUUUAUAGACCCUUUAUCCAAUUUUAAUAUAUCUUUUUGGCACUUGCUUAUUUUUAGUAUUAGUUUUAUUAUUUUUGCCAUUCACAUGCAACUUGCAAAUUUGACAUGAAAACCGACUAAAUUAUUUUACACGUGCACGUACCAUUGACUAAUUUUAUUCAUUUAAUAGAUAAAACUUAUGAUUUUUUUUAUUAUCCAAUAUUAGUAUUGCACUAGGGAAUUAAAAAUAUUACAUGUAAAAAAAGGUUAUUUUAUAAUUUAUAAUAAAGGUUACUUUAUAAUAAUUUUUUUUUUCGACAUAACAUUUUUAUGACUAUAUAUGAUUAAUAGUUAACAAAUCUUGAUUAAAUUAAUGUAAAUUGUGUUUUUUUAAGCUAAAAGACAUCUAAAAAGGUGUGAAGACUCUAGUCCACAUCUAUACCAAGAAGACGACGUAGAGACCUUCUUAGGUCUGCAAUCUUCUAAAAACAAACAAAGGUUAAUGUGUGUACACAAAGGAGAUCAAGAAGAUUUAUAGAUAAAAAACAAACACCACCUAAAUAUACUAACUCCGUUAUUAAUUAUAUAAGCAAAUAAACGUUAAAGUUCGAUUAUGUUCAAGAUAUAUAAAUAUAAUACCCACCUAAAUAUUGAAUACCAAGUGUUACAUAAAGUAAUCAACAACGAAUUGUCACCAAAACUAAAAUUUGUCAUUGCAGCUAAAAACCAAAAAAGUGCCACUAAUGCCCCCUAGACAAUUAGUGACACAAAAAAAAGUGCCACUAAAAGCACUCACACUAAAGGCCUUUCAUGACAUUUUUUUAUUGUGUCGCUGCAGCCUUACUAGGUUUUAGUGGCACUUUUCUGCUAUGCCACUAUAGCACUUGUAGCUUUUAGUGACACUAUUUUUUUGCUACUAUUUAAUUGUUAUAAUAAACAUUAUUUUCAUGUUUUUAGUUGAUUUUUUAACAAAAAAAAAUCAUACUAAUAAAUUAGAUCCGAUUUUUAUAAAAAAAAAAUAAAUAGAAUAUAAAGUAAUAACAAGACAAUUAAGAUAUAAAUAGAAAACACAAUAUUAUUACUUCCAUUCAAACUUGUCUAUCAACCAUACUCUCAACUUCUUGAAACACAAAUGUCAACAAAAAAUAAAUGUUUCGAUUCCAGCAACUGAUUCUUCCCCUCUUUGCCAGUUUUACAUACCAUAGCAUCCUCAAAAUCUUUUAAAUUCAACAUGCAUUUAUAACCUUGUGAUGUUUUGUUGGAUUCUUCGUCGUCAUGACCAAAAUAGUCCUACACAACCUAUAAGAAAAAAAAAUGAGAAAUGCUAGAGUGAGAAUUAUUGAGAAAUGCUAUAAUUAUAUUACCAAUAUAUAUGUUAGUAAUUAAUUGAUAAACAUGGGCAUUAAGUCAUCAAAUGAUAACGCUAUAAAAACUGCUAUCAUUAAGAAUUACCUCUUUAUCACCACUUUUUACCUCAUAUAUGCCUUUCUUACAUGCAUCAGGUUUAUCAACUACCUGAUCAACAACAAAAAAAGAAGAAAAAAACUUGUCACAAUAAUUUGCUAGUCCAUAUAAAUUAAAACAUAAAAAUAAGCAACACCAUACAUUUAAAGUAAUAAUCAAAGAACAAAUCAUUAAAGUUUAUAAAAAGAAUGUUGGGAUGAAACUAUGAGCUUCUAAUUUUAUGAAAUUGACUAAAGAGACCUUUGGAUCAAACAUCUAACAUUCUAACAUUCGAAUGAUAGAUUGUUGGAAUAAUAUAACCCAGCAUAAAGUCAAUAAGUGUAUUCAUUCAUGGAAUUAUUUCCUCUGCACAUUAUCUUCAGCUAAAUUCCUUGAAAAAUGCUAAAGGAAUAAAAAAAAUCAGAUUUUUAAAUCUAAUUAUUUGAUAGAUAUGAACGGGUAAGAAAAAGAGAUAGACUGAAAAAUAUAGAAAAUCACAAAUACUUCUAAAAAUGUUGCAGCUGUGUAGAUCUUGUCCUUGCAUGCAAAUUGAAGUGUAACGUAUUUUGACAAUAAGAUAUGAACAAAUACACUUACGGUUGAAUCCCAUCAACAAAUUGAUGAAAUGAGCUUCUAUUUUGCAGCAAACCUUCUUCCCACGACAUUUAAUUUAUUUCUGAAGCAUUCUACAUCAAAAAUUUCUAAAAAUUCUUCAUUGCACAUUUGAAUUUGGAAAUCAGAAAUUAGCUUUACUUAGAUGAAACAGAAAUAAAUUUGAGAGUUGAUACACAUAGAGAAAACGGUAUUAUCAUGAAAUUCUGAGCAAUUAUAAACCCUAAAUCAACAAUUAGGAUCACAAACAUCCAUAUAUAAAUCUUAAAUAAAAAAACAGGAACGCUAUGAUGCACAUUUAACCCUAAACUGAAAUUGACGUACUAUUACCUCUCAUCGCCUUGUAAAAGGGGAACCCAAUGCUAACUUCUCGAAUUUAUCGAUAACAACAACAUUAAUAAUCUGAAUCAUGAACUGAAAUAGUCAUUUUCAAACCUAAAACCACUAACAACUUUGUCUUCGCUAUCAGAUCGUGAACGUGGUAAGACGGUGAGUUGUGAUUUCAUGAAGAGCUCUAUAGGACGAGGGGUGAGUAAGGCGGGCAUGAAUUGAAUUUUAAGAAGAGUCGAUGGAAAACUUAGGUCGAUUUGGGGUUUGUGUGGUAGGAGAAAUGAUGGUGUGAAUUUUAGGUGGAUGAAAUUAGGUUAAAAUUCUAACAUCGGUGGGAAAAUAAAAGUUAAAAAUUAAAAUAAUCUUUUGGGCAGCAGAAAGCUUUUAGUUUUUGGGGAAUCAAAAGCGGGGAAAACAAAAAUAGAGGUGAUAUAGUGGCACAAAAUAAUAACUGCCACUAAAAAUAUGAUACAGUGGCACAAAAACGAAUAUCUCCUAAAAAUUUAUGUCAUUAAAUGUAAUUUUGUUUGUAUUGUGUUAGCUGGCCUAAAUUAUUAUUACGAGGAGUGUCAAAUUUACUAAUUAAUUAUACGUUUUACAAAUUUAUAAAUUAAUUAUAUUGUUUACCAAGGGAAGAAGAAUACUUAGGGGUAUUUAGAAUUGCUUAUUUGCGGUGUGUUUGGAAGUAUUUAAAACAUCUCUAUAAUCUCUCUUAUGUUGAAGACAGUGACGGAUCCAGGAUUAAAGCAAAGGGGUAUCCAAAAAAUAAAAGUGUGUAAUAUACAAUAAAAAACACAAUUUCAAUAAGAAAAAACAAGUAAUUACAUUUAUAGUCUUAACAUUCUGAACUACAAAUCAAAGUACCAUUCAUAAAAUCUCACAUGAGGCAUACUCAAGUUGUUGUUGGUAAAUACGAUAUCGAUGGGUGCCUUAAGAGUCAAAAAAGAUGGCGAUGCCCAUUUCGAUUUUCGGUAUGUCAUUUUUUUAUAUAGUUAAAAAUAAUAUCAAUAAUAAUAAUAAUUAAAAUAAAUCAAUUUAUUUAAUAUAAAUAAAAUUUAUAUGUCCAAGGGGGUAUUGUGCUAAUUCUAUAAAUAAGUUUGUUAAAGAAUUUCGGUUUAAGGGUAGAUUCCGUCACAAUGGACAUCUUCAAGGACUAAAGAUGACAUUUUUGAAAACUGCUUUGUCUUUGUCUUCUCUAAACAGCAAGCAGCGACGCAGGUUCUUUUUCUUGGCCGCCAUAGCUAGGGCUUGAGAAGAACGAUGUUCUAACACUUGAUCUAAACCAUCUUGUAGGUAUUACACUACUGGAAAAUUUUUGAGGGGUAUCCUGGGCUACCCCGGGCUCUACAUUGGAUCCGCCUGUGGUUGAAGAACUUAUACUUUGAUUACUUUCACAAAAAAAUGUUGCAUUAAAUGGAUGUAUUUAAAGUUAAAAUAUAAAAUGAAAAGUUAUUUAUCGUUAUGUAGGAUUUUGAAUAACAACACUCCCUCAAGCUAACAGACAUUAAAUGUGGAACACAGUGGUGGACGCAGACUGUUUUAGUAGGGGUGUCCCUCGUACUUCAAGCGGGUGCACCUAAUAGAAAAAACAUUUUUUUUUUUACAGUGCGUGCCGGAAAUUGAGCAGUGGCCUGGGACCCCAAAGGCCCUACAUAGGUCCGCCAGUGGUGGAACAAUGGUCUUCAUUUUCCUGCAAUUUUCAUGAUGACAUUAACCAUUAAGCUUCCAUCAUACUCCAAAAAAAAUGCUAAGUUCAACGAAAUAUGGUAGCUUUCAUUUAACUGCUUUGUAAAUAGGAAUGGAAAGAGAACAAAUCAAAACAAAAGAGGUCAAAGGAUGUAUGACUGUAUUUUUAUAAGAAAACCUCUCCAAUGGCUUCAAACAAUAAAUGUAGCCAUAACAUAUGGGGUAAUCCCCGCAAUAUCUUCACUCAAUUAUGAUUUACAUAUCACCAUAUCAUUUAGAUAGAUCCAUAAAAAUGAUAUUAAAACUAAAAAUAAUGCUCUUAAAAGACGAACACAAUACAUAAGCUGUGUGUUCAUUUCACUAUCAAUGUCAUAACAUAAACGAUAUUGAAAACAAAGGCUUUGCAAAACUAGUAGCAGAACAAAAAAGCCAACGUUGUUAUUCUUCAAGGUGCACCAAAAAAUAACAAACUCCACUCAAGAAGUAAUUUUUAAAAUCAAUUCAAAUAGGGAAGGAAUUAAGAACCAUUAAACGCCCCUUUCUCAUCCUUUAUAAAAUGAUCAUUAUACAAGGCAAGGAUAAGAGUAUGGAGAAACUUGUAGUUAUCAAUUUAAUUGGUUUGAGUCUCGAAAAAUAACUAUUUGCAAAAUGCAAGGAUAAAACUUUUAGACUUCAUCCCCAACCCUCUUAUGGCCAAAUAAGCCUUGAUGAUGGGGAUCUUUAUUUUUUAUAAAAUUAAACAUCAACUUGAAACCCUACACCAGAAUCGUAUACAAAUUGCAAUGCUCGGUAAUUCACCAAGGUAUUAUUUAUGUAUUGGAUUAAUUAUUUAUAUUGAUUGGGCUUGGAUCCAUUGGGUCCUUGCUAAAUGGGCUUAAGGGGUGUCGUACGCUGGGCGUACAACCCUAUGUAAUACUAAUGAAAGUUGAUCGCGCAUGCCAUGCACGUACGCGCAACGUACGUGUGCAGUCCCUAAAACCCUAAGUUUAGGAUUUUAUCCCUAUAUAAAGAACAUUAUGCCCUAAAGUCCAGCCUCCCUCUCACCCUUAAGCUACUCCAACGAAACCCUAAUCCAUAUUUUGUGUGUUCUUGUUCUUGGAAGGCUUCUUGAGAGUAUUUUUAGUGUUUUGAUCGACUCUACAAGGAAGUGAAUAGCAAAGCAAGGUGGUGGUUCAAAGGUGAAGGGGUAGAUCUGGGAUUGUUGCUUCAUUUCUGACCUUUUCAAGGUAUAAAGUCUUGAACUUGCUCCAUAAAUGCUUAAAUCUCUUAUGUUGAGUUUUUGGACCUAUUUUGGUCCCAAGAAUGGAGCUUUAUGGUUCUAAAUCCGUUCCUAGGCUUAGGGUUUCCACCCUUAGUGCUAUUUGAGUCCUAAAGAUAGAAAAGUUACCAUCUUGAAGGUCCUGAUGUGGUGAUGCAUGUGUAUUAGUCAUUUCUAUGGAAGUAGGUUGUCAUAUUUCAAGUUUGGGUCCAUUUGGGGGUUUGCAAGAUACCAAGUAAUCGAAUUUAUGGGUUAAGACACUUUAUUGGACUCAGAUAUGUGUUUGGAGCUUUAGGUCUUAAGGGGUUAAGCUCUUUUUGAGAUUAUGGAUUAACAAGGGAGUAUGCUGAGCGUACAAGCCAUGUAGCCUGUAUGCUUAGCGUACAGAGGAGUAUGCCCCACGUACUUACUAGAUUUGGGCUUUGCGUCAUUUGCGCCUCGGUUUGGGUCAUUUCUUGGACUUUGCUAUUUUGGGCUUUUGUGGGCCAUUUGAGUUAAACAUUUGGACUAGAUAAGCAUUAUUAGGCCUUAGGUUGAGGUCCAUGUGAAGGGAUUAGGCCCAAUUGGAAAUUAGGCCAUAUAUUAGGCCUUGUAGGAGUGUUUAUCUUUUUAGGCCAAGGGUUGAGUAGAGUUUAUUUUGGGACAAGAGUAUGUGAGGGGUAGAAUGGUCUUUUACCCCAGCGAGGACUUAUGAUUAAGUUAUGUGAAUCCCGAACAUAACUAGUUUAUAUGAUGAUUAAUAGCUCGGGGAGUCGAGAGAUCAGCAGUUCAUGGAUCUGCCAGUUAGUAGCCAGAGGAUUAUCCGCGUGAUUCAACUUGACGAGGUGUGUUUCCUCCUGUAUGAAUGGGUCAAAGGCACCAAUUUCGGCCCCGUAUGUUUAUGUUAGUAUGUUUUGGACUAAGGUCCGAUGCUGGGCGGUGCCCGAUGUAAGCUUAUAUGAUUUCCGGAAUUCGGUCCGAUGUCGGGCGAUGACCGAGGAACGUUUGUAUGCUUGAUGUCUUUGUGAUUCUUGCAUGUGUCUGUAUUUGUAUGUUUCCGGAUUUCGGUCCGAUGUCGGGUGGUGCCUGAUGAAUGUUUAUAUGCUUUUGUUUAUGUGAUAUUUUUAUGUGUAUUGUGAUAUGUUUAUAUGCAUGUCAGGCUCAGCUCGAUGCCAGGCGGGGGCCGAUGCCGGACAUUGUCCGAUGUCGGGCGGGGCCCACGAUAUGUUUAUAUGUGAUUAUGGAAUUAUGUGUAUGGUAUGUGGUAGUUUGGGGAAACUCACUAAGCUUUGUGCUUAUGGUUUUCAGUUUUGGUUUCAGGUACUUUUGGUAGCAAGGGGAAGAGCCCAGGAUGACUACAUUGCACAUACCACGAUGUUUUAGCCUCGGAUGUUUACUCUGAUAUUUUGACAUAUGUUUUUGAUAUGGAUUAUGAUGUUUUGAGAUACUAUAACUUAUGUUUUGAUGAGCGGUUUUGAUAACUAUGGUUUUAUUUAACAAUUAAAAAUGAAAUUUUUGGUCAUGAUAUUUGGGAUGUUACACGAAUGUAAAAUGUGAACUGGGUAGAGGAGCCAAUGAGAAGAAGUUGAAUUGCAUAACUUACAUAUAUUCGUUGAUCAUGUUUCUUUUUAACCCCAUGACAAGUAUCUACAAACUUGAAGAAAAAACUAUCAGGAGAGAAUAUUUAGAAACCAAAAUCAUUCUCUUCUAUUGAAGAAUAGUUGCUCCAUCCCUCCUUCCUUUUUCUCAGUGGUCGAAUCCUCUUAGGGCCAGGGGUCAUGGCCNUGGGGUUCUAGUGGUUGGUGAGAAUGGAUAUAUAUAUUAUGGCCAGUUAGAAGAGAUUAUGGAGGUGCAAUAUCCAUAUGAUUAUUUGAUUGUCGUAUUUUGGUACAAGUGGUUUGAUAUGGGAGAUAUUCCUGAUGAUAAUUUCAUUAGUAUCAACACAGAACAAGAAGCGUACCAAGAUAAUCAACUGAUAUAUGCUUCGCAAUCUAACUAAGUGUUCUACAUCCGCAAGCCUGUUAAUCAUCGAAGAAACCAAAACAACAACCCUCAUUGUGUCAUCGAGCAUGUUAAUCAUCGAAGUGUUUUGGAUCUACCAUCCGACAAUACUCGUGUCCAAAAUGCUUACAGUGACUCUGUCCAAAUGUCGACAGUGUGGAGGUCGGAAAUGUUGACGUAGUUCAAAACAACUCUUCAUCCGGUGCUAGACUUUCAAAAUAAUAUUGAUGUAGCUCAAAAAAAUGUUGAUUAUGAUGAUGAGUACGAAACUGAAGCACCUCCGCCAAAGGGUAGAAUCAAUAAUGUUUUCGAGGAAGAGACUGAUUAAGAUGAUGACGAUUCUAAUAGUGAUAUUGAGGAAGAAGACAUUCAGUAUACGGGGGAGAUUCUGAUUAAAAAAAUCAUAUGUUUUUUUGUAAUAGAAACUUUAUUUUAAUUCGAACAUUUAUUCAUAUUGUUUGUCUAACUUUUAUUCAUGUUGUUUAUCUAUAUUAUACAUCUUAUAAUUUUUGCAGGGUAGCUAACUUUUAUUCAUAUUGUGUUUCUAUAUUGUACAUCUUGUAAUUUUGUAGCACCCGGUUCCUGGUAUGUAUUUCAUUCAAGUACUUUUCACAAUUUGGACUGAGACUCGGCGAGUUGAUGGCCCAACUGGUCAAGUAGGAGCAACUUGGACCCGGGGGUUAAGUGGCGGACUCGUCGAGUCGGUGGCAUGACUCGACGACCAGACGACUAGACUCUGUCUGGACAAAACCCUAAUCCAAGGGUUUGCACCCUAUUUAAACGUCUUAUUCAGCCUCCCUUGUCCCUUAUGCUCUUAGAACCCCCUCACAUCAAACCCUAAUCAUCCUUGUUGAAGAUCUAAGGCCUUUUGGGUGAUUCUUGGUGGUUUGUGGUGACAAGAAGGAAGGAGAAGCUUGAGGAACAAAGAGGUUGGCCAGAGGAGUCAAACUUGUGCAUCAUCUACAAUUCUUGGAAGGUAUAAAGUCGACACCUUGCUCCUUCUUGUAUUAGAUCCCAUUUUGGGGAGAUUUAGGGCAUUUAUGAACCAUUCUUGGUGACCAACCAUGAUUGCAAGCAUGGUGGGGGUUAAGAUUUCAGAUCCAUGCUCAUUAAGGGGUUAGAAGGAAGAAAGGGACUGCCUUUUCACCCAUAGAAAGCCCCAUGCAACUCAAGAGCUUCUUUUAGGGUCUUUUUAGCUUAUAAUCCCAUGCAUGCACGUAAAAUUCGUAACUUUACAUGCUAGAUAGAUCUUAGGAGCCUAGAUCUAUCAUUUGGACAAGUGUUGUACAUCAGAAAUCAAGAAAUGAGACUUGGACAACCUCAACUCGGCGAGUUGUUCUUGGAACUCGACGAGUCCGUGACUUGACUCCCUUUCUCCUGUUAGGGUUCAAAGGAAACCAGUGAGUGUUAGAAUUGUCUUAGAAGGGUCCGGGGGAGUGAUCCAACGCAUUGGGCUUAGCCAUUGACAUGGAGUUCAUAGGGCUCGACGAGUGCAUGAGCAAACUUGGCGAGUCUAAGGCAAUCUCCCAACUUUUGAAGAUGAACUCGACGAGUUGUUCAUGGAACUCGGCGAGUCAAGGAUAGGACUUGGUUGUAGGAUGAGGGUGAACUCGACGGGUUGUUCAUAUAACUCGAAGAGUAGGAUGAAGGUUCAUUCGAGGUUGUUUUAGAAGGAGAACUCGUCGAGUCAUUGCUAAACUCGACGAGUAGAAGCGUGAAGAAGGACAGAUGAAGGGUAGGGAGUUGAUGAGUUGGAGGCCCAACUUGGCGAGUCAGGUCAACUGGAGGUUGACUUUGACUUUGAAUUGGUCAGGGGUAAAGUAGUCAUUUUACCCUAGGAACAGUUAUCAGUGUCUGACUAAGUGUUUUAUGCGAAUUAUAGCCGGAGGAUCACCGGAGCAGCAGUCAGACAUCUGUCGAUCAACUCUUCAGCAGUCAGCCUUAUGAGGUGAGUUACCUUCCAGUAGGGGUGGGUCUAAGGCUCUAAUGCCGGCCCACCAGUAGAUGAUUAUGGUUGAGAUGGUUAUCUUUGUGAUAAUUUUCUGGUUGCUAUUUCUGUGCUGAGUAUAUGUUAAGUAGUAGUAGGGCACACUAGCCCUGGUUACUGGUUGAAAGAUACCGAGGCCGAUUACCGGUUGAAAGAUACCGAAGGGGUAGACAAAACCCACGCAUGUAUAGUAGUAUGAUUAUGAUAUGUCAUUAUGUGACUCAGUAUGCUUAUGUAUGUUAUUAUGAAACCAGUAUGUUUAUGAACUGUAGUAUGUGAUAGGGAUAGAGGGUGAAAUAGUCCCCAGAUACCGGCUGAAAGAUACCGAAGGGGAGGUUAGUUCCUGGAUACUGGUUGAAAGAUACCAAAGGGGAGAGUAGCUCUCAGUUACCGAUUGAAAGAUACCGAAGGCGAGGGUAGCUCCCGGUUACCGGUUGAAAGAUACCGAUGAUUAUGUGCUAUGGGUAUGACGGGGGAACUCACUAAGCUUCGUGCUUACAGUUUCAGUUUUGGUUUCAGGUACCUCUUCUUCUAAGGGGAAGGAGCCGGCAGUGUAGUAGCGCAUCACACACACAUGUUUUCUGCAUGGAGUUUCCUGGGAAUGUACUAUGAUUUAAUUUACUUUUGACAAAAUGGUUUAUGGUGACAUGUUUUGGAUUAUUGAGACAUUGGUUGUGACAUGAGAUAUCAUUGUGAAUGUUUUUAUACUGAUGGUUUUAAUGUUAUAAUUUAUUUAAAAACGAAAUUUUGGUCUUGAAUUUUGGAAUGUUACAAGUUGGUAUCAGAUCCCUGGUUUGAGGGAUUCGGACACACCCUCGGGGGUGUCUGGACUCAAACCGUGGGGCUAAAGGAUUUUUUUCAAGAAAUGGUUUUCUAAAUCUAAGAAAAAGAGUUUGAGAAAGAACAAGGUGUGUGGUGCGUGUGACCGAUUGAGCUCAAGUAAGUUUUCCCCAAGAUACCCAUACUUGUUAUGUUAUGUUAUAUGAUAUAUGUGUUGGAUUAAUGUCUAAGUCCAUAACUAUAACUGGUAAGACUUGACCCGACCCGACAUGGUCCAUUUGGGUUGCAUGGCAUCAUGCACUUGGAUAGACUAAAUGAGAGAAAUAAGACACUUAUGGUUAUUAAUAUAUUAUAAGUUCUAGUAUAUUAAUAAUAAGAAUAAGAUUAUUUAAUUAGUAUUGAUCAAGAAUUAAUCUAGGAUUAAUUAAGUGAUCAAAAGAAGACUAAUUAAAUAUAUGGGUUGAUUGUGCAAAUCAUCCAUAACUUAUAUAGUGGGCCAAAGCUCCAUGGAUAAUCAAGUUGGGUUAAACCCAUAGGAUGGUCCAUGGAUACUCCAUGGAGGUUACAUAACCCAUGGGUCAUGGAAAUGAAAGGUCAUGACAAUUAGGGUUUACAUGGUGUAACUCUAAUUGUAACAUACUAUAUAAGCAUCAUAUUAUUCACCAAAAUCGGCACUAGUGGGUGUACUAGAAGGGCUAGCCGAUUUCAUGAAGUGUGGGUUUUCUCUCAAGUCAUUCCAUGUGUAUUUGGUGUUGUGUGAACCAUUUGAGGUGUCACACUUGGGGCACUAGGCACUCAAGCUUCAUGAAGACUUUCUACAUCAAAGAGGUAUGUAUUCUAUCUUGCUAUAGUCAUUGUUUUGUAUGCUAGAUUAGGAUAAUACCUUGGAAGUUCUUAUUUGCAUGUAUAAUAGAGAAAACAUAGAUCCAAGGUAUUUAGGGUUGCAUGUACACUUAGGAGUGUUAGAAUGCUCAAAACCCAACAGUGGUAUCAGAGCCUAGGCUUGUUUUCUUGUUAUACCUGCAAUAGAAGCUGAAAAAACGAAUCUGGUGCUGUCUGGCCAUCAGACUCGGCGAGUCCAUCAGGAGACUCGACGAGUCCAUGCCUAAAAAGUGAUGAAUUCGAUCCAACUCGCCGAGUUUGUUCAUGCACUCGACGAGUUGGACCCCCAGACAGCAUAUUUUCGAGUUUUUUGGCUAGAAAUGGACUAGGAACAUUACCCUAAGUUGUUUUUGAACUUAUAAACUUGUUUUUGAUGUGGUAAUGUUCAUGCUAAUCCAUUUUCAAAGAUAAUUGUCAAUAGAUUCAUGUUUUGUAUUAGUUUAAGGUUUAGACUAAUUACAUGAAAAAGUUUGAUUUGAAUUAUCUUGUUCUUAUGAGUUGCUUAGAUUAAUAGAAAUGUUGAGUGAAAUAGUUGUUUUCAAUCCAUUUUAAUCUAAGAGUUGAGUAUAAAAUGUGUUUGUGUAACUUGUCCUCAAGUUACAUGAAGAGUCACAUUAAAGACUCAUAAAAUUCAUAAAAGUUGGCAAUGGUUACAAAAUGAAGAGUCUUGUGUCAUUGAAUAAUUUUUUUUGACUCCAUAACUUGUCCUCAAGUUAUGGAAGUUCAAGAGUCACUUCAUUAAAGAAAAAUAUGUAACCAUAAUUAAAUCCAUAAGUUAUAAAAUAAAGAAAAAGUUAGUUCUUUUAUUAGUUUAAAGUCUUCCAUAACUUGUCCUCAAGUUAUGGAACUUGAAGAGUUUUUGGAUUAAAACUACUUUAAACACAUAAGUUAUGGAAUUAAUUAGUUUUGAAUAGUUUCAAAACUUGCCCUCAAGUUUUGGAAUUUGAAAAGUUUUCAAGUAUGAAUACUUUAAUUCCAAGUUAGCCCUUAGAAUUUUAAAAGUUAAAAUUCAACCCUUAUACUUUAUAAUAUUAUAAGUUAAUAAUAUAUAUAUGUAUAAGAGUAAAGUCAGUCUUACCGCUAGUACGCCUCAUUCACGAAGCCGGUCUAUAAGGUGGGUAUAAGGUUGUUGCCUAUAAAAUGGCAACUUAAUGGGUGUCCACUCUCACCCACCGCUUGCUUGACUGGUGGAGGGUCGUUAGCCGAACGGGUUUGACAGGACUAGAAUUCUCCCUUCAUUAAAAGUAUUAAUGAUAAUACUAAGUAACUAAACUCUUAAUAAUACCCAAUCUUAGUUACUUAGGAAAAAUGUGAAUAAGGUGCUAAUCCAUGAAAUUACACUUUACACUUUGUCUAAGUCGUUAGUGGAGCGUGUGUGGUUAACCGGCACACUAACUUGGACUUAACAAGGUAGGUAAAGGGUGACUUAAUAUUUAUCAUAGUAUCGAUGGAGCGUGUGUGGUUAACCGGCACAUCGAUUGAGGGGUAAUUUAUUAAGGGUACCAAGUGAUUUGCAUGGUUACUUCACACCUUGUUUUGUGAUCCUCGGCAUCCCAGUCACAAAACCUGAAGGGCACACUCGAGAUUGAAACAUGCCUUUGAAAAGUUCAAUGAAUCUCAAAGAUCUAGGAGUUUCAAAACCAAUUAAAACCUAAUAAUACAUUUCGUUUAUCUUGGUGGAAAUUGGUGAAUCGUCAUUCACCUACCUUCAAAUAUUUUAUAGCUUGGAUUACGGCAUACCUCUUCUAAGUUAUAAAAUAGUUUGUUGGGUCCUAGCCUUAAUAUUUCAUAUUGGGUGUCAUAUUAAGGACUUUAAAUCAACUAUCUUGAAUAUCUCCCAAAAGAUGUCUGGUUUAGACACCUAUGAUCUUCCCAAAUCUCUUGAAACAAGGUUUCCUAAUGAAGAUGAUGUCCCAUGGAUAUCAUACUUCUUCACCUCUUCAAAUUAUUCUCCCUAACCCACAAGUUCUUGAAAAGUUUAAGGUCACUCAGGCCCUAUUGGCAAGGCAAGGUCUAGGUGUGGUCACAUCUUGGAGAUGUAGUCACAUAUUGACAAGCCGGGAGAGUUGGGUGUCAAAGUCUUGAGAAAGUUGGUGGUUCAACCACUUUCUAAGUCACAUAGUGAGUUCCUUUGGGACACCUAUGAAACAGACUAUGACAAGACCCUUAAUGAUCUUAUCUAUUUGCUAAGAUCAACUUCCUAAAACUUUAUGGACAUUGACAAUGAUGACAUUGGAUAUCCAGUAAAGCAUUCUCUUCCCAAUGGAAAGGGAUCGGCCAUAGUCAACUCGGUUGACCAAAUGGUAAAGAGAAAAGCUAAGUCUGUGAUAGUCCCGUGUACCAUUAUCAAAGGGUCCAUAUGUUUAUAUUGCCAAAGGAAGGGGCAUUGGUUGCGAAGCUGCCAAAUUUACCUAAGGAUGUUAAAGUCAAUAAGUUUGACUCUACUUCAGGUAAAGUCCACUAUCUAACUCUGUUAAGUUUCUAUUCUGAGAUUCUUGAUACAUGAUGUGACUGGGUCACAUGGUGAUGUUUUAAGAAUCAAAGAAAAGUGAAGAAACUUAAAGAAAGAAUAUGCUGAAUCUGAUGGCGUAGAUGGAUUUCUAUCGCAUAGUUUGAAGAUCGGAUUCUUGAGCUACUUCUUAGGAGUUAUGAGAUAUUGCUUAGGAAUAGAUAACAACAAGUUUUCAUAUGGAUUGUAAGGAUAAGUUUUUCCGCAAAGUUUUAAAAUAAAAGAAAAUUUUUUUGAUUUUAUUUAUUUUAAAAUAUCCUUACAAUGGCAUUUGAGGAAAAAUUGUUGCUUAUAUGAUUCCAUUAAGAGCAAGAGUGGAAAUAUGAAAUUGAUUCUUUCAUUUGUGGUAAUGUCUAAAUUUACCAAAUAAGGAAAGAUUCUCAUCACCCAAGUUUCAAUUGGACCGGAACUUGGAAUCAUGCAAGUUGUAUAGCAUGAUGAAUGAGAACUUUCAAGUUUUGGAAAAUUAAGACUAAUUACUUGUUCACAUGGAUGUGUGAGUCAAGUAAAGGACUUAGGGAUCGAGUACACAUUCUUGUGCACUGAUUAAGUCCACCACUAAAGAUCGAUAAGAAGAAUCAAAUAAGGCAGAAGGAUAAAAGUUUCUCAAAUCUGAAAAGAUGGGAGAGUACUUUAGUAUCAGUUUUGUGAUCAUCUUAAUGAUUAAGAAACCAUAUCAAAAUUAGUUCUCUAAGGAAAUCUUAGUGCAUUCUUAUGACUAAGAAGAGGAACUUGAAUUGUUGAAAUGGUUAAAUCAAGAAGAUGAGUCAUACUUCGUUCCAAUACAAGUCUUAGAGUCAUACUCCAAGAUUGUCAUUUGAGUGACAUGUCUUAAAGAAGGUUUAAAACACUUGUCAAAUGUAAGAGUAAAAGUUUUCUACUCUUGUACAUUUGAAAUUGGUAAGUUGUGAUGUUUUGGAUAAAACAAAGACCAACUUAGGCCAAUUGGGUAAAGUGUUUUUCUUGAUUAGAAUCCGCACUAUCUCUUGGAUGUUUGACAAGGGAGUCUUAUAUGUCAAGAGGACAGUGGGAGUCUUAAAGGUCUUGAAAGUCUCAAGAAAUAAUCAAGAAUAAAACCUAAAGUUCUUCACUAGCACACGACUUGAGGUUUAUAACCUAUCGUGUUGACAUAUCUGUGCCCAUUCCAGUUAAAGUUGGCUUUGCAUAUGAGUUCUUAGAGUUCUCAGUUUGUUGCAUAACAACUUGGAAGCAAUGGCAGGCCCUUGAGCUGCCAGGUGGCAAGAAGUUAAGAUUGAGUUCAAUCCAUAUGGUUUUGGAUUUGUCAUUAUCUUUGUCUUGUGAUUAUGGUUUGACAAAUUCAUAUGGGUAGGAACUCAUACACCAUAUAAAUCUAAGUGUCAUAAGGUUUCUCUCCGAUUCAUGAAAAUGAUGGUGAGGAAACGCUUUCACUAAGUAGAUUUUACGAAGAUAUCAAUUGUGUUAUUUGCAUUUUCAAAAGUCGUUAGUGGAGCGCGUGUGGUUAACCGGCACACUAACAUGGACUUGUGAGAAAUGGCAAAUGCCUAAGCAAUUGAGACCAUGAUUACGGUAUCCCUUUUCAUGGUUCUUGAAAUUGCUUAGACACACAGGUGAGCUAUCUACGGAAAGGGUGUAUGAAUCUAAAUUUCAGACUGUCCAGCUGAUUUCUGAGUACAUGUCAAAGCUAGUGGGAGCAUAAGUGUUAUGCUAAUAAUCAUCAUGUUAGUGGGAGCAUGAUAAUUAUGAUAAGUAUUGCAAGUUAGCAAUGUUAAUUAUAGAAAACAAAAGUUUCAAUUGGGAAAAAGUUGUUUUGCUAUAAUUAAGGGAGAGGAAAUUAUGCUUCAUCUCAAAUCUAUAAGCUUAGAUCGUGAGGUUUUAAUCAUUUAGUCAAGGAUAUAUAUGAAUUUCAUGUUGGAAUGGCUCAACAUAAGGAAAUUCUGUAUAUGGGUCCAUUAUUUGCGUUCUAAAAUUCGAUUAUGAUUACGGCAUCCCUUUUCAUAAUCUGAAUUAUGAGAACUUGGCAAAUUGAAAUGGAAAUAUUAUAGCAAAAGACUGGUUUAGUCUUUAUGUAAGACAUCAUGAAUCGUGUCCCAUAUGCUUCGGAUAUAGGAUCGAUUACAUGUGCUAUAUUCAUCCGUUCUAAAAUUUUCCAAAUGCCUGGGGCAUUAAGAAGGGAAAAGGUUUAGAACUGGAUAUGACUAAAAGGAUUAAACAAUUGUCGAGGACAAUCUAAGGUUUACCAAAGAUUGGUUACUCAAGGACAAUUGGAAGUAUAGUGAUAAUUCUGGAAGGACCAUAUUGACAUAAUCUGUAAGGAGGCAACUCUUGUUCAGAAGUGAUAGUCAAAAUGGAAUCUGGAAAUGUUUCAAAGUUAGAAUUUUCAAUCUGUGUAAGAUUAAGGAAACUUAAUGCAAGAAGGAUAUUUCCAAGGAGUUGAUCUCCUUUGGAAUACUCUGUAAUGAUUGUUGCCAAGUCUUUGUGACUUUGUGCAUAAUCAUUACAAGAGGAUCAAUGCAUAUAAGUUUAGAAUCUAACAGAUUUCAGUAAAUGGCAUGAAUUUGGAAUUCUUGCAUUUGCAGUAAGGAUUUGGGAGUGUGAAAAGAGAAUCAUUGAAGUUAUGUUCAAUUGAUCUAGUUCACAAAGUAAAGAUCAUAGACAAACAUAGUAUGCAUACUUGGUGUGUGGCAUGACUAGUGUUUAAGAAAACAUAGUGUACAUGCUUGGAGCAUGGGACAACUAUUGUUUUAAAUUCAAGAAUAAAGUUGAUAGCUGAAACAGUAUACAAUGAAUAAUGUGUAAUCAUAUGGUGAUAAAUAAAAGGUGUUUUAUUUAUGUUCAAAGGGUUGAUACCAUAUUGGAUUCAAUUAUUAUUGUGUUUCAUUUUGCAUGUUUUGACUUCCCGAAUAAACUGGGUUAUUCUUCCGGAAUGACUAAGUUAUUCAAACCAUCCACAGUCGGUCAUAUGUUGGAAGUAGAUAUGAAUUAAGACUGUCAUGGGUUGGCUUGUAGAGGUCUAAGGUGUUGGACAAAGGGCUACAACACUCAUGAGUGCUCAUAAGUUCUGAGUAUUGGAUUCAACCCGCGCUCAUUGGAAUCACUUCAUGGAUUUUAUCACGAGUGAUCAUGAGACGAUAAUAUCUUAUAUUCUUCAAACCUAGAGAUAUGAGUUGUUACUAUGAGUUGAUAGUACAUUGAUUGCACGAAAACGCAUUUGGUAACUCGGUGCUAUAAAACGUGCCUUUGUGUAUGAUUCAACAAGUAGUAGAACAAGCCAUAUGAGUCGAAGUUUAUCCAUUCCUUUUACCUUCGGGAUAAAAGCGAUAUCUGUGGGCCCCUCGAUGAUUUGAUGAUGACAAAUGGAAGUGCUCGGCCGGGCCAGGACUGAUUUGAUUUGUUCAAUUAGUCAGUCGUCAUAAAUCGGAAAUCGGGAAACAACAAAUGGACAGAGAGAAUGAUUAUAAUCCAUGUCUCAGUCCAUAUGAUAUCUAGAAUGGAGGAAUAUAUGAUCCCUUAUCUAAUGGACAAGUCAUUGACAAAGGUCAGAGUUCAUCUACAAGGUCAGAGUUCGACAGAAGCUUUUGAGAGCUACGAUUGCCAGUUGGUUCCUGAAGUCAUACGCAAUAAUAGUUUUAGACUUAUCCAAGUGGGAGACUGUUGGAUUAAUGUCUAAGUCCAUAACUAUAAUUGGUAAGACUUGACCCGACCCGGCAUGGUCCAUUUGGGUUGCAUGGCAUCAUGCACUUGGAUAGACUAAAUGAGAGAAAUAAGACACUUAUGGUUAUUAAUAUAUUAUAAGUUCUAGUAUAUUAAUAAUAAGAAUAAUAGUAUUUAAUUAGUAUUGAUCAAGAAUUAAUCUAGGAUUAAUUAAGUGAUCAAAAGAAGACUAAUUAAAUAUAUGGGUUGAUUGUGCAAAUCAUCCAUAACUUAUAUAGUGGGCCAAAGCUCCAUGGAUAAUCAAGUUGGGUUAAACCCAUAAUGGUCCGUGNGGUCCAUGGAUGCUCCAUGGUGUAUUUGUACCCAUGGAUCCAAGGAAAUGGAAAGUCAUGACAAUUAGGGUUUGCCCUAAUUGUAACACUAUAUAAGCAUCAUAUUAUUCACCAAAAUUGGUACUAGUGGGUGUACUAGAAGGGCUAGCCGAUUUCAUGAAGUGUGGGUUUUCUCUCAAGUCAUUCCAUGUGUAUUUGGUGUUGUGUGAACCAUUUGAGGUGUCACACUUGGGGCACUAGGCACUCAAGCUUCAUGAAGACAUUCUACAUCAAAGAGGUAUGUAUUCUAUCUUGCUAUAGUCAUUGUUUUUGUAUGCUAGAUUAGGAUAAUACCUUGGAAGUUCUUAUUUGCAUGUAUAAUAGAGAAAACAUAGAUCCAAGGUAUUUAGGGUUGCAUGUACACUUAGGAGUGUUAGAAUGCUCAAAACCCAACAAUAUGACUCUAAGAACCGCAUGCUAGAUUAGGGAUGAGGAUCUAGGAGGAUGCCUUUUAUGCCUGAUAUAUGUUUUCAAGAACUGCAUGCUAGAUUAGGGUUGAGGAUCUAGGAAGGAUGCCUUAUAUUCCUGUUGUAUGAGCUGCAUGCUAGGACUACCUAGUCAACAGUAGGAUGGCCUGGUUAGGUAAUGCUUGAUAUGCUUACUCGAUGCACGAAUUCUGCUUGCUUUUUGAUAUAGGGGUCUUGGCUAACUUCUACUAACCAGUGAACGGAUGUGUAAUAGUAUACGCAAGCUAGUUAGGGGAGGAUGGUAAGGACUCCUGGUGCAGCUGAUGGCAGAGAGUAGGUCGGAGAGUGCCCUAGGAAAGCCUAGGAUGGGAAUAGUUGGAAAGGGAUAUUGGUUAAGGGACUUGGUGAAGUCAAAUCAAUCCUUGAGGAAAGUACGGAUAGAUGUGGAAGGUAGUGUGGGGCCGUACUACUGAAAACAGAGGAUCCGUACUCGAGCCAAGGAGGGCCGAGAUGGAACCAGAAAUCUUGGAUAAUGUGUGAGACCUCUCGGGGUAUGUUUUGAUCCUGACAUUUAUGUGUUAUUUUCAGUAUGGUGGUCACACGACAUGGAGCAGGAGGCUCAGGGUCCACUCUCACCUACCGCUUGCUUGACUGGUGGAGGGUCGUUANACGGGUAAGACAAGGACUUAUUAAUUCUCAUUCAAAGUAUGAUGAAUAUUAUAAAGUAACUAAACGUUUUUAUUAAAUUCCCAAUCUUAGUUACUUUAGGAAAAAUGUGAAUAAGGUGCUAAUCCAUGAAAUUACACUUUACACUUUGACUUAAGUCGUUGGUGGAGCGUGUGUGGUUAACCGGCACACUAACUUGGACUUAACAAGGUAGGUAAAGGGUGAAUUAAGGUUUAUCAUAGUAUCGGUGGAGCGUGUGUGGUUUACCGGCACAUCGAUUGAGUGAUAAACUUUAAGGGUACCAAGUGAUUUGCAUGGUUACUUCACACCUCGUUUUGUGAUCCUCGGUAUCCCAGUCACAAAACUUGGAGGGCACACUCGAGAUUGAAACAUGCCUUUGAAAAGUUCAUUGAAUCUCAAAGAAUCUAGGAAUUUCUAAGAACCAUUCAAAAACCUAAUACUAAAAUAUUGCGGUUUUCGUGGUGGAAAUUGGUGAAUCGUCAUUCACCUACCUUUCAAAUAUGAUAUAGCUUAGAUUACGGCAUACCUCUUCUAAGUUAUAUUAUAUUGUGAUUGGAUCCUAGCCUUAAUAUUACAUUUGGGUGUUUUAUUAAGGACUCUCUUAUAUCUAAACUAAUCUUGUCCUCUUUCCUUCAGAUGUCUUUCAACAAUGCUUCUGGCUCUAAUCCUAAUGGCUCCUUUACCCUUAUGAACUUGUGUGGGAAAGUCACCUUUGAUGGAUCCAACUUCAAUGAGUGGAUCAGAAACAUCAGGAUGAUUACCCGCUACGAGGACAAAGAAUAUGUCCUUGACAAGGAGCUUAAGGAGAUUGAUGAGUCCACUGCAACUCCUCAGGAGAUCGCUGAAUUUCGGGCACAUGAAAGGGAUGCUACGAAAGUGGCUUGCAUCAUGAUGGCCACGAUGACAGCGGAACUCCAAAAGUCUUAUGAGGAUUUCUACCCUUAUGACAUGCACCAAGAUUUGAUGGAAAGAUACCAUCAAAGUGCAAGACAAGAGAGGUAUGAAAUCAUCUGCUCCAUGAUAACAACCAUGAUGAAGGACGGGGAAUCCGUCACGAGCCACAUGCAGAAAAUGCAAAGGUAUGUGGAUCGUUUGCUGAAGCUUAAUGUGAACUUCCCGGAGGAUCUUGCAAUAGAUAUUAUUUUGCAUUCCUUACCAUCGUGCUAUGAUCAAUUCCGCAUGACAUAUCACAUGAACAAGGAAGAAGUCACCCUCAGCAAACUUCAGGGACUUCUCAAGACCGCAGAAACAGGUCUUAAGGGGAAGUCGGUUGCUAUCACUCCUACUCAAAACUCUACUCCGGUUUUGGCAAUCGGGAAAAGUCGAGGGAGGAAGAGAAAGAGCUCUUCUAAGGGUACCAAGGCUCGGACCCUUGAUGGCUCUUCUUCAAGUGGAACCAAGAAAGGUUUCGUUACUCCUUCUUCUGACCCAAAAGAGGCUGAAUGCUUCUAUUGCCAUGAAAAAGCUCAUUGGAAGCGGAACUGCCCAAAAUACCAGCAAGAUGUGAAGGAUGGGAAAGUUAAACCCAACCAUGCAGGUAUUUACACUAUCAUUUCUAAUAACUCACCCCAUUCUAAUUCUUGGGUCCUUGAUACCGGGUGUGGUAUUCACAUUUGUUGUGACUUGCAGGGACUAAGAAGAAGUGAGGAUGUGGAGCAAGGAAGGAUAAACUUGAUCAUGGGGAAUAGGAAAGCUAUACCUGUUACCAAGAUUGGAGUUUAUACUUUAUCGCUAAGUAGUGGGUUUAGUUUAGAUUUGAAUAAGUGUUGUUAUUCGCCAGGAAUGGCAAGAAAUAUUAUUUCCUUUCAUGCUUUGUACAAACAAGGGUUUACCUUUUCAUUUAAUAAUGAAGUUGGUUCUAUAGAUGUUUUCUAUAAUAAUGUCUUUUAUUUUAAAGCAUUACCUUGUGAUGGUGUGUAUGAAGCUGUAUCUGUUGUAGAUAACUUGGGAAAUAAUGUUUUGUGUAUUGAUUCUACUAAUAAUAACUUGGAUAAAGCAUCUUUAUGGCAUUGUCGUCUUGGACAUAUAAGCAAGAAACGCAUAGGCCAACUCCAAAAGGAUGGAGUCUUGGAGUCGUUUGACCUAAAGUCAGAUGAUAGUUGCGAAUCAUGCUUACUUGGAAAAAUGACAAAGUCACCCUUCACAGGUUCGUGUGAGAGGGGUGAAGGUUUGUUGGACCUUAUACACACGGAUGUGUGUGGACCAUUCAAACAUGCCACAAGGGAUGCUAAUCGUUAUUAUUUGACUUUUACUGAUGAUUAUAGUAGAUAUGGAUAUGUCUACUUGAUCAAGCAUAAGUCAGAGACUUUCGAGAGGUUUAAGGAAUUUAAACAGGAAGUCGAGAAUCAAUUGGGCAGGAACAUUAAGAUGCUUCGAUCCGAUCGUGGUGGUGAGUAUCUUAGUUCAGAGUUCCUCGACUAUCUAAGGGAAUGUGGGAUAGUCUCACAAUUGACACCUCCCAGGACACCACAGUUGAAUGGUGUGGCUGAGAGGCGUAAUCGAACCUUGUUAGAUAUGGUUCGUUCCAUGAUGAGUCGAGCUACGCUACCAAUCUCAUUCUGGGGGUAUGCCUUAGAGACUGCCGCCCAUAUUCUUAAUCUAGUCCCUACAAAGAAAGUUGCCAAAACUCCUCACGAGAUGUGGACUGGUAAAGUACCUAAACUAGACCACAUCAAGAUUUGGGGUUGCGAGGCUUUCGUGAGACGCGAGACUCAUGAUAAGCUCGAACCUCGAAGCGAGAGGUGUAUUUUCAUCGGUUACCCACAGCGAUCCUUUGGUUACCUCUUCUACAGACCUAGUGACAAUGUGGUCUUUGUAGCAAGAAGAGGAGUCUUUCGAGAAAGAGAGUUUAUAAGCCAAGGAGACAGUGGGAGGCAAAUUGAUCUUGAAGAAAUUCAAGAAUCAAGCGGUGAAGGAACUUCAAACUCUAGCCCUCAACUUGAGGAGGAAACUCCUGUUGAGCCAAUUGACAAAUCUGUACCUCUGAGACGUUCCACGAGAGUUAGGAGUGCACCUGAGCAUUACUAUGGAUUCCAUAUUACUGCAGAAGGUGAGACACUUAUUAGUGAUGAGACACUAGUAAGUCAAGAUGACCCUAACAGCUACGAGGAAGCCAUGGCAGGCCCCGAGUCUGCUAAAUGGAAAGAGGCUAUGGAUAGCGAGAUACAAUCCAUGUAUGACAAUCAAGUUUGGAACUUGGUUGAAAAUGUACCAGGUCGUAAGACAGUAGGGUGCAAAUGGGUCUUCAAGAAGAAGACCGACAUGGAUGGUAAAGUACACACUUAUAAGGCUAGACUGGUUGCAAAGGGCUUCUCUCAAAUUCCUGGAGUGGAUUAUGAUGAGACCUUUUCUCCGGUAGCCAAGAUUAAGUCUAUUCGGGUUCUGUUAGCCAUAGCUGCAUUUCAUGACUAUGAAAUAUGGCAGAUGGAUGUCAAAACCGCUUUCCUUAAUGGAAAGUUGGCUGAAGAUGUUUACAUGAGUCAGCCAGAGGGUUUUGUCAGCAACGAGUACCCUAAUAGAGUGUGUAAGCUUGAGAAAUCCAUUUAUGGAUUGAAGCAAGCACCUCGCAGAUGGAAUCUUUGCUUUGAUGAAAAGGUCAAGGAAUUUGGCUUUUCUAGGAGUGAAGAUGAAUCUUGUGUGUAUGUCAAGGCUAGUGGGAGUAUAGUUAGCUUUUUGGUAUUGUAUGUGGAUGACAUACUACUCAUAGGAAACGACAUUCCAACCCUGCAGGAAGUAAAGUCCUGGCUUGGGAAGUGUUUCGCUAUGAAGGACCUUGGUGAAGCUGCCUAUAUUCUAGGGAUAAGAAUCUUGAGAGAUCGGAGUAAAAGACUAAUUGGACUUAGUCAGAGUACCUACUUGGAUAAGGUGCUGAAGAGAUUCAGCAUGCAGGAUUCCAAGAAAGGAGAGUUACCCAUCCAGAGUAACACCAGAUUGAGUAAGACACAAAGCCCUAGCACUGAGGCUGAGAUAGCAGAAAUGAGUCGAACACCUUACGCUUCGGCUGUAGGAUCGAUCAUGUAUGCUAUGACGUGUACUCGACCCGAUGUAGCUUUUGCCUUGAGCAUGGUUAGCAGGUAUCAGGCGAACCCUGGCAAGGCACACUGGACUGCGGUAAAGAAUAUCCUCAAGUACCUACGGAGGACUAAGGACUGGGUCCUUACCCUCGGUGGGAGUGAUGACUUGAGAGUUGUAGGGUAUAGUGAUGCUAGCUUCCAGACUGAUAGGGAUAAUUUCCGCUCUCAGUCGGGCUGGGUCUUUACCCUAAACGGAGGAGCAAUUUCUUGGAAGAGUUCCAAGCAAGAGACAGUGGCAGAUUCUACUUGUGAAUCAGAGUAUAUUGCAGCUAGUGAAGCAGCAAAGGAGGCGAUAUGGCUGAAGAACUUCAUUGGAGACCUUGGAGUUGUACCAGCUAUUAAAGAGCCAAUGGAAAUUUUCUGUGAUAGUGAAAGUGCUGUUGCCUUAGCCAAGGAACCAAGGGAUCAUGGGAGAUCCAGACACAUCGACAGAAAAUACCAUUUCAUUAGACAUCGGAUCGAAGAAGGACUCCUCGUGGCAAAGAGGGUAUCAUCGGAUGAGAACCCAGCAGAUCCCCUCACGAAGGGACUGAGUAGGGUUAAGCAUCUCCAGCAUGCUCGGAGCAUAGGGCUGAAGGAUGAUAUAAGUUUUAGUAGUUAGAUAACCCAGAAAUUUGUAAAGUGUAAUUGACAUUUGAUGAUGAAUAAAAGGUGUUUUAUUUAUGAGUAAAGUGUUGCUAUCUCUUGUCGAUCGUUUACUAUAUUUCUUUUGCAUGUUUUGACUUCCAGAAUAAUUUUGUUUGGUAUAACAUAUUAUUCAAACCUCCACAGUCGGUCAUAUGUUGGAAGUAGAUAUGAAUCAAGACUGUCAUGUUUGGUUGUAGAGGUCUUGGACAAGGCUACAACAAUCAUGAGUGCUCAUAAGUUCUGAGCAUUGGACUCAACCCACGCUCACUGGAAUCACUUCAUGGAAUUCUAUCUCGAGUGAUCGUGAGACGGUAAUAUCAUAUAAGUCUUCAAACCUAGAGAUAUGAUUUGUUACUUACAAGUUGGUUAUGCAUUGACUGUACGAAACCGCAUUGGUAACUCGAUGUUAUAAAACGUACUUUUGUGUGUAAUUCAAUGAGUGGUAGAACAAACAUAUGAGUCGAAGUUUAUCUGUUCCUUCUUGGAUUAGAAGCUGAUAUCUGGGCCCCUCGAUGAUUUUGUUUUGACCCAUGUACCGGGCCCGGUCAGAACUAAGUUGAUGUGUUCAAUUAAGUUCUAUGUCAAACAAAUCGGAAAUCGGGAAACAAAUGCUGGACAAUAAGCAAGACAAUGUUCCAUGUAUUUGUCCGGCUGAUAUCUAGAACGGAGGAUUAUAUGAUCACUUAUCUUAAAUGGCGUACCAUCAUCUUCUCAGUUCCGAGAGACCUUGAAAGAGCUACGAUUGCCGGUCGGUUCCUGAAGUACUAGAGAUAUAGUUAUUAGACUUAUCCAAGUGGGAGACUGUUGGAUAAGGUGUCUAAGUCCAUAACUAUUUCGGGCUUGUACUUGACCCGACCCGGCAUGGUCCAUUUGGGUUGCAUGGCACCAUGCAAUUGGAUAGACUAAAUGAGAGAAAUAACACUUGGAGAUUAUUAAUAUAUUAUAAGUUCUAAUAUAUUAAUAAUAUUAUUUGAUUAGUUGAUCAAAGAAUUAAUUUGGAAUUAAUUAAGUGAUCAAAGGAUAACUAAUUAAAUAUAUGGGUUGAUUAUGUAAAUCAUCCAUAUCUUGUAUAGUGGGCUAAGAGGCUCCAUGGAUUAUCAAGUUGGGUUCUACCCAUAGGAUGCUCCAUGGAUGCUCCAUGGGAGUUACAAACCCAUGGGUCAUGGAAAUGAAGAGUCAUGACACAUUAGGGUUUACAUGGUGUAACCCUAGAUGUGCCAACACUAUAUAAGAGUCCCAUUCUCCACAAAAUUGGCUACACAAGUUGAACACUAAGAAACUAGAGGGCUUGGCCGAUUUUGAGAAGUGUGUGUUAUCUCAAGAGUCUUUCCAAGAGCAUUUGGUGUUGUGUGAAGCAUUUGAGGCAUCACACUUGGGGUGCUAGGCUCACAAGGUUUCAAGGAACACAAGCAACAACAAGGUAAGUUAUUCUAUCUAUGAUUCAAGUUAAAAUUGUUCCCCAUGUAUGCUAGAUAGGAAUAUAACCUUGGAAUUCAACUUUGCAUGAUAAUUAGACAAACAUAGAUCCAAGGUUAUUAGGGUUGCAUGUACACUUAGGAAGUGUUAGAAUGCUCAAAACCCAUCAGUGGUAUCAGAGCCUAGGCUUGUUUGUUUGUUAUUUGUGCUUAAAAGUUGAAGAAAGUCGAAAAUUCUGCUGUCUGACUGAUGGACUCGGCGAGUCCAUGGGGAGGACUCGUCGAGUUCAUGUGUAUCUUCAACCUACUCGGCGAGUAGGUUUAUGCACUCGGCGAGUAGGGUCGACAGAGUGCAGAAUUUCGACUUGAGUUGCUGGAAAUGGAUUAGAAUCAUUACCCUAAAAUGUUUUGGUACUUGAAAACUUAUUUUAGAAGGUGUAAUGUCUUUUCUAACUCAUUUACAACAACUAGUUAUCAAAAUUACAAAGAUUAAAUGUGAUUUUGAUUCUUGAAAGUGUUCAUAUUCAUAUUCUUGUUCUUAUGAUGUUUAGAUGAUCAUAGGAAUUAUUUGUAACCUAUGUGGUAGAUUAAUUCAUGAUCAUAAUGUGUUUUAAUGGAGUCCAUAACUUGUCCUCAAGUUAUGGAAAACCAAAAGUCUCUUGGAUUAAAAACCAUUAAAAGAACACAAGAGUUAGGAAAAAUGAAAAGUCCUCAUUUUAUUACUCUAUUAAACUCAUAAGUUACAAGAAAUGAAAAGUUUUGAAAGUUUACAAAACUUGCCCUCAAGUUUUGGAACAAGUAAAGUUAAGUUAAAACUUUAGUUCCAACCCCUAGAAUUUUAAAAGUUAAAAUUCAACCCUUAUACUUAUAUUAUUAUGAUUUAAUAAUUAUAUAUAUAUGUAUAAGAACAAAGUCGUCUUACCGCUAGUACGCCUCAUUCACGAAGCCGGUCUAUAAGGUGGGUAUAAGGUUGUUGCCUAUAAAAUGGUGACUUAAUGGGUGUCCACUCUCACCCACCGCUUGCUUGAUCGGUGGAGGGUCGUUAGCCGAACGGGUAAGACAAGGACUUAUUAAUUCUCAUUCAAAGUAUGAUGAAUAUUAUAAAGUAACUAAAUGUUUUAUUAAAUUCCCAAUCUUAGUUACUUUAGGAAAAAUGUGAAUAAGGUGCUAUUCCAUGAAAUUACACUUUACACUUUGAUUAAGUCGUUGGUGGAGCGUGUGUGGUUAACCGGCACACUAACUUGGACUUAACAAGGUAGGUAAAGGGUGACUUAGGGUUUAUUAUAGUAUCGAUGGAGCGUGUGUGGUUAACCGGCACAUCGAUUGAGUGAUAAACUUUAAGGGUACCAAGUGAUUUGCAUGGUUACUUCACACCUCGUUUUGUGAUCCUCGGUAUCCCAGUCACAAAACUUGGAGGGCACACUCGAGAUUGAAACAUGCCUUUGAAAAGUUCAUUGAAUCUCAAAGAAUCUAGGAAUUUCUAAGAACCAUUCAAAAACCUAAUACUAAAAUAUUGCGGUUUUCGUGGUGGAAAUUGGUGAAUCGUCAUUCACCUACCUUUCAAAUAUGAUAUAGCUUAGAUUACGGCAUACCUCUUCUAAGUUAUAUUAUAUUGUGAUUGGAUCCUAGCCUUAAUAUUACAUUUGGGUGUUUUAUUAAGGACUCUCUUAUAUCUAAACUAAUCUUGUCCUCUUUCCUUCAGAUGUCUUUCAACAAUGCUUCUGGCUCUAAUCCUAAUGGCUCCUUUACCCUUAUGAACUUGUGUGGGAAAGUCACCUUUGAUGGAUCCAACUUCAAUGAGUGGAUCAGAAACAUCAGGAUGAUUACCCGCUACGAGGACAAAGAAUAUGUCCUUGACAAGGAGCUUAAGGAGAUUGAUGAGUCCACUGCAACUCCUCAGGAGAUCGCUGAAUUUCGGGCACAUGAAAGGGAUGCUACGAAAGUGGCUUGCAUCAUGAUGGCCACGAUGACAGCGGAACUCCAAAAGUCUUAUGAGGAUUUCUACCCUUAUGACAUGCACCAAGAUUUGAUGGAAAGAUACCAUCAAAGUGCAAGACAAGAGAGGUAUGAAAUCAUCUGCUCCAUGAUAACAACCAUGAUGAAGGACGGGGAAUCCGUCACGAGCCACAUGCAGAAAAUGCAAAGGUAUGUGGAUCGUUUGCUGAAGCUUAAUGUGAACUUCCCGGAGGAUCUUGCAAUAGAUAUUAUUUUGCAUUCCUUACCAUCGUGCUAUGAUCAAUUCCGCAUGACAUAUCACAUGAACAAGGAAGAAGUCACCCUCAGCAAACUUCAGGGACUUCUCAAGACCGCAGAAACAGGUCUUAAGGGGAAGUCGGUUGCUAUCACUCCUACUCAAAACUCUACUCCGGUUUUGGCAAUCGGGAAAAGUCGAGGGAGGAAGAGAAAGAGCUCUUCUAAGGGUACCAAGGCUCGGACCCUUGAUGGCUCUUCUUCAAGUGGAACCAAGAAAGGUUUCGUUACUCCUUCUUCUGACCCAAAAGAGGCUGAAUGCUUCUAUUGCCAUGAAAAAGCUCAUUGGAAGCGGAACUGCCCAAAAUACCAGCAAGAUGUGAAGGAUGGGAAAGUUAAACCCAACCAUGCAGGUAUUUACACUAUCAUUUCUAAUAACUCACCCCAUUCUAAUUCUUGGGUCCUUGAUACCGGGUGUGGUAUUCACAUUUGUUGUGACUUGCAGGGACUAAGAAGAAGUGAGGAUGUGGAGCAAGGAAGGAUAAACUUGAUCAUGGGGAAUAGGAAAGCUAUACCUGUUACCAAGAUUGGAGUUUAUACUUUAUCGCUAAGUAGUGGGUUUAGUUUAGAUUUGAAUAAGUGUUGUUAUUCGCCAGGAAUGGCAAGAAAUAUUAUUUCCUUUCAUGCUUUGUACAAACAAGGGUUUACCUUUUCAUUUAAUAAUGAAGUUGGUUCUAUAGAUGUUUUCUAUAAUAAUGUCUUUUAUUUUAAAGCAUUACCUUGUGAUGGUGUGUAUGAAGCUGUAUCUGUUGUAGAUAACUUGGGAAAUAAUGUUUUGUGUAUUGAUUCUACUAAUAAUAACUUGGAUAAAGCAUCUUUAUGGCAUUGUCGUCUUGGACAUAUAAGCAAGAAACGCAUAGGCCAACUCCAAAAGGAUGGAGUCUUGGAGUCGUUUGACCUAAAGUCAGAUGAUAGUUGCGAAUCAUGCUUACUUGGAAAAAUGACAAAGUCACCCUUCACAGGUUCGUGUGAGAGGGGUGAAGGUUUGUUGGACCUUAUACACACGGAUGUGUGUGGACCAUUCAAACAUGCCACAAGGGAUGCUAAUCGUUAUUAUUUGACUUUUACUGAUGAUUAUAGUAGAUAUGGAUAUGUCUACUUGAUCAAGCAUAAGUCAGAGACUUUCGAGAGGUUUAAGGAAUUUAAACAGGAAGUCGAGAAUCAAUUGGGCAGGAACAUUAAGAUGCUUCGAUCCGAUCGUGGUGGUGAGUAUCUUAGUUCAGAGUUCCUCGACUAUCUAAGGGAAUGUGGGAUAGUCUCACAAUUGACACCUCCCAGGACACCACAGUUGAAUGGUGUGGCUGAGAGGCGUAAUCGAACCUUGUUAGAUAUGGUUCGUUCCAUGAUGAGUCGAGCUACGCUACCAAUCUCAUUCUGGGGGUAUGCCUUAGAGACUGCCGCCCAUAUUCUUAAUCUAGUCCCUACAAAGAAAGUUGCCAAAACUCCUCACGAGAUGUGGACUGGUAAAGUACCUAAACUAGACCACAUCAAGAUUUGGGGUUGCGAGGCUUUCGUGAGACGCGAGACUCAUGAUAAGCUCGAACCUCGAAGCGAGAGGUGUAUUUUCAUCGGUUACCCACAACAAUCCUUUGGUUACCUCUUCUACAGACCUAGUGACAAUGUGGUCUUUGUAGCAAGAAGAGGAGUCUUUCGAGAAAGAGAGUUUAUAAGCCAAGGAGACAGUGGGAGGCAAAUUGAUCUUGAAGAAAUUCAAGAAUCAAGCGGUGAAGGAACUUCAAACUCUAGCCCUCAACUUGAGGAGGAAACUCCUGUUGAGCCAAUUGACAAAUCUGUACCUCUGAGACGUUCCACGAGAGUUAGGAGUGCACCUGAGCAUUACUAUGGAUUCCAUAUUACUGCAGAAGGUGAGACACUUAUUAGUGAUGAGACACUAGUAAGUCAAGAUGACCCUAACAGCUACGAGGAAGCCAUGGCAGGCCCCGAGUCUGCUAAAUGGAAAGAGGCUAUGGAUAGCGAGAUACAAUCCAUGUAUGACAAUCAAGUUUGGAACUUGGUUGAAAAUGUACCAGGUCGUAAGACAGUAGGGUGCAAAUGGGUCUUCAAGAAGAAGACCGACAUGGAUGGUAAAGUACACACUUAUAAGGCUCGACUGGUUGCAAAGGGCUUCUCUCAAAUUCCUGGAGUGGACUAUGAUGAGACCUUUUCUCCAGUAGCCAAGAUUAAGUCUAUUAGGGUUCUGUUAGCCAUAGCUGCAUUUCAUGACUAUGAAAUAUGGCAAAUGGAUGUCAAAACCUCUUUCCUUAAUGGAAAGUUGGCUGAAGAUGUUUACAUGAGUCAGCCAGAAAGUUUUGUCAGUACGGAGUACCCUAAUAGAGUGUGUAAGCUUGAAACAUCCAUUUAUUGGUUAAAGCAAGCACCUUGCAGGUGGAAUCUUUGCUUUGAUGAGAAAGUCAAGGAAUGUGGCUUUUCUAGGAGUGAAGAUGAAUCUUGUGUAUAUGUCAAGGCUAGUGGGAGUAUAGUUAGCUUUUUGGUAUUGUAUGUGGAUGACAUACUACUCAUAGGAAAUGACAUCCCAACUCUGCAGGAAGUUAAGUCCUGGCUUGGGAAGUGUUUCUCUAUGAAGGACCUAGGAGAAGCUGCCUAUAUUCUAGGGAUAAGGAUCUUGAGAGAUCGGAGUAAAAGAGUAAUUGGACUUAGUCAGAGUACCUACUUGGAUAAGGUGCUGAAGAGAUUCAGCAUGCAGGACUCCAAGAAAGGAGAGUUACCCAUCCAGAGUAACGCCGGAUUGAGUAAGACACAAAGCCCUAAAACUGAGGCUGAGAUAGCAGAAAUGAGUCGAAUACCUUAUGCUUCGGCUGUAGGAUCGAUCAUGUAUGCUAUGACGUGUACUCGACCCUAUGUAGCUUUUGCCUUAGCCAAGGAACCAAGGGAUCACAGGAUAUCAAGACACAUCGACAGAAAAUACCAUUUUAUCAGACAUCGAAUAGAAGAAGGACUCCUCGUGGAAAAGAGGGUAUCAUCGGAUGAGAAUCCAGCAGAUCCCCUCACGAAGGGACUGACUCGGGUUAAGCAUCUCCAGCAUGCUCGGAGCAUAGGGCUGAAGGAUGAUAUUAGAUUUAGUAGUUAGAUAACCUCGAAAUUAGUAAAGUGUAAUUGACAUUAGAUGAUGAAUAAAAGAUUUUUUGUUUAUGAGUAAAGUGUUGCUAUCUCUUAUCAAUCGUUUACUAUAUUUCUUUUGCAUGUUUUGACUUCCAGAAUAAUAAUGUUUGGUAUAUCAUAUUAUUCAAACCUCCACAGUCGGUCAUAUGUCGGAAGUAGGUAUGAAUCAAGACUGUCAUGAUUGGUUGCAGAGGUCUAAGGUGUUGGACAUGGCUAACACAAUCAUGAGUGCUCAUAAGUUAUGAGGAUUGGACUUAACCCACGCUCACUGGAAUCACUUCAUGGAAUUUGUCUCGAGAUGAUCGUGAGACGGUAAUAUCAUAUAAGUCUUCAAACCUAGAGAUAUGAUUUGUUACUUACAAGUUGGUUAUGCAUUGAUUGUACGAAAACGCAUUGGUAACUCGAUGUUAUAAAACGUGCUUUUGUGUGUAAUUCAAUGAGUGGUAGAACAAACAUAUGAGUCGAAGUUUAUCUGUUCCUUCUUGGAUUAGAAGCUGAUAUCUGGGCCCCUCGAUGAUUUUGUUUUGACCUAUGUACCGGGCCCGGUCAGAACUAAGUUGAUGUGUUCAAUUAAGUUCUAUGUCAAACAAAUCGGAAAUCGGGAAACAAACUGCUGGACAAUAAGUAAGACAUUGUUCCAUGUAUUUGUCCGGCUGAUAUCUAGAACGGAGGAUUAUAUGAUCACUUAUCUUAAAUGGCGUANNNNNNNNNNNNNNNNNNNNNNNNNNNNNNNNNNNNNNNNNNNNNNNNNNNNNNNNNNNNNNNNNNNNNNNNNNNNNNNNNNNNNNNNNNNNNNNNNNNNNNNNNNNNNNNNNNNNNNNNNNNNNNNNNNNNNNNNNNNNNNNNNNNNNNNNNNNNNNNNNNNNNNNNNNNNNNNNNNNNNNNNNNNNNNNNNNNNNNNNNNNNNNNNNNNNNNNNNNNNNNNNNNNNNNNNNNNNNNNNNNNNNNNNNNNNNNNNNNNNNNNNNNNNNNNNNNNNNNNNNNNNNNNNNNNNNNNNNNNNNNNNNNNNNNNNNNNNNNNNNNNNNNNNNNNNNNNNNNNNNNNNNNNNNNNNNNNNNNNNNNNNNNNNNNNNNNNNNNNNNNNNNNNNNNNNNNNNNNNNNNNNNNNNNNNNNNNNNNNNNNNNNNNNNNNNNNNNNNNNNNNNNNNNNNNNNNNNNNNNNNNNNNNNNNNNNNNNNNNNNNNNNNNNNNNNNNNNNNNNNNNNNNNNNNNNNNNNNNNNNNNNNNNNNNNNNNNNNNNNNNNNNNNNNNNNNNNNNNNNNNNNNNNNNNNNNNNNNNNNNNNNNNNNNNNNNNNNNNNNNNNNNNNNNNNNNNNNNNNNNNNNNNNNNNNNNNNNNNNNNNNNNNNNNNNNNNNNNNNNNNNNNNNNNNNNNNNNNNNNNNNNNNNNNNNNNNNNNNNNNNNNNNNNNNNNNNNNNNNNNNNNNNNNNNNNNNNNNNNNNNNNNNNNNNNNNNNNNNNNNNNNNNNNNNNNNNNNNNNNNNNNNNNNNNNNNNNNNNNNNNNNNNNNNNNNNNNNNNNNNNNNNNNNNNNNNNNNNNNNNNNNNNNNNNNNNNNNNNNNNNNNNNNNNNNNNNNNNNNNNNNNNNNNNNNNNNNNNNNNNNNNNNNNNNNNNNNNNNNNNNNNNNNNNNNNNNNNNNNNNNNNNNNNNNNNNNNNNNNNNNNNNNNNNNNNNNNNNNNNNNNNNNNNNNNNNNNNNNNNNNNNNNNNNNNNNNNNNNNNNNNNNNNNNNNNNNNNNNNNNNNNNNNNNNNNNNNNNNNNNNNNNNNNNNNNNNNNNNNNNNNNNNNNNNNNNNNNNNNNNNNNNNNNNNNNNNNNNNNNNNNNNNNNNNNNNNNNNNNNNNNNNNNNNNNNNNNNNNNNNNNNNNNNNNNNNNNNNNNNNNNNNNNNNNNNNNNNNNNNNNNNNNNNNNNNNNNNNNNNNNNNNNNNNNNNNNNNNNNNNNNNNNNNNNNNNNNNNNNNNNNNNNNNNNNNNNNNNNNNNNNNNNNNNNNNNNNNNNNNNNNNNNNNNNNNNNNNNNNNNNNNNNNNNNNNNNNNNNNNNNNNNNNNNNNNNNNNNNNNNNNNNNNNNNNNNNNNNNNNNNNNNNNNNNNNNNNNNNNNNNNNNNNNNNNNNNNNNNNNNNNNNNNNNNNNNNNNNNNNNNNNNNNNNNNNNNNNNNNNNNNNNNNNNNNNNNNNNNNNNNNNNNNNNNNNNNNNNNNNNNNNNNNNNNNNNNNNNNNNNNNNNNNNNNNNNNNNNNNNNNNNNNNNNNNNNNNNNNNNNNNNNNNNNNNNNNNNNNNNNNNNNNNNNNNNNNNNNNNNNNNNNNNNNNNNNNNNNNNNNNNNNNNNNNNNNNNNNNNNNNNNNNNNNNNNNNNNNNNNNNNNNNNNNNNNNNNNNNNNNNNNNNNNNNNNNNNNNNNNNNNNNNNNNNNNNNNNNNNNNNNNNNNNNNNNNNNNNNNNNNNNNNNNNNNNNNNNNNNNNNNNNNNNNNNNNNNNNNNNNNNNNNNNNNNNNNNNNNNNNNNNNNNNNNNNNNNNNNNNNNNNNNNNNNNNNNNNNNNNNNNNNNNNNNNNNNNNNNNNNNNNNNNNNNNNNNNNNNNNNNNNNNNNNNNNNNNNNNNNNNNNNNNNNNNNNNNNNNNNNNNNNNNNNNNNNNNNNNNNNNNNNNNNNNNNNNNNNNNNNNNNNNNNNNNNNNNNNNNNNNNNNNNNNNNNNNNNNNNNNNNNNNNNNNNNNNNNNNNNNNNNNNNNNNNNNNNNNNNNNNNNNNNNNNNNNNNNNNNNNNNNNNNNNNNNNNNNNNNNNNNNNNNNNNNNNNNNNNNNNNNNNNNNNNNNNNNNNNNNNNNNNNNNNNNNNNNNNNNNNNNNNNNNNNNNNNNNNNNNNNNNNNNNNNNNNNNNNNNNNNNNNNNNNNNNNNNNNNNNNNNNNNNNNNNNNNNNNNNNNNNNNNNNNNNNNNNNNNNNNNNNNNNNNNNNNNNNNNNNNNNNNNNNNNNNNNNNNNNNNNNNNNNNNNNNNNNNNNNNNNNNNNNNNNNNNNNNNNNNNNNNNNNNNNNNNNNNNNNNNNNNNNNNNNNNNNNNNNNNNNNNNNNNNNNNNNNNNNNNNNNNNNNNNNNNNNNNNNNNNNNNNNNNNNNNNNNNNNNNNNNNNNNNNNNNNNNNNNNNNNNNNNNNNNNNNNNNNNNNNNNNNNNNNNNNNNNNNNNNNNNNNNNNNNNNNNNNNNNNNNNNNNNNNNNNNNNNNNNNNNNNNNNNNNNNNNNNNNNNNNNNNNNNNNNNNNNNNNNNNNNNNNNNNNNNNNNNNNNNNNNNNNNNNNNNNNNNNNNNNNNNNNNNNNAACUAGAGGGCUUGGCCGAUUUUGAGAAGUGUGUGUUAUCUCAAGAGUCUUUCCAAGAGCAUUUGGUGUUGUGUGAAGCAUUUGAGGCAUCACACUUGGGGUGCUAGGCUCACAAGGUUUCAAGGAACACAAGCAACAACAAGGUAAGUUAUUCUAUCUAUGAUUCAAGUAAAAAUUGUUCCCCAUGUAUGCUAGAUAGGAAUAUAACCUUGGAAUUCAACUUUGCAUGAUAAUUAGACAAACAUAGAUCCAAGGUUAUUAGGGUUGCAUGUACACUUAGGAAGUGUUAGAAUGCUCAAAACCCAUCAAGGGAUUCAUCAGAAAGAGCAGUUCACCCUGGGGAGCCCCGAUUCUAUUUGUGAAAAAGAAGGACGGGUUGCAUCGGAUGUGUAUAGAUUACUGGGAGCUGAAUAAGGUAAUUGUGAAGAAUUUUUACACACUCCCGAGGAUCGAUGACCUCUUUGACCAGCUAUGGGUAGGAUCUUGAUUCUCCAAGAUUGAUCUGCGUUUAGGAUAUCAUCAGAUGAGGGUCAGAGAGGAGGAUGUACAGAAGACUGCGUUCCGGACGCGCUAUGGCCACUAUGAGUUUGUGGUGAUGCCUUUCGGUGUCACCAAUGCUCCUGCCGUGUUCAUGAUCUCAUGAACCGCAUGUGCAAACCGAUGUUGGAUCGGUCUGUGAUAGUUUUCAUCGAUGACAUCUUGGUUUAUUCCAAGACGCGAGAGCAACAUGAUGAGCAUUUGCGGGAGGUUUUGGAUACUUUGAGGAGGGAGGACUUGUAUGCUAAGUUCUCUAAGUGUGAGUUCUGGUUGUGCGAAGUGCAGUUUUUGGUCACCUUGUCAACCAGGACGGGAUUUCGGUGGAUCCGGCCAAGGUGGAGGCCGUGAUGAGGUGGGAAGUUCCGAGGUCUCCAUCUGAGAUUCAGAGCUUCCUUGGGGUGGCAUGCUACUAUCAGAGAUUCAUUCAGGACUUCUCCAAGAUAGCCGUACCUCUGACCAGGCUGACAAGGAAAGCCGUGGUCUUUUGCUAGGGGCUUGAGCAGCAGGCUGCGUUUGAGACAUUGAGACAGAGAUUGUGCAAGGCACCAAUCUUAGCCAUGCCGAAGGGCAUGGAUGAUUUUGUAGUGUAUUGCGAUGCGUCCACCUCAGGUUUGGGCACGGUAUUGACGCAUAGAGGGCAUGUUAUAGCUUACACUUCGAGGCAGCUGAAGCCUCAUGAGGCGAACAACCCGACGCAUGAUUUGGAGUUGGGGGCGGUUGUUUUUGCCCUCAAGAUUUGGCGUCAUUACCUCUAUGGGGUUCGUUGUACCAUUUACAUGGACCACACGAGCCUGAGGUAUCUCAUGGACCAACCGAAUCUGAACAUGAGGCAACGUCGGUGGUUAGAUGUGGUGAAGGAUUAUGAUUGUGAGAUCCUUACCAUCCGAGAAAGGCUAAUGUGGUGGCCGAUGCGCUUAGCCGCAAGGCAGCGCCGAUCAGAGAUAUCUGCAUGCGGAUUGCCGUGGUGACUCCAUUGUUGGAGCAGAUUUGAGAGGCCCAACAGGAGGCUAUGAAGGAGGAACAUCGGAAAAGAGAGCGUGUUGUGGGUCAGGUUUCCUCCUUCGACUAUGACAGCCGAGGCUUGUUGACCCUCCACCUACCAUGGAGGCGUGCGUCAGACAUUGAUGGAGGAGGUGCACAAAUCCAGGUUUUUUGUCCAUCCCGGGGCGACGAAGAUGUAUAGGGAUUUUUGUCUUGACUAUUGGUGGCCCCACAUGAAUCGGGACAUAACAUGGUAUGUGGAGCGGUGCUUGACCUGUGGAAGGUCAAGGCCGAACAUCAGAGACCACAUGGAAAUAUGCAGUCGUUGGAUAUUCCUAUGUGGAAAUGGGUAGAUAUCACCAUGGACUUUAUCACCAAACUUCCCAGGACCACACAGGGAGUGGAUUCCAUAUGGGUUACUGUGGAUCGGUUGACUAAGAGCGCCCAUUUUAUACCGAUCCAAGAGAGUAUGUCGGCGGAAAAUUUGGCCGACAUCUACAUUCGAGAGGUGGUAGCACGGAACGGGGUGCCAGUAUCAGUGAUUUUUGACAGGGAAGUGCGGUUUACUUCCAGGUUUUGGAAGAAAUUCCACGAGGAGUUGGGUAGUCGCCUCCACUUUAGCACCGCUUUUCAUCCGCAUACGGAUGGUAAAAGCGAGCAGACCAUCCAGAAUCUGGAGGAUAUGCUGCGGGCAUGUGUUCUAGACUUCAGUGGUAGCUGGGAUACUUAUCUCCCAUUGGCUAAAUUCUCCUACAACAACAGAUACCACACGAGUAUUGAUCGUACUCCAUUUGAGAUGUUAUACAGGAGGAAGUGCAGGACCCCGAUAUGUUGGGGUGAGGUUGGCCAGAGGGUCAUGGGGAGCACCGAAGUGGUGCUCAAGACGACAGAGAGGAUCCAGCAGGUGAGGAGCACGCUCCAGACUGCACGGAGUCGACAGAAAAGCUACACCGACAAGCGCCUUUCAGACCUGGAAUUCCAGGUCGGGGAUAUGGUUCCUCUGAAGGUGUCGCCAUGGAAACGAUUUAGGAAGCGGGGCAAGCUGGGCCCCAGGUACAUUGGACCCUUCAGGGUUAUAGCCCGGGUGGGCAGGGUGGCAUAUCGUCUAGGUUUGGCAGCCGAACUCAGUCGGAUCCACAACACUUUCCACGUCUCCCAGCUGCGGAAGUGCCUGGUGGACGACUCGGCGGUGGUGCCCCUAGAGGAUAUUCAGGUUGAUGACAGCCUGAACUACAUUGAGCGGCAUGUGGCGAUCCAUGACCGGAAGUCGAAGGAUCUGAGGAACAAGAAGGUUGAGGUGGUGAAGGUGUAAUGGUAGCACCAGAAGGGCUCGGAGUGGACGUAGGAGCCAGUGGAUGAGAUGAAGGAGCAUUAUCCGGAGCUUUUCUAAGAUAGAGUAGCAGACUUCGAGGAAGAAAUCUAAAAUAAGUGGGGGAGAUUUGUAGCACCCGGUUCCUGGUAUGUAUUUCAUUCAAGUACUUUUCACAAUUUGGACUGAGACUCGGCGAGUUGGUGGCCCAACUCGUCGAGUAGUAGCGACUUGGACCCGGGGGUUAAGUGGCGGACUCGUCGAGUCGGCGACAUGACUCGACAAGUAGACUCUGGCUAGACAAAACCCUAUUCCAAGGGUUUGCACCCUAUUUAAACGUCUUAUUCAACCGCCAUCGUCCCUUAUGCUCUCAGAACCCCCUCACAUCAAACCCUAAUCGUCCUUGUUGAAGAUUUAAGGCCUUUUUGGUGAUUCUUAGUGGUUUGUGGUGGAAAGAAGGAAGGAGAAGCUUGAGGAACCAAGAGGUUGGCCAGAGGAGUCAAACUUGUGCAUCAUCUACAAUUCUUGGAAGGUAUAAAGUCGACACCUUGCUUCUUCUUGUAUUAGAUCCCCUUUUGGGGAGAUUUAGGGCUUUUAUGAGCCAUUCUUGGUGACCAACCAUGAUUGCAAGCAUGGUGGGGGCUAAGGAUUCAGAUCCAGGGUCAUUAAGGGGUUAGAAGGCAGAAAGGGACUGCCUUUGCACCCAUGGAAAGCCCCAUGCAACUCAAGAGCUUCUUUUAGGGUCUUUUUAGCUCAUAAUCCCAUGCAUGCACGUAAAGUUCAUAACUUUAUGUGAUAGAUAUAUCUUAGGAGCCUAGAUCUAUCAUUUGGACAAGUGUUGUACAUCAGAAAUCGAGAAAUGAGACUUGGAUAACCUCGACUCAGCGAGUUGUUCUUGGAACUCGGCGAGUCCGCGACUUGAUUCCCUUUCUCCUGUUAGGGUUCAAAGGAACCCUGCGAGUGUUAGAAUGAUAUUAGAAGGGUUCGGGGGAGUGACCCAAUGCAUUAGGCUUAGCCAUAGACUUGGAGUUCAUAGGACUCGAUGGGUGCAUGAGAAGAAUCGGCGAGUCCAAGGCAAUCUCCCAACUUUUGAAGAUGAACGCGAUGAGUUGUUCAUGGAAUUCGGCGAGUCAAGAAUAGGACUUGGUUAUCGGAUGAGGGUGAAAUCGAAGGGUUGUUCAUACAACUAGGCAAGUAGGAUGAAGGUUCAUUCGAGAUUGUUUUAGAAGGAGAACUCGUUGAGUCAUUGCUAAACUCGACGAGUAGAAGCGUGAAGAAGGACAAAUGAAGGGUAGGGACUUGAUGAGUUGGAGGCCCAACUCGACGAGUCAGGUCAACUGGAGGUUGACUUUGACUUUGACUUGGUCAGGGGUAAAGUAGUCAUUUUACCCUAAGAACAGUUAUCAAUGUCUGACUAAGUGUUUUAUGGGAAUUAUAGCCGGAGGAUCACCGGAGCAGCAGUCAGACAUCUGUCGAGCAACUUUUCAGCAGUCAGGCUUACGAGGUGAAUUACCUUCCAGUAGGGUUGGGUCUAAGGCUACAAUGCCGACCCACCAGUAGAUGAUUAUGGUUGAGAUGGUUAUGUUUGUGAUAAUUGUCUGGUUGCUAUAUCUGUGCUGAGUAUAUGUUAAGUAGUAGUAGGGCACACUAGCCCUGGUUACUGGUUGAAAGAUAUCGAGGCCGAUUAUCGGUUGAAAGAUACCGAAGGGGUGGACAAAACCCACACAUGUAUAGUAGUAUUAUUAUGAUAUGUCAUUAUGUGACUCGGUAUGCUUAUGUAUGUUAUUAUGAAACCAAUAUGUUUAUGACCUAUAAUAUGUGAUAGGGAUAGGGGUGAAAUAGUCCCCAGAUACCGAUUGAAAGAUACCGAAGGGGUGGUUAGUUCCCGGAUACCGGUUCAAAGAUACCGAAGGGGAGAGUAGCUCCCAGUUACCGGUUGUAAGAUACCGAAGGGGAGGAUAGUUCCCGCUUACCGGUUGAAAGAUACCGAAGGGGAGGGUAGCUCCUGGUUACCGAUUGAAAGAUACCGAAGGGGAGGGUAGCUCCUGGUUACCGAUUGAAAGAUACCGAAGGGGAGGGUAGCUCCCGGUGGACGGUUGAAUAAUACCGAUGAUUAUGUGCUAUGGGUAUGACGGGGGAACUCACUAAGCUUCGUUCUUAUAGUUUUAGUUUUGGUUUCAGGUACCUCUUCGUCUAAGGGGAAGUAGCCUGCGGUGUAGCAACACAUCACACACACACACAUGUUUUCCGCAUGGAGUUUCCUGGGAAUGUACUCUGAUUUAUUUUACUUUUGACAAAAUGGUUUAUGGUGACAUGUUUUGGAUUAUUGAGACAUUGGUUUUGACAUGAGAUAUCAUUAUGAAUGUUUUUAUAUCGAUGGUUUUUAUGUUAUAAUUUAUUUAAAAACGAAAAUUUUGGCCUUGAAUUUUGGGAUGUUACAAAUUUUGCAUGAUGUUUAGUUGGGCUAUAUUUUUUUACAUGAUGGUGGAUGUGAUGGGCCUAGGACAUGGAGGUGACAAAUUCAGGGAUCCACCACCUUCGGUAGGCUUUGGUCACAGACAUCACGAUCGGGAUGGUAAGUAUUAUGAUAUAUUUACUAACUAAUUCUAUUAAUUUAUUAUAUGAUAUCAAUAAUAUUUUUAAUUCUAUGUUUUUAUCUGAGCUUCCUAAAAAAAGAAGGGGUCUAUUAAAAAAUAUCCAGCUAGGAAAGUCGAUACGGGUAAACAAGGGAAAGCCCGUGGAGUUGGAGUUCGAUAGGGAGAUCACGUAUUCCCCUGUCGGGAAGCGUGAUAAUUGGUUUACCCAUGAGAUUGGGAGAUAUAUGCGGAUGGACAUGUUGGAUAAGGUGUCAAAGUCCAUAACUAUUUCUAUUAUGUACUUGACCUGGUUUGGCAUGGUCCAGUUGGGUUGCAUGGCAUCAUGCAUUUGGAUAGAGUAAAAUGAGAGAAAUAACACUUUUGGUUUGUUAAUAUAUUAUAAGUUCUAAUAUAUUAAUAGUAUUAUUUAAUUAGUAUUGAUCAAGAAUUAAUUUAGAAUUGAUUAAGUGAUCAAAAGAAGAAUAAUUAAAUAUAUGGAUUGAUUGUGUAAAUCACUCAUACUUCUAUAGUAGGCUAAUGCUCCAUGGAUAAUCAAGUUUGGCUAAAACCCAUAGGAUGCUUCAUGGAUGCUCCAUGGUGGUUAUAUAACCCUGGGUCAUGGAAAUGAAAGGUCAUGACAAUUAGGGUUUACAUGGUGUAACCCUAAUUGUAACACACUAUAUAAGCAUCAUGUUACACACCAAAAUCGGCACCUAAGAGAACAAAGGAGGGAAAGUCGAUUUCUAAGUGUUCUACAUAUCUCUCAAGUUUAUUCCAAGUGCAUUUGGUGUUGUGUGAGACAUUUGAGGCAUCAGACUUGGGGUGCUAGGCUCACAAGGUUUCAAGGAAUCCAAAUCACUUCAAGGUAUGUAAUUCUAGCAAACUUUCAUGAUUAAAGUUCCCCAUGUAUGCUAGAUAGGAUUAAGAACCUUGGAAUUAAAAUUUUGCAUAUAUUUUUGACAAACAUAGAUCCAAGGUUUUAAGGGUUGCGUGUACACCUUAGUAGUGUUAGAAUGCUCAAAACCCUACAGUGGUAUCAGAGCCUAGGUUUGUGUGUUUGAUACUUGAUGCAAAAUAGUGAAAAAGUCGAAUUUCUUGCUGUCUGCACAGGGAACUCGCCGAGUCCAUGGGAGGACUCGCCGAGUCCAAGCAUAUCUUCAACCAACUCGGCGAGUCACUUCCUGCACUCGUUGAGUUGGCCAUGCAGAGUGUAGUUUUUCGACUUUUGCUGCUGGAAAUGGACUAGAAACAUUACCCUAAACUGUGUUGGUGUUAUAAAACUUGUUUUAGUUGGUGUAAUGGUUGUUCUAACCCAUUUACAAUGGGUAAUAUCAAAAUUCCAUGAUUAUAUGUGUUCGUAUGUUCUUGAAAAUUUGAUAUGAAUAUUGAUGUCUAUAGGAGUUCUUGAUAGAUCAUAUGAAUUACUUGUUUAAUGCUUAAUUCAUGAUCUUUAUGUGUUUUAAUGGAGUCCUUAACUUGUCCUCAAGUUAUGGAUAAGCAAAAGUCACUUUGUAUUAAACCCAUUAAAACAACACAUAAGUUACAAAAAAUGAAGAGUCUUCAUUUUAAUAACUCAUAAGUUAUGAAUUGAAAGGUUUAGUUAAGUUACAAUACUUGCCCUCAAGUUUUGGAACAUGUAAAGUCAUCUAAUAAACUGUGACAACCCGAAAUUUCCAUUAUGUACAAUCUAUAUCACUUCAAUAGAAGUUAUAGUGGUUACUGUUAAUUUUCAGACUUUUUCACAUAAGUUUGAGUAAUUCAAGGUUUACAUUUCAGGAAAUAUCAGGAGAGUGGGUGCAAUAGGGUUUUGUGCAACACUGUUAUUCCAACACUCUAUUAUAUUAGAGAUCAUUUCAGGAAUAAAAAUAUUUUCUGCCAAAAAUAUUUCAGGACUAUAAAUAGAUUUCUGAACCAAAUUCAUUCAUUAUUCACAUUUCCAACUAGAGAAAAGCCAUUUUCUCUCUCACGGAUCUUCGGGUUUUUAUACCAAAACGUGAGUAACUCUUUCUAGUAGUGAUUAGAAUGCUUAUUAGAUGCUUAUAACAUGAUUUAGAUGGCUAAAUCAUUAGAUCUAGGAGUUUACUCCCCAAGGUGUUCUUGGGCGGUAAACUCCCGAAACGAAGCCAAAACCGACCUUUGUAUUAUACAACUGCUUAGGACUCUUAUGCAUGAGUGUUAGGGACAAGGAAACAACCAAAAUCCACCCAAGUUUGGGAGUUUACGACCCUAGAUUAUCAUAGGCCGUAAACUCCAAAUUCAAACACAUAAUGAUACUUUUAAGGCUCCUAAAGCCUUAGACAAUUACCUAGACUUGUUCCUAUUAAAUCUAGGGCAUUAAACACAUCAAAGAACACAAACAAAUGAGAGUUUACGGCCCAAGUGUAUCUUAGGCCGUAAACUCCAUAGAAAUGGACAAAAGGGUGUUUUUAAGACACCUAAAGCCCUAGACCUUUACAAGGAAUUGUUUCCACUUAAUUGAAGGACCAAAACUCAUCCAAAUCACUUAACAAAGUGAGUUUACGGCCAAGAGAAUGCUCUUGGGCCGUAAACAUGAAAGAAUGGCACCAAAGUGUGCCUAGGGUCCUCAUUUGCCUUAAACAAUUGUCUAGAACAUGUCCUUCAAAAGCAAGAGGCUUGAAAACAACAAAAACACCCAAUACUUAGAGUUUACGGCCGUAAACUCUAAGGGGAUUGGCCUCAGGGCCGUAAACUCCUAUUUGGAGUAUUUCUAGACCUUAAACCCCUCCAAGGAUGGAACCACCAAGUUAGAAUAAUUCUAGAAAGCAUUUGGGACUUCAAAACACACCAAACACACAUGUUUGGGAGUUUACGGCCGUAAACUCAAGAGUUUACAACCGUAAACUCCAUGUGUGAUGGUUUAUGGGGAGUAAACUCACUUAUAGGGUCCUUUGGAAACCCUAAACACAAAUACCCUGUCCCACAAUAACUUAGAUGCAAUCCUUAAGGCUUAAAACACUUAUAUAAAGUGUUUAUUAUGUCUAGGAUGUCUUAACUUUAUCAAUUAGUGAUUUAAGACUAAUUGAAUGCAUAUAUGUGUGAUUAUAUGUUCAUUAGGAUCGUAGUGUGUGUACAAGUCCUCGCUUGACACCUAGCCAUCCUAUACCGUUCAGUUCAUCCCAAUCACCAACUACAGGUGAGUUCAUACCCCUAAUCAAUAUUUUAAAUGAUUUUAAAUGCUUUAAUGGGGGGGGGGAAUACAAGUAGAAACAAACAUGUUAUUAAAUCAUUGAUAUGUAUUUUAUAACUGUGUUUGUCAUUUAACAGAUUUCACAUGCUACAAAAUGUGAUGCAUGAAAUGGUUUUACAUCUUAAAAGCACAUUGUUACCAAAUGUUUUACCUUUGAAAUGUUUAUUAAAAUGACAUCAAGUCAUUGUUAAUUAUUGUUCAAAACCCAUAAGAUGUCUUACAAAACCAUUUUACAUUCUUGAACUAAACUAUGCAUAUACACUUAUAUUCUUAUAUAUGUAUUGAUGUUAUAGUUUACAUCUUUCAUUUAGUUUCCCACACCCUUGAGUAGUAAGAGUGUAUAAACCUACAUGAUCAACCAGUUAUAUUACAGUAAAUUAUCAUAGGGAUAAUUUGAAGAUAUCAAACAUUACUUCUAUUACAAGGAAUCACACAAGAGUCAGUUCAUUCAUGAGUCUAUACUAGUACAUUACCUGAUACAUGAGUACUUACAGAUGUUUACCUGAUACAUGAAUAUGUUUACAUAUACUUACCUGUUACAUGGACACACAUACAUGAAUACCAUACAGGAACACUUUUACAUAGGUGCAUUAUCCUGUAUUCACUUACCUGGAUACUUGUACUUAGGACUACGAGGAUGAUUUAUUAGUACUUACUGUGUAAAUUGUCUUUCCUAUCUCGGUUCAAUGGGAUAGCUAGGCGGGACUUACCAUUCCGAACCCCACUGAUUAGCACCAGUGGUCGAUGACCAUCUACGGAGGUCUAAGGUUACUACUUAUAUUAGGUAGAUCGAUUGGGACUAACCCUUCCACCCACCUGCUGCUGCUACAGAGGACAAUUGGACAAUCUUCGGAUGUUCAUUAGGUUAUACCUUUCGCUUAUUGCGAUGAUUGUGUUACUCCUAGUACCCAGCGAUGACACUUACAUUAAUACUUGUUUUGGACAAUCUUCGGAUGUUCAUUAGGUUACAUAUUUCGCUUAAUGCGAUGUUGUGUUAGUCCUAGUACCCAGUGACAACACUUACAGUAGUACAUUUUCCUGUUUACUUUAUUUUGUGAUACAUUCACAUAAACGAUGAGUUAGACUAAGCACUUUUAGUACUAGUCAAUACAAAGGAAAAACUAUCAUUUUACAAACAAAACAUUCGGGUCUUGGUAGAAGACUACAUCUCAAACUGAUAGAAAAUAAGGGAUUUUCUAGGGUUUUUCAUACGUACAUCAACAUUUUCAUUUAACGUUUUACAUGGCCUUCAUAACAGAUUUUCACAAACAAGGCAAUGACACUUAUAUACUUAUGAAUUCACCAGCUUUAAAGCUGAUACUCGCUUUCAAAAUAACUUGUAUUCUCAGGUCAUCAGUAGACAGGUACGGAGGCCAGGUUUUGAGAAGACGGAGCAGACAAGUCUCGUCUUUUAUUUUGAUUGUAUAUUUUUGGUGUCUUAUUACAAUGAAAGAACACACAUGUAUUAAAAUUUACUUAUAAUGCAAUGGAUGAUGUUGUUGCUUGUUUAUUAUAUUACACUGUUGUGAUACUGUACAUGACGUCCUCCACCCCUGAACGUUUCCGCCGUUCGUGGUUUUGGGGUGUGACAGAUUGGUAUCAGAGCAUUGUUUAUAGUGAAUUAAGUAUAUCAACCCAUAAAAGAUAUACUAACUAUAAAUACAUGGGAUUAAAACACUCUGUCUCAGAGUUAUACUUUUAAAUAAUAAAAUAUUUAAGUAAGUAUACGUGCCUGCAUUCAUACUAAAAUCAGUGUCACAACGACAAGAACAAAAGUAUUACGAUUGUUGAAUAUCACAAGUAAGCCUGGGGAUAUAUGGUCAGUCUUGGGAAUGGCAUAGCCUGAUCAACUAUGCUGGUCCGAGGAGUGAUUAGAAUAUGCCCAAGAAUGGUUGUGAUAUGGCAACAAGUCUAAAAACUUACCAACACAACCAUAAAGAAAUACCAUAGGGGUAUUUGGUCUUACUGUAAUUAUCUUAGUUAGUUCGUCUAUUUUAGCUAUUUCUUAUAUCCCUUUUCUCGCGUAGAUUAAAAUGGCUGGAUUUCACCAUGGCGAUCCGUACUUCCCAAACCAAGGCAAUGCUGGUUGGCUAGAGGCAGAACCAGAAGAUGAUCACCCAAUCCCUUUGGAUGAUCACCAUGCUGAGGGUUUUUCCGAUAGUUCUGACUCGGAGCCAGAAGUCAACAACCUACCCCCAGCUGCUCAAAACCCAAACCUGAACCCUCGCCCUGUGUUUCAAGGACCCACACCCUUGUGGGCCAUUAACUUGACUGAAUGGAGUCAGGAACAAGGUCAGCCCAUUCCCUACAAUGGAGACCGAAGUUUCUACAACCUCACUGAAGGAGGUUCUGCUGAUAGAGUCCUACCAAUCAUGGUGCGUAGGAUUUUUCGGAACUCGAUAAUAGCUCAGGCGACUAUCAAGCAAGUUUUGGAAGUUGACGCCAACUCUGGUGUUAACACUAUCCACAUUCGCCAACUAGAGUCUGCUCAUGAAAGGACUCUGGUCCGCAAUGCAAAUCUGCAGAGAGAACUUGCUGAAACCCAAGCUGAAGUUAGAGAACUUCGAGCUCAGAAAGCAAGGUCGGACAGGCGUAUAAGGGACAUUGAACGUCUACUGUCGGGAUCGAGGACUCAUGCUGGCAGUUCUCGUCGCCGAUAGAAUCUCGCCGGCUCAUCUUUUGGAUAUAACCUAGUUUAUGUAAAACUUUGGUCUAAUUUCCUAUCUGUAUAAAUCUUAGACCUGUUAAGGGUUCUCAUAGGUCGGUGGAGCGCGUGUGGUUAACCGGCACAUCGAUUGAGUGAAAACCAUUAAGGGUACCAAGUAAUUUGCAUGGUUUCUUCACACCUUGUUUUGUGAUCCUCGGCAUCCAGGUCACAAAACAUGAAGGGCACACUCGCGAUUGAAACAUGUCGUUGAAAAGUUCAAUGAAUCUCAAAAGAAUCUAGGAGUUUCUAAAACCAAUUAAAAUCUAAUAAUUUAUAUUUUGUUUUUCAUGGUGGAAAUUGGUGAAUCGUCAUUUACCUACCUUUCAAGUAUGUUAUAGCUUAGAUUACGACAUCCCUCUUCUAAGUUAUAAUAUAUUGUGAUUGGGUCCUAGCCGUAAUAUUACAUUUGAGUGUUUUAUUAAGGACUAUCCUUGUAUAUAAUCUAAACUUGUUUUCUUCUUUUUAGAGGUCAACCAACAAUGCUGCUUCUGGCUCUAACCGUACUGCCUCCUUCUCUCUCAUGAACCUUUGUGGGAGAGUCAUCUUUGAUUGUUCCAACUUUAUGGAUUGGAUCCGGAACCUUAGGAUGGUCACUCGUUAUGAGGAAAAGGAAUAUGUACUUGAUAAGGAUCUGAAGGAAAUUGAUGAGUCCACGGCUACCCCUCAGGAGAUCGCUGACUUCCGGGCACAUGAAAGAGAUGCUACCAAAGUGACAUGCAUCAUGUUGGCUACUUUGACAGCCGAGCUCCAGAAGUCCUAUGAGGACUACUAUCCUUUUGAGAUGCACCAGGAUUUGAUGGACCGCUGCCAUUAGAUUGCUCGUCAAGAGCAAUAUGAAAUCAUCUCGUCUAUGAUAAUAAACCGGAUGAAGGAUGGUGAACCUAUCACGGGCCACAUGUAGAAAAUUCAAAGGUAUGUGGAUCGUUUGCUGAAGCUAAAUGUGAACUUUCCCGACGAGCUAGCAAUAGAUAUCAUUUUGCACUCCUUACCAUCAUUUUAUGAUCAAUUCCGCAUGACAUACCACAUGAGCAAGGAGGAAGUUACCCUCAGCAAGCUUCAAGGACUCCUAAAGACUGCUGAAACAGGUCUUAAAAGGUAAGUCGGUUGUUACCACUCCUACUCCUACUCCAGACUCUGCCCCUGUCCUAGCAAUCGGGUAAGGUAGAGGGAAAAAGAGGAAGAGCCAUUCGAAGGGUACCAAGGGUAAGACCCUUGAUGGCUCCUCUUCAAGUGGAACCAAGAAAGGUUUCGUCACUCCUUCUUCUGAACCAAAAAUCGCUGAAUGCUUCUAUUGCUAAGAAAAGUCGCAUUGGAAGCGGAACUGCCCAAAGUACCAGCAAGACAUAAAGGAUGGGAAAGUGAAACCCACCCAUGCAGGUAUUUACACAAUAUUGUCUAAUAAAUCACCCUACUCUAACUCUUGGGUCCUUGAUACAGAUUGUGGAAUUCACAUAUGUUUUGAUUUGCAGGGACUAAGAAGAAGUGAGAAUGUGGAGCAUGGAAAGAUAAACUUGCUCAUGGGGAAUAGGAAAGCUUCACCUGUCACCGAGAUUAGAGUUUAUUCUUUUUUGCCAAGUAGUGGGUUUACAUUAGAUUUGAAUAAAUGUUGUUACUCGCCUGAAAUGGCAAGAAAUAUUAUUUCCUUUAAUACUUUGUACAAACAAGGGUUUACCUUUUCUUUUGAUAAUGAAGUUGGUGGAAUAAAUGAUUUCUUUAAUAGUGUCCUUUAUUUUAAAGCAUUACCUUGUGAUGGUGUGUAUGAAGUUGUGUCUAUUGUAGAUAACCUAGGAAAUAAUGUGUUAUGUAUUGAUUCUUCUAAUAAUAAUAAGUUGGAUAAAACAUCAUUAUGGCAUUGUCGCCUUGGACAUGUAAGCAAGAAACGCAUAGGCCAACUCCAAAAGGAUGGAGUCUUGGAGUCAUUUGACCUAAAGUCAGAUGAUAGUUGUGAAUCAUGCUUACUUGGAAAAAUGACGAAAUCACCCUUUACUGGUUCUUAUGCAAGGGGUGAAGGUUUGUUGGAUCCAGUGCACACAGAUGUGUGUGGACCCUUCAAAACUGCCACAAGGGAUGCUAAUCAUUAUUAUUUGAAUUUUACAGAUAAUUAUAGUAGAUAUGGUUAUGUCUACUUAAUCAAGCAUAAGUUAGACACUUUUUGAAAGGUUUAAAGAGUUUAAACAAGAAGUCGAGAAUCAAUUGGGCAGGAACAUUAAGAUGCUUCGAUCCGAUCAUGGUGGUGAGUAUAUUAGUAUAGAGUUCCUCGACUAUCUUAAGGAAUGUGGGAUUGUCUCACAAUUGACACCUCCUAGGACACCACAAUUGAAUGGUGUGGCUAGGAGGCAUAAUCGAACCUUUUUGGAUGUGGUUCGUUCCAUGAUGAGUCGAGCUUCGCUACCAAUCUCAUUCUGGGGGUACGCCUUAGAGAUUGUCGUCCAUAUCCUUAAUCUAGUCCCAACAAAGAAAGUUACCAAAACUCCUCAUGAGAUGUGGAUUGGAAAAGUACCUAAUCUAGACCACAUCAAGAUUUGGGGUUGCGAGGCUUUCGUGAGGCGUGAAACUCAUGAUAAGCUCGAACCUCGAAGUGAGAGGUGUAUUUUCAUCGGCUACCCAUAAAAAUCAUUUGGUUACCUCUUCUACAGACCCAGUGAGAAUGUGGUCUUUGUAGCAAGGAGGGGUGUCUUGAGAGAGAGAGAGAGAGAGAGAGAGUGAGAGAGAGAGUUCAUAAGCUAAGGAAACAGUGGGAGGCAAAUUGACCUUGAAGAAAUUCAAGAUUCAAGUGGUGAAGGAACUUCAAACCCUAGCAGUCAACCUGAGGAGGAAACUCCUGUUGAUCCAAUUGACUAGUCUAUACCUCUUAGGCGUUCCACAAGGGUUAGGGAUGCACCUGAGCACUACUAUGAUUUCCAUAUUACUGUGGAAGGUGAGACACUGGUAAGUCUGAAUGAACCUAAUAGCUAUACGGAAGCCAUGGUAGGCCACGAGUCUACUAAAUGGAAAGAGGCUAUGGAUAGCGAGAUACAGUCCAUGUAUGGCAAUCAAGUUUGGAACUUGGUUGACAAUGUACCAGGUCCUAAGACAGUUGGGUGCAAAUGGAUCUUCAAGAAGAAGACCGACAUGGAUGGUAAUGUACACACAUAUAAGGUGUGACAGGUUGCAAAGGGCUUUUCUCAAACUCCAUGAGUUUAUUAUGAUGAGACCUUUUCACCAGUAGCAAAGAUUAAGUCCAUUAGGGUCCUGUUAGACAUUGCUGCAUUUCAUGAUUAUUGAAUAUGGCAAAUGGAUGUCAAAACCACCUUCCUUAAUGGAACUUUGGCUGAAGAUGUUUACAUAUGUCAGCCAGAGGGGUUUGUCAGUACAGAAUACCCUAAUAGAGUGUGUAAGCUUGAGAAAUCCAUCCAUGGAUUAAAACAAGCACCUCGCAGAUGGAAUCUUUGCUUCGAUGAGAAAGUCAAAGAGUUUGUUUUUUCGAGGAGUGAAGAUGAAUCUUGUGUAUAUGUCAAGGCUAGUGGGAGUAUAGUUAGCUUUUUGGUACUGUAUGUGGAUGACAUACUACUCAUAGGAAAUGACAUCCCGACCUUGUAGGAAGUGAAGUCCUAGAUUGGGAAGUGUUUCUAUGUGAUAGACCUAGGAGAAGCUGCCUUUAUUCUAGGAUAAGGAUUCUGAGAGACCGGAGUAAAAGACUUAUUGGACUUAGUCAGAGUACCUACUUGGAUAUGGUGCUGAAGAGGUUCAGCAUGCAAGAUUCCAAGAAAGGAGAGUUACCCAUCCGGAGUAACACCAGAUUGAGCAAGACUCAGAGCCCGAGUACUGAGGCUGAGAUAGUAGAAAUGAGUCGAGUACCUUAUGCUUCUGCUGUAGGCUUGAUCAUGUAUGCUAUGACUUGUACUCGUCCUGAUGUAGACUUUGCUUUGAGCAUGGUCAACAGAUAUUAGGGGAAUCCUGGCAAGGUUCACUGGACCGCGAUAAAGAAUAUCCUCAAGUACCUGUGGAGGACUAAGGACUGGGUCCUUACCCUUGGUGGGAGUGAUGACUUGAGAGUUGUAGGGUAUAGUGAUGCUAGUUUCAAGACUAAUAGGGAUAAUUUCCGCUCUCAGUCUGGCUGGGUCUUUACCUUAAACGGAGGAGAAGUUACAUAGAAGUGUUAUAAGUAGGAGGUAGUGGCUGAUUCAACUUGCGAAUCAGAGUAUAUAGUGGCAAGUGAGGCAGCAAAGGAGACAGUAAGGCUGAAGAACUUCAUUGGAGACCUUGGAGUUUUACCAACUAUAAAGGAGCCUAUGGAAAUUUUCUGUGAUAGUGAUAGUGCAGUUGCCUUAGCGAAAGAACCAAGGGAUCAUGGGAGAUCCAGACACAUCGACAGAAAAUACCAUUUCAUCAAACAUCGAAUAGAAGAAGGACUCCUUGUAGCAAAGAGGGUAUCAUCGGAUGAGAACCCAACAGACCCCCUCAUGAAGGGACUGUGUAGGGUUAAGCAUCUCCAGCAUGCGAGGCGCAUAGGGAUAAAGGAUGAUAUUAGUUUUAGUAGUUAGAUAGCUCUAAAAUUUGUAAACUGUAAUUGACAUUCGAUGAUGAAUAAAAGUUGUGUUUAUUUAUGAGUAAAGUGUUGCUAUCUUUUGUCAAUCAUUUACUAUAUUUAUUUUGCAUGUUUUGACUUCCAGAAUAUUUAUGUUUGGUAUAUCAUAUUAUUUGAAUUCUCCACAGUCGUUCAUAUGUUGGAAGUAUGUCACACCUAAAAACCAAGAAUGGCAGAAAUGUUCUGGGGCGGAGGACGUCAUGUAAAGUAUCACAACAGUGCAAAGUAGUAAACAAGCAACAACAUCAUCCAUUGCAUUAAUCGUAAAAUUUUAGUACAUGUGUGUUCUUUUAUAGAAUAAGACAUGAAAAUAAGUAAUCAAAAUAAAAGACGAGUCUUGACUGCUCCGUCUUCUCAAAACCUGGUCAUCGUACCUAUCUACUGGUGACUUGAGAAUACAAGUUAUUUUGAAAGCGUAGAUCAGCAUAAAGCUGGUGAGUUCAUAAGUAUUUGGUGUCUUUGAUUGGUAAACCUAUGAAGAAAAGACUUGUAAAUAUUUGAUGAAAAAGUUUGUAUAAGUAUGAAAACCCUAGAAAAUCCCAUAUUUCCUACUAGUAUAAAAUGUAGUCUUCUACCAAGACUCAACUGUUUUGAAGGUUUGCUUCUCUGUAAAAUGAAGGUUUUUCCCAUGUAUAACUAUUAUUAUCAAAUUAUAGUCUACCUCAUCGUUUAUGUGAAUGUGUCACAAGAUAAAAGUAAUAGGUAAAAUUAUAUAAUCAUUGAAAUCAUAUCCUUUUAUCUAGGAUAAUGUCACACCCCAAAACCAAGAACGGCGGAAACGUCCUGGGGCGGAGGACUUCAUUUAUAAUAUCAACAACAAUGUAAAGUAGUAAACAAGCAACAACAUCAUCCAUUGCUUUAAUACAAUUGUAUUCUGUCACAUUUUGAUAAACACUAAAGCAUAAAUCAAAAUGAAAGAUAAGUCUUGAACAAGCUCCAUCUUCCUUUCUCCUUGCAUCGGUACCUGUCUAUGAUGACCUGAGGAUACAAGUAAUUUUGAAAGCGAGUAUCAGCUUUGAAGCUGGUGAGAUCAUAAGUAUUUAGUGUCUUAAUUUGUAUGUAAGAAUUUGUAAGUCUAUGUAUUGAAAGAAUUUGUAAGUGUAUAAGAAUUGUAAGUAUUUGUAAGUCUAUGCAUUGUAAGAAUUUGUAAGUGUAUAUGAAUUGUAAGUGUUUGAAAAACCCUAGAAUCCCUAUGAUUCCUUCUAGUAUAUGAAGGUGUCUUCUACCAAGACCUAACUGUUCUGUGUGUGUGUCUCUUGUAAGAGUAUGUAUUUUUCCAAAGUAUAACUAUCAUUAUCCAAAAAUAUAGUUUGUACAUUUAUGUUUAAGUGAGGUUAUCACUAAAAAUAUGUAAUGGAAAAAUUAACGUAGUACUAAAACGUAGCUCUAAAAGGACUACUACCGUACUAACUACCUUAAGCCGGAUUUUAGGCUAAGGCAUUAUGUGAUAAAUUGCACCAUACUAUCGACUGAUAACAACGACAUAAAGAACGGUCGUAAUAACGGAAUGACGUUUGGCACCCGCAGACCUGCAGGUCCGGCUGUAGCUAGCAGCAAGGUGUAGGAUUGUCAAUCCAGCAUAGAUCUAUACGCAAACUCAACGCUCCCCCUUCAAGAGACUCUGGCCGCAACUCAAGUCAUGAGGUUUUAAGUCAUGCUCCGAUUUAAAUCACAGUAAUUAACGUAUUCUCGUAUAUGUAAUGUAAUGUACUGUUCUAGCUGUAAUGUAAUGAACUGUUCUAGCAAGUAUAGUAAUGUAAUGAACUGUAAUGUUCUAUGUGUGCUAGCUGUAAUGUGUGUUCUCUCUAUCUAGCAAGUAUAGUAAUGUAAACGUUCUAGUAUAGUUGUAUAUGUUCUCGUCCUAGUAUAGUUGUAUAUGUAAUGUACAGUAAUGUUCUAGAAAGUAUUGACUCAUGAAUGAACUGACUCAUUGUAUGAUAUCGCGUUCUAGUAAUGGUUCUAAUAUCUUCCUGAACUACCCAUAUGGUAGCUUACUAGUAACCUAAGUGGUACGUAUGGACGUGGAUGUAUACCCUUGCUACCCAAGGGCAUAUGUUGAACUGGAAGGACCUUUUAUGACUUUAUAUGUACACAUGAUAUAUAACUAAUAUUUAAACGACCUUCGGACGAGUAUCCAAUAUCCCACCAGACCACAUCUCAAGGCGCGAAAAGGAAAUAGGGUGGAUAGCCUUCCUAAGUCUUUUAAACAUUUCUUAUAUAACUAUACAUAUAGAGGCAUGCAAUUUAUAAUAUAAAAGCAUAAAUAAGUUUUGUAAGACAUUUGAAACAUAAAUAUUAUUUUAAGAAAAGAUCGACUUGAUGUCAAUCUAUAAAACAAUUUGAAGGCAUAAGUAUGAUAAAACAGUUUUGAGUAUAAGGAAAACAUUGUUUGAAACACCGUUGUAAAUAAGUUUGAAAGGCAAUGUACAAAGUAAGAUGUACAAUGUAAUAAGUAGUUUAAAACAUAUGUAAUGUUUAUAAAAAUCAUUUGAAGGAAACUGUUUGGUAAAACGGCUAAUGAGUAGCCAAAUCUUUUGAAUGCUGUAUAUUAAUCACAUGUGAUUGAUGUAAUAAGUAAUAUAAUCCUACUUACUAAUCACAUGUGAUUGACAUAAUAAGUAGAAUGAUUCUACUUGUAUCCCCCCAUAAAACAUUUAAAAUAGUUUAAAACAUUAGUUAAGGGGUAUGAACUCACCUGCAGUAAGUGACUGGAAUUGAACGGGCUGUUAUCGUACGGAAGGAUCGGACAAGUGCUUGGUGUCAAGUGAAGACUUAGACACACACAAUGAUCCUAAUUACAUAUGAAGACAUAUGUAUAUAAAUAAUUAGAGAUUUAAUCACUAAUUAUACAAGUAUAAACAUUUAACGCGAGGACAACACUUUUGGUCAAGUGCUAGGAGGCUAAUGGGUUGCAACAAAGGAGUGCAAUGCCCCUAAUGGAAGUUUAGGGUCAAAAGACCAUAUUCAUUGGAGUUUACGGCCCAGGGGAGUAAGCUCCUGGCCGUAAACUCCCAACCAAGGCUUGGAUUGGUACAUUGAAUUACUACAACCUUAGUGGGAAUUGUUUCAAGGCCUAUGUAAGUGUUUGGGCACCAUAUUGACUCCUUUGGGGAGUUUACGGCCCAAAGACCCUUUUCCCUUGGAGUUUACGGCCGUAAACUCCCUUGGGAGGGUUCUUAUGGUUCUUUCAAGUCUCUAUAACAACUAGGAACAAUUCUAGGCUUUAAUACUUGGCUUAAGGAAGGUUUAUGGCACUAAAUGGUACCAUUUUAUGGAGUUUACGGCCUUGGAACCUUUUGGGCCGUAAACUCCCUCACAAAUGGGGUUCUUAGUAUUUUAACUAGUCCAAAACUCAUCUAGGUACUUGCCCUAAUAGUCUCAUGGCCUAAGGAAAGGUUUAGGGUGUCCUUUGACCCCUUUAAAGGAGUUUACGGCCCAAGAAAUACUCUUGGCCGUAAACUCUUCAACAUUUGUGCCUCUCAUGAGUUUUCUAGGUUCUAAACACUUAGGAGUACAUGCCAAAAAUAAAGUCUAAGCCUUAGGGAAAGUUUGAAAGGAUUUUGGCACUUAAACUUGGAGUUUACGGCCUAAGGAGCUUCUUGGCCGUAAACUCCCUUCUAGAAUUGAUUUCUAAUGGUUUUGGUGGCAUAAAUCAUGAGUUUAAGGCUUCUAGGUUUUUGUUCUAAGGCUAAAGGAACAUUGGGCACUCAUUUGUGCCUUCACUUGGAGUUUACAGCCCAAGAGAUGUUCCUUGGCUGUAAACUCCUAAAACUAAAUGGUUUUGAUUGAUUUCUAGCCUCUAAUGCUCAUACAUAAAGUCCUUAACUAGUUGCCUAACACGGAAAAGGGACUAGAUGGCCUUUAGGCUUGAUUUUGGAGUUUACUCCCCAAGAACGUUCUUGGGCGGUAAACUCCCGGAUCUUGCAUUUUAGACAUGUAAACAAUGUUAUUUAGCAUACAACAAGUAUUAAAACACAUCUAGGAAAGUAGACUCAGAAUCUGGGAUGAAAACCCGAAGAUCCGUGAGAGAGAAAUUGGCUUUUCUCUAAUUGGAAUUCAACUAAUGAACCAAUUUGGUUCAGAAUUCUAUUUAUAGUCCUGAGAUUUUUGGCAUAAAUUAUUUCUAUUCUCGGAAUGGAUUCUAGUUACGUAGGGUAAUGGAAUUACAGUGUUGCACAAAAUCCUAGUGCAACCACUCUCCUAAUAACUCCUUAGGUGUAAAACCCUGAAAACUGCCAAACUUAUUCCAUAAGUCUGAAUUUUCACUGCAACUGAUCUACUUCUAUUGGAUUGAAAUGGUUUGAUUAGAAUGGAAAUUUUGGGUUGUCACAGAUAAACAUGAUGCGAUAAAUCUCCGAAUAGUACAACCGAGAACAUACGUAGAUGAAUAGGUCUCGCUGUAGCUAACAGCCAGGUGUAGGAUGGUCAGUCCCAUAGCGUGUAGUGUAUGUACUAGUGUAGUGUAUGUCCUCCCUGAUUCUCAUCAUAGUAAGUUCUCUAGUAUAGUAUAUAGUGUGUAGGAGUAGUAUCUCUUAAUAUAGUAUGUAGUAGUAUCUCUUCAUAUAGUAUGUAAUAGUAUCUCUUUAUAUAGAAUGUAGUAGUAUCUCUUCAUAUAGUAUGUAAUAGUAUCUCUUCAUAUAGUAUGUAGUAGUAUCUCUUCAUAUAGUAUGUAAUAGUAUCUCUUCAUAUAGUAUGCAGUAGUAUCUCUUCAUAUAGUAUGUAGUAUAUUUGUAUAGACUCAUGAAUGAACUGACUCUUGUGUGAUUCCUUGUACUAGGAAUAGUAAAUAGUAUCUCCUAAACUAUACCUAUUAUAGUUACUAGUAAUGUAUGUAUAUGAAUGAAUGAAUGAAUGUAUGCCGUUGCUACCCAAAGGUACUGAACUGACUGAUAGAACCUUUAUGUCUACAUAUGUAUACAUAACAUAUAACUAAUAUUUAGACGGCAUUCGGACAAGUAACCGAUACCCUAAGGCCACAUCCAAACAAGGAAAAGGAAUUAAAGCGAUUUAGCAGUCCUAAGUCCUUUAAACAUUUCUUACAUAACGAUGCAUAUAUUGGCAUGCAUUUGACAAUAUAAAAGUUUAAAAGAAGUUUUGUAAAACGUUUGAAGAGUUUAAUAAUAAAAUCGAUGACUUGAUGUCAAUUUGUAAAAUGAUUUAAAAGCAGUUUGUUGGUAUAAACAGUUUAAAGCAUAAGAAAUCCUUUGUUUGAAAAAAUAGUUAUAACAGAAUUUGAAAGGAAAGAUUUAGUAUAGAAAACAAGUUUGAUAAAGAGUUUAACAUGUAAAAGCGUUUGAGAAAUCAUUUCAAAGUAGUUUGUUUGGCAAAACACAUAAAAGUAGAGUGAAAUCCAUUUGUGUGCUAGUUAUUAAUCACAUGUGAUUGAUAUAAUAACUAGUAUGAUUCAACUUGUAUCCCCCACCCCAUAAAAGCAUUUAAAAACAUUUAAAAGUUUGAUUAAGGGGUAUGAACUCACCUAUAGUGAGUGAUGUGACUAUAAGAUCGGUUUAGGAAGUUGAGUGCCAAUUGCGGACUUGAGCACAAACGAAUCCUAUCAACCACAUAAUGACAUAUGUAUGUAUACAAUUAGUGUUUGUAACAACAAAUUAUUGAAUUGGGACCACCUUAGGGACUAGUAAACACUUAUAUUGAAGUGUUACAACCAUAUAUGACUGUAUAUAGGGGGUAUAUGGCUAUACAUGGGAGUGUAUGGUCAAAAUACACCAUUUGUGUGUGUGUGCGGCCAGGGUGUGCAGCCAUGGUGUGUGUGUGGCCGCACACUCCCCAUGAAGUGUGUUAAAACAUAUUUUAAGGCCUUAGUACUCAUCUAGGAAGGUUUCUUACUUCAUGCUCUAGCUUUAUGUGGAGUUCAUUGCCAUUUUAGGACCUAAAAAGGGUGUGUAUGGUUGAACAUGGUGUGUUCGGCCGUACACACCUGAAGAUCAUGAUAUUUGGCGUUUUUCAUGCAAAUCUUCAAGUGUUCUUGGCAUAUAACAUGUUAUGAUAAGUGUAAAAACGUUAUAGAGGCUUGAAAGGGUGAUUAGGGUCCGAAACUAGUGUGUGUUCUUGGUGUUCUUGACUAGAAAUGGAUGUUUUUAAUGAUCAAAGUAAGGGGAAGGCUAGUUAAGUUCAAGUAUCAACUAUUCAAAGGAAGGAUUAAUUACUUUUAUGAAGAUCAAGAUGAAGAUUUGGAGGGUACUUGAGAGAGAAACGUGUUCCCGCUUUGAUGGAGUGGGGAAAAGUGUUCAAAAAUGACUAAGGGUAGCAUUUAUAGGUGGGAGUGUGUGGCUGGAAUAGGUGUGCGGCCGCACACACCUGUGUGUGGCCAUACACUCAAGUGUGUGGCCGUACACUCCAUGUGUUGGAGUGUUUGGCCCGAGUGAGCUUGAUAUGCAUCGUGUUAUCCCAUUUCUAGGCUCCUAUCUUAGUUUUACUAGGUUUAGAACGCUCUAAUAGACCUUAAACUAUGCUAAAAGAUAGCAAAACGAGUCUAACUUUGAUUACAUUGGUCUAUUGUACAAGAUAGAAAUUUCGGGUUGUCACAUAAUCCCCCCGUUAGAGAGAGUUUCGUCCCGAAAUUAGAGUUUAAGCAAUUAAGUAGUUAUAACUAACUAAACGAAAAGAUGAGGAUAUUUCAAUUUCAUUUAAUCCUCAUUCUCCUAAGUGAAUUCCGAACCUCGCUUGGCGUUCCAGCGAACCUUCACCAUCGGGAUGCGGCUUUGCUUCGUCUGCUUGACCUCACGGUCCAUGAUCUCUACAGGUUCUUCCACGAAGUUGAGGCUCUCGAUGAUCUCGAUCUCAUCGAGUGGGAUUACAAGAGUCUCAUCGGACAUACACUUUUUUAAGUUUGAGACGUGGAAUUUAGAAUGUACGUUACUGAGUUCGUGAGGGUAGGUUGAGUUUGCAAGGUAUAGGAACGAUUCUAUCAAGAAUCUUGAAAGGCUCUAUCUAUCUUGGAUUUAGCCUCCUACGCUUUUUGAAGCAUAUCAAGCCCUUCCAAGGUGGGACUUUCAAAGGAACGUGGUCUCUCUUGGAAUUCCAAAGGUUUCCUUAUCUUGUCAGCGUAGCUUAUAAAUUUGCGAAUUUCUGUAGGCGUCUUUGGUGCUGACUAAUUCUCAACGGUUUUGAUUUUGGAAGGGUCCACAUGAAUUGCCACUUCACUAAGAGUGUGCCUUAGGAAUUCGACUCUUCGAAUCCAAAACUCCCAUUUAGAGGACUUUGCGUAAAGCUUCUCUGAUCGUAAUGUUUCCAAGGUUUGUCAUAUACUCUUUCUUAAAUACGAGAGUAGAUAAGUAUGUCAUAUAUAAGGAUAAUGAAGAACUGAUCCAAGUAAGUUGGCAUACCCUAUUCAUUAAGUCCAUGAAUACUACAAGCGCAUUUGUCUUAUUCGAGAGGUAUCACUACGGACUCGUAGUAUCCGCAACGAGUUCGGAAGGCCGUCUUCAGGACAUCCUCCUCUAACACUCGUAACUGGUGUUACUCGGAUCUCAGAUCGAUCUUCGAAAGGUAAUUCGUUCCUUGCGGUUGGUCAAACAAUUUAUCUAUGUGAGGCAGAGGGUAACGAUUUCCAAAUGGUAAUCUUGUCGAGCUCUCUAUAGUCGAUGCACGUACGAAACAAUUCGUCUUUCUUCUUGACGAACAAGACCUGAGCUCCCCAGGGUGAGAAGCUUGGUCUUACAAAGCCCUUGCAACUAAGUUGAUUCUGAACUCGACUUUGACGUUGUGGAGAUAAUCCUGGGAGUUCUUCUGGAAAGAUAUCGGGAAGAUCAAAAAGAAAGUACGAUUAGUCAUGAAGUAGGGAAUAGGGUAGGUACUACUAUUCUACCUGUAUCCCUUGUCCCCGCUCAGCGAGAAGGCAUUUGAUUGGACUCUAAGUUUAUUUGCAUGGCAGUACGAUCACUCAUCUCCGUCCUGAAGUUCUUAUCAGAAGUCAUAUUUGGUUCAUCAAUCACAACUUCGUGUAUACGAAUCGUAUAUAAUUAAGAUUGAAAAGGUAGUUGAACAAAUGAUUCUUCUUUAAGCUCACAUCCAAACAAGGAAAAUAAGUUAAAGUGUGAUCAUCAAUUCUAAACCUGUAGAACCCUGAUUUUAUACCACCCUUGCGUAUACAUUUCUCAGCGAUAGAUCAAUCGUAUGAGUGUUCGGAUUGAACUUGACGUACCGUACGAGUGGCAUUCUAGGGAGGUUUGCUGAGGUUUCUUCGGGAAGGACACGAAACAUAAGGUACUAUAUGCACGAGUAACUCGGAGUUCUGGAAUGAUGGCUUCGCUAGAAAGGCGAUUUCGAAGAAAAGAAUUUACGCACGAAGCUGAGUAUCGAAUUGAACCAAGUUGUAUGAUAAAAUCGGACUCACUUAGAAAUAAAGGCAUUAGACUUGAUCAUAAAGGCGUUACAGAAAAAACACAACAGUGCAACUUUUAAUAGAGUUUCAGUACUUUAGCUUAACUACAAGACUACUGUUGCGAACAAGGUAUACUAUAAAAAGCAAGUAUACACAGCACGAGGGCCCCUUGACUGACGGGAUCUCGCAAAAGAUAAGACUCGAGUUGUACUAGUUUUUAACAGUUUAUGAGUCUGUUAAAACGAAACGCCUUAUAGUUUCAACAUGGGUCCGGAGUAGUCAUUCCUGCGGCAGUGAUCCUUAGUAUCUUCCCGUCUGCGCCAGAGUUCAUUGUUAUUGGACAGUCCUUCUCGAAGUGUCCUAUCUCACCGCAUUGGUGACAUAUCUGGCUUGCACCAACAUCGGUGGUGGAAGUGAUGUGUCGGGUCGGAGUUAUGCGGACACAGUUGCUUUCAUUGUUUCUCCUUUUCGAACAAUUCCUUUUAAAGUGUCCGAUUUCACCGCAAGCAUAGCAAGCCUGGUUGACUCCGAUGUCAGGGACUUGAGUGAUGGGUCCUGCCGGUGCUCCACAGCUACGAGCAUGGUUCCCUAUUUUGUGACAAUUUCAGCAUUGCAUUUCAUGGCAAGCCCCAUUAUGAUGAAAGUCACACUUCUUACACUUCGGGAGUUUUCCCUUGUAUGGUUUGAUCGGUGCUGAAAUGGCAGGGGUUGCCACUUGUUGCUAUUGCAUGGCAAGUCUUUGGGAUUGCUAGCGCUCCUUUUGGGCUUGAUGUUUUCAUUUCCUAUUCUCGAUUUUACGGAUUUGCAAUUCUAUGACUGUUAUCAUUUGUUUGCUUCUCGGAUCGAUACAACAAUCGGAAUUGUCAACCCCCUUGUCAGCCUUGCUUGUGUUGUCAGCGCUGAGGUUUUCAAGGACAGCUGCUAUGACAGCUGUUACCGCGGCUUGGAAUGUAGCGGCGUCGAUAUGAAGGAUAUGAGUUUCGUCGCUCGGCUGACUAUUUAUGGAUAAUGAAAUAAUUCUGCUAUACGAAAAAAGGAGUUCGUUAGUGAUUAUGGUUAGACCUAGAAGUAUUUCGAUCAUUCAUGUAAAGAGUAGAAGUAAGUUCUCGAGGAUUCGACCUACAUCCCAUUGAUGCAGUCCUAGUAAAGAGUAGAUGUAAGUUCAUAGAAUGGUCACAAGACGUUUGCUAUUUUGAACUAAGUUAUCAUUGGUGGGAGUAUGACAUGAUCCAACCUUCGACAAGAAUUGGAAGUGAUCCUUGAGCUAAAUUACCAUAACUCAAUAAUUUUGACGAAAGUGAGGUUUAGAUAUAGUUCCAAUGAUAGUAGAACGAAUGUAUUUAAACAAAGAUUGACAUAGAAAUUAGCUGACUGUCAAUAUCAUUGAUAUUUAGGAUGUAAUAAGUUUGGGAAAAUUGACCUUGUAGAAGGUCUUACAUCAUAUCUGGAGUAGAAAAGUUUUGACAGCAUAAAGGCCUAACUAAAAGUACUUAAGGUACUGGGGUAGUUACAUAGAAAAGUGCUACAUAGGGCAUACACAAGAAAACUAUUCCUUAUAACAAGGAAGGAAAGAUAAAGCAUCUCCUACUGAUGACGGUCAUCCCUCUGGUGAACCCUUAGUUCAGCCAGUUGACGUUCUAUAUCUAGCAGGUGUCUUUCGUACACCCUCUGGCAUACUCGGAGCUCAAUGACUUCGGCUCGAGUUUCAGCUAGUGCUUGCAGCAGAGUCUCGUGGUCUCUCUCAGAUCUCUCACGAGCAUUUUCAAGGGGAAUGGUGCAGAUGGUAUGCAUUCUUGCAUUGGCAUCAACCUCUACGAUACGAUGCAGAGCUGUCUUGCCUUGGAUUUCGUUUCGGGCAACUCUACGGACCAGGAUUGGCAAAACUCUAUCUGCUGAGCCUCCUUCGCUUAUGUUAUAGAGGCUUUGCUCUCCAUUAAAUGGCAUAGGUUGAUCUUGCUCUUCGCUCCAUGUCUCCAAACAUUCAACCCAAGGAGGCGUCGGGCCUUGAAAAGCCGGACGAGGGUUAGGAUUUGGAUUAGGAGCCACCGGGGGUAGGUUCUCAACCUCAGGCUCAGAUUUAUCACCAUACGAAAAGCCUUCAACAUGGUGAUCAUCCAAAGGGAUUUGAUGAUCAUCUCCUGGCUCUUCUCCAAACCAUCCAGCAUUGCCUUCGUUUGGGAAAUACGGGUCGUCGUGGGGAUGGGGUCCAACCAUCUUAUCUACGUGAGAAAUGGGGAUAAAGAAAUAAUUACUAGACGUACUAUCUAGAUAAUUAUAAGAUAAUCUUCAUCAGUUACUUCAAUAUUUGUAAAGUGCAUACCAGUUAUAUGUAAUCAAAACAGGAUAGGCCUUCGAAUAAGUGACCUUAACUCCAAAUUCACAAGGAACAAGGGGGAAAGCAAAAAUUCACAGAUUCUAAGUCUAUGUCAUCCCAGUUACAUAUAACCUUAGUGUAUCCACUUAGCAACUAUUGACCUACUAAUGAGGAUCUUUAAUUCUCAACUAAGUAAUUAUAGUAACACAAAAGUACUCCUAAUGUCUUCAUUGUAGUAGUGUUGGUAAGUUUUUAGACUGGUUGCCAUAUCACAACCAUUCUUGGGCAUAUGCUAAUCACUCCCCGGACCAUCGUAGUUGAUUAGGCUAUGCCACUCCCAGGACUGACCAUACAUCCCCAAGCUUACUUGUAAUAUUCAACAAUCAUAAUACUUUUGUUUUUGUCAUUGUGACAUUGAUUUUAGUAUGAAUGCAUGCAUGUAUACUUAGUUAAAUAUUAUAUUAUUUAAAAGUAUGAACUCUUUGUCAGAGUAUUUUAAUCCCAUUGUAUUUAUAGUUCGUAUAUCUUUUAUGGGUUGAUAUACUCAAUUCACUAUAAACAAAACUCUGAUACCAAUCUGUCACACCCCAAAACCAAGAACGACGGAAACGUUCUGGGACAGAGGACGUCAUGUAAAGUAUCACAAUAGUGCAAAGUAGUAAACAAGCAACAACAUCAUCCAUUACAUUAAUAGUAAAAUUUUAGUACAUGUGUGUUUUUUUAUAGAAUAAGACAUGAAAAUAAGUAAUCAAAAUAAAAGACGAGUCUUGACUACUCCAUCUUCUCAAAACCUGGUCAUCGUACCUGUCUACUGGUGACUUCAGAACACAAGUUAUUUUGAAAGCGUAGAUCAGCAUAAAGAUGGUGAGUUCAUAAGUAUUUUAGUGUCUUUGAUUGGUUAAACUGUGAAGAAAAGACUUGUAAAUGUUUGAUGAAAAAGUUUGUAUAAGUAUGAAAACCAUAGAAAAUCCCAUAUUUCCUACUAGUAUAAGAUGUAGUCUUCUACCAAGACUCAACUGUUUCGAAGGUUUGCUUCUCUAUAAAAUGAAGGUUUUUCCCAUGUAUAACUAUUAUUAUCAAAUUAUAGUCUACCUCAUCAUUUUAUGUGAAUGUGUCACAAAAUAAAAGUAAUACGGAAAGUUAUAUAAUCAUUGAAAUCGUAUCCUUUUAUCUAGGAUAAACACGACACGGUAAAUCGCCGAAUAGUACAACCGAGAACAUCCGUAGAUGAAUAGGUCCAGCUGUAGCUAGUAGCUAGGUGUAGGAUGGUUAGUCCCGUAGCGUGUAGUGUAUGUACUAGUGUAGUGUAUGUCCUCCCUAAUUCUCAUCAUAGUAAGUUCUCUAGUAUAGUAUAUAGUGUGUAUGAGUAGUAUCUCUUCAUAUAGUAUGUAGUAGUAUCUCUUCAUAUAGUAUGUAAUAGUAUCUCUUCGUAUAGUAUGUAGUAGUAUCUCUUCAUAUAGUAUAUAAUAGUAUCUCUUCAUAUAGUAUGUAGUAGUAUCUCUUCAUAUAGUAUGUAAUAGUAUCUCUUCAUAUAGUAUGUAGUAGUAUCUCUUCAUAUAGUAUGUAGUAUAUUUGUAUAGACUCAUGAAUGAACUGACUCUUGUGUGAUUCCUUGUACUAGGAAUAGUAAAUAGUAUCUCCUAAACUAUACCUAUUAUAGUUACUAGUAAUGUAUGUAUAUGAAUGAAUGAAUGUAUGCCUUUGCUACCCAAAGGUACUGAACUGACUGAUAGAACCUUUAUGUAUACAUAUAUAUACAUAACAUAUAACUAAUAUUUAGACGACAUUCGGAAAAAUAACCGAUACCCUAAGGCCACAUCCAAACAAGGAAAAGGAAUUAAAGCGAUUUAGCAGUCCUAAGUCCUUUAAACAUUUCUUACAUAACUAUGCAUAUAUAGGCAUGCAUUUGACAAUAUAAAAGUUUAAAAGAAGUUUUGUAAAACAUUUAAAGUGUUUAAUAAUAAAAUCUAUGACUUGAUGUCAAUUUGUAAAAUGAUUUAAAAGCAGUUUGUUGGUAUAAACAGUUUAAAGCAUAAGAAAUCCUUUGUUUGAAAACAUGGUUAUAACAGAAUUUGGAAGGAAAUAUUUAGUAUAGAAAACAAGUUUGAUAAAGAGUUGAACAUGUAAAAGCGUUUGAGAAAUCAUUUUGAAGUAGUUUGUUUGGCAAAACAGAUAAAAGUAUAGUGAAAUCCAUUUGUGUGCUAGUUAUUAAUCACAUCUGAUUAAUAUAAUAACUAGUAUGAUUCAACUUGUAUUCCCCCCAUAAAAGCAUUUAAAAACAUUUAAAAGGUUUAUUAAGGGGUAUGAACUCACCUGUAGUGAGUGAUGCGACUGCAAGAUCGGUUUAGGAAGUUGAGUUUCAACUGCGGACUUGAGCACAAACGAAUCCUAUCAACCAUAUAAUGACAUAUGUAUGUAUACAAUUAGUGUUUGUAACAACAAAUUAUUGAUUUGGGACCACCUUAAGGACUAGUAAACACUUAUAUUGAAGUGUUACAACCAUAUAUGAUUGUAUAUAAGGGGUAUAUGGCUAUACAAGGGAGUGUAUGGUCAAAAUACACCAUUUAUGUGCGGCCAGGGUGUGCGGCCGGUGUGUGUGUGGCCGCACACUCCUCAUGAAGUGUGUUAAAACGUAUUUUAAGGCCUUAUGACUCAUCUAGGAAGGUUUCUUACUUCAUGCUCUAGCCUUAUGUGGAGUUCGUUGCCAUUUUAGGACCUAAAAAGGGUGUGUAUGGUUGAACAUGGUGUGUGCGGCCGUACACAUGGUGUGUGUGGCCGUAUAUACCUGAAGAUCAUGAUAUUUGGCGUUUUUCAUGCAAAUCUUCAAGUGUUCUUGGCAUAUAACAAGUUAUGAUAAGUGUAAAAACGUUAUAGGGGUUUGAAAGGGCGAUUAGGGUCCUAUACUAGUGUGUGUUCUUGGUGUUCUUGACUAGAAAUGGAUGUUUUUAAGGAUCAAAGAAAGGGGAAGGCUAGUUAAGUUCAAGUAUCAACUAAUCAAAGGAAGGAUUACUUACUUUUAUGAAGAUCAAGAUGAAGAUUUGGAUGGUACUUAAGAGAGAAACGUGUUCCAACUUUGAAGGAGUGGGGAAAAGUUUUCAAAAAUGACUAAGGGUAGCAUUUAUAGGUGGGAGUGUGUGGCUCAAAUGGGUGUGCGGCCGCACAUACCUGUAUGUGGCCGUACACUUAAGUGUGCGGCCGCACACUCCAUGUGUUGGAGUUUUUGGCCCGAGUGUGCUUGAUAUGCAUCGUGUUAUCGCAUUUCUAGGCUCCUAUCUUAGUUGUACUAGGUUUAGAACACUCAAAUAGACCUUAAACUGUGCUAAAAGAUAGCAAAACAAGUAUAACUUUGAUUACAUUGGUCUAUUGUACAAGAUAGAAUUUUCGGGUUGUCACAAAGUAGGUAUCAAUCAAGACUGUCAUGAGUUGGUUGCAGAGGUCUAAGUUGUUGGAGAUGGCUACAACACUCAUGAGUGCUCAUAAGUUCUGAGUAUUGGAUUUAACCCACGCUCACUGGUAGCACUUCAUGGAAUUUAUCUCGAGUGAUCGUGAGAUGGUAAUAUCAUAUAAGUCUUUAAACCUUGAAAUAUGACUUGUUUCCUAUGAGUUUUGGUUAUGCAUUGAUCGCACAAAAACUCAUUGGUAACUCGAUGUUAUAAAACAUGCUUUUUUGUGUGAUUCAACAAGUAGUAGAACAAGCAUAUGAGUCGAACUUUAUCUGUUCCUUCUUGGAUUAGAAGCCUUACCUGGGCCCCUCGAUGAUUUUGUUUUGACCUUUGUACCGGGCCCGGUCAGAACUAAGUUGAUGUCUUCAACUAAGUUCUAUGUCAAACAAAUCGGAAAUAGAAAAACAAACUGCUGGGUAAUAAGUAAGACAUUGUUCCAUGUACUUGUUCGACUGAUAUCUAGAACAGAGGAUUAUAUGAUCACUUAUCUUAAAUGGCAUAUCGUCAUCAUCUGAGUUUCGAGAGACCUUGAAAGAGCUAUGAUUGCUGAUCGGUUCCUGAAGUCAUACUUGCAGUUAUAGUUAUUAGAGUCAUCCAAGUGGGAGACUGUUGGAUAAGGUUUCUAAGUCCAUAACUAUUUAUGGUAUGUACUAGACUCGGUUUGGCAUGGUCCAUUUGGGUUGCAUGGCAUCAUGCAUUUGGAUAGACUAAAAUGAGAGAAAUAACACUUAUGGUUUGUUAAUAUAUUAUAAGUUCUAAUAUAUUAGUAAUAUUAUUUAAUUAGUAUUGAUCAAGAAUUAAUUUAGAAUUGAUUAAGUGAUGAAAAGAAGAAUAAUUAAAUAUAUGGGUUGAUUGUGUAAAUCACUCAUACUUGUAUAGUGGGCUAAUACUCCAUGGUUUAUAAAGUUGGGCUAAAACCCAUAGGAUGCUCCAUGGUGGUUAUAUAACCCAUGGGUCAUGGAAAUGAAAGUUCAUGACAAUUAGGGUUUACAUGGUGUAACCCUAAUUGUAACACACUAUAUAAGCAUCAUGUUACACACCAAAAUCGACACCUAAGAGAACAAAGGAGGGAAAGUUAAUUUCUAAGUGUUCUACAUAUCUCUCAAGUUUAUUCCAAGUGCAUUUAGUGUUGUGUGAGACAUUUGAGGCAUCACACUUGGGGUGCUAGGCUCACAAGGUUUCAAGGAAUCCAAAUCACUUCAAGGUAUGUAAUUCUAGCAAACUUUCAUGAUUAAAGUUCCCCAUGUAUGCUAGAUAGGAUUAAGAACCUUGGAAUUAAAAUUUUGCAUAUAUUUUAGACAAACAUAGAUCCAAGGUUUCAAGGGUUGCGUGUACACCUUAGGAGUGUUAGAAUGCUCAAAACCCUAUAGGACAUCCCUUUCAACGUAUCUGUUUGGGACAAUGCUUCCCUCGCUUUUAAGGAAUGCAACAAUCAUGCAUCUAAAGGUAACUUGGAUACUAUUUUAACUUUAGUUGUGAUUGGUAUUUAAUUAACUAAAUUUUUUGUGUUUGUAGAAUAAUUUUGAUUUGGAUAAGGUUAACUUGGAUCCCGAGCAUUCAUAGUUGUUGCUGAGCAUUGAUGCGACUCUUGCAAAAAUUUACAGAGGUCGGAAAAGUAAAGACCAUACUUAUUUUAACGAUAUCGGGGGGCAUGCAGAUAUCCCAAUGGCAUUAGACAACCCCCCAAGGGUAUGUCACGUGAAAAUUGGGCGCAAUUAGUCAAACAUUUUCAAACGCCCAAAUUUUAAAAGGGUUCGGUGUCAAACAAAGAAGUGCGUGCAAAAGAACAAGUUGUAAAUAGAGGGGGAUCGUGCUCAUAUAGCAAUUCCCGUUUCAAAGAAGUAAGUUAUGUUAUAUUUAACUGUUUAUUUAAAGUAUAAUUAAUCUAAUUUUUAAUGUUAAAUAUGACAUCACUCUAAUCGAAGCAUUUUGUAAGACUAAUACCAAUCGCCAAGGGGUAUUAAUAGUCUUGAAGUUGAGCAAAAAUAUGUAUGUGGUCAAUUUGUAAUUUCAUAUAAGUGUUUAUAUCGUGAAGGAGUAUUUAGUAAUUUAAUUUUUAUGAUGUUUAUCAUUUUUUGAAAAUACAGCUGGCUUUACUCCAAGAGAUCAACCAACAAACCAAAGCUUCUUUUGAAGCAAGCAGCCUAACACCAAGUGAUAUAAAAAAUUGUUUUGAAAGAAUAUUAGGUGUUCGACGUGGCCAUAUUAGAGGCAAUGGGCGUAAACCUUCUACGGUUGUGUCUAUGUACGACCAGGAACAACCGAUCACACAACCACCACUACAAUCACAGGUAAUUGUUAGUUUAAGUUGAAAAGUAUAAUGCUAUAAUGGAAAAACAAAAAAAAUAUGAUGCUAUAAUGAUAUUUUAGUAAUUUUUGGUGUAGUAUAUAUUACAUUGCUAUAAUGGAAAGUACAAUGCUAUAAUGAUAUGUUGGUUAUGGUUUGAUAUGUUGGUAUUUUGUAUUUUGGUAAUUUUUGGAAAGUACAAUGCUAUAAUGUAUAUGCAAUAUUGUGUAUCAUGUAGUUUGGUUAUAUUUUGAUAUGCUGGUAUUUUGUAGUUUGGUAAUUUUUUGGAAAGUACAAUGCUAUAAUGGAAAAAUGAAAAAAGUAUAAUGCUAUAAUGUAUAUGGAAUAUUGUGUAUGAUGUAUGUUUAGGUGUAUUUGGAAAGUAGAAUGCUAUAAUGAUAUGUUGGUAUUUUGUAUUUUAGUAAUUUUUGGAAAGUAUAAUGUUAUAAUGGAAAAAUGAAAAAAAGUACAAUGUUAUAAUUUAUAUACAAUACUAUGUAUCAUGUAGUUUGGUUAUAGUUUGUUAUGUGAUAUUUUGUAGUUUGGUAAUUUUUUGGGAUGUACAAUGCUAUAAUGGAAAAACAAAAAUAAAAUAAAAUGCUAUAAUGUAUAUAUUGUGUAUGAUGUAUGUUAAGUGUAUAUAGAAAGUAGACGACAUGGUUGUUAUAGUUUGAUAUGUUGAUAUUUUGUAGUUUGGUAACUUUUGGAAAGUAAGAUGCUAUUAUGAUAUGUUUGUAAUAUAUUUUGUUUUUAUUGUAGAUCGAAAUGUUGCAAACAAUACUAAAGGACCUGACAUAUUAUGCGACACUAGAAGAAUGGUUUCGCUCAUUUCUGCCACGAAAUGAAAACGAAGGAAAUGAGGGGAGUGAUGAGGACGAGUAGCUACCCUUUUAGGAUUUAUGUAAUGUUUUGUUUGAGUUAGUAUUUUAGAUAUAUUGCAUUUUGUUUGGAUGAAUAUUUUGGACCAGAUGUCUAUGGAUCAAUAUUUUGUAUUAAAUAUAGUAUUAAGUGUGGUUAAUGUUUCGUAGCAGUUUUUAUGCGUAUUAUAUUGCUUUUAUACUUGUAAUGUUAAAUAAAAAGGAAAAUAAUUUAGCGGUGACAUGUAAGUAUUAGUGGCGACAUAACAUUAACGAUGACUGUAGGCAUUAGUGGCGACAACACAUUUGCGACGACAGAGGGCAUUGGCGGCGACCUAUUGAGCAUUUACAGCGAGGUAAAAACGACGAGCUUUUUAUGGUGACAAAUCGCCGCUAAUAGCUUUAGCGGUGACAUGCAUACUCUUCCGCGGCUACGCAUGUCGCCGCAAAUGAUCAUGUCUCUUGUAGUGGUAGCUUUCCCUAUAAUCAUAUCGAUACCUUUCACACUUACUAUGAAAAUGAACAAAGAGAUAGGAUUACUUGUUUAAAUUUUUGUUUAAUAGGGAAAUUGAAAGUAGGAGAACUAUCGACCCUUUUCCAAAAUUUGUGGUUUCGACCCCAAUGCCUCGGGUAUCUUGGAAUCUGAUUUGGGAUAAUCCAAGAACAAAUUGAUUUGGAAUACAUGCCUAUUUCAAUUAUUAAAACACAAAAAUACUUCUAGCUGAUUGUGUUUUUCUCAGUUAUGCAUAUAGAAGAAGAAGUAGUAGUUUUCAUUUGUAUAUAUAGUUCCGCAACGUUAAUCUUCCAAUUUUAUAUGAGGAAGAUAAUGGUUAUGUAGAACACAACACCUAUUUUAAAUGAACACAAAACAUGGGUUUUUGACAGGAAGAUGAUGGUAAUGUAGGGGCUCUGCCCCUACACCCCGCUAGGGGCGCUGCUCCCAAACCCUAUGUUCCCGAGUCGUGUAUAGAUAUCUAAAUAUUCAUUCCGGACCACAUAUCUUAGAAAUUAACCAAAAAGUACUUGACUAGUCUUGGUUGAAAAUCCUCACUACAUUAAAAUAUUGAUGACAUUAAAAUCACCAAUGUAUAUGUAUAAAUAACUCUAUAUCAAUGUUCUACAUUUGAAUGGUUUGAAAUGCAUUGAUUUAUUUUUUAAGUUGUAAUACAUACAUUUGAUUAGUAUAUCAAUGAUAGCCUAGAAUUUUAUAGAUAACUUGAUUAUUAAAGAUAUAUAAUACAAAAGAGUAUUAUGUGAUUAGGAUAAAUACUGCGAACAUUGAUAAUAGUCCCCAUUUUAAACACUAAUAUGGGCAUCUAGAAUGGGAGUUCAAUGAAGGUUGAAUCCCUAUUCUAAUAAAAGAAUAGUUUUAUUCUCAUUUCGACAUGUGUCAUUCUAUUAUGCUUCUUAAUUAAUGCAUAUGUUAUUCUCUUUUUGCCAUGUGUCACCCUAUUAUGUCAUCUAAUUAAUGCAUGUCAUUUAUCAACCUAUUGAUUAUUCACUAGUUUAUAACCCGUAGGAACCACGGUUAUAAAAUUAAUCAAAUUUUUAUAGUAAAAACUCAAAAUUAUUCAUAAGUUAAUUUAAAUAAAUUAUUAAUUUAAGAGAUAUUUUUUAUUAGUUAUGUGAAAUUAUAAUCAUUGAUUCAAAUAAAUAUAUAAAUUUUUUUUGGUCAAAGGGACAAUUUUUGGAUAACAUUCUCAAACCAACGGAUUUCCACAUUGCUUGAGAAGAAGAUUUGCUUGCUCGAAAAAAAAGCCCAAGAGUUCUAGUAAUACAUAAGCUAAGGACAACCUAGCAUUUUUUGGUCAAAUGGACAAUUUUUCGAUAACAUUAACCCAUUUCCACAAUGCUCUAUGGAGAAGGACAUCUGCUUAAAAAUCAAAUAAAAUCUAGAAAAUGAGUAGUUAUAUAUCUCGAGAACAGAGACUAUAUAUAUUUUAUAUAUUCAUCAAAUAGUGUUUUCUUUUUUAUCCAACGGGAACAAAGUUUUUGUGAAAACUGGGUUAAAUUUAAGCUAGUAAAUCUUGGAUUAGUAAAUUAUAAGAAAAAAACAACAAAGAAACAAACAAAGAAUUAUGUGCUCUAGAAUAAUUUUAAUUGGAAAAUAUUAUAUUAUUUUAAUUUUAAUAUAGCAAUUAUGUAGUGUAUGUAAGAGACAAGUUAUUUACCAGUGGUGCACAACCGUUGAGGGUCCAAAGAAACUGCAACCUAUCAUGUCUUGUGAAAUAUCUGUAUGGAAAGAACGAAUAUCAAAGGGUUGUGGAGCAGAGAAAUGCCACCUGGACGAAGUCAAAAUUAGAAUAUGUGUAGCCAAUCAAAAUGGGAGUAAAGAUCGAAGAAGAUAUACAAGAGUUAGCCAUGUAAUCAUAAUCUUCACUAUAAAGCAGAUGCCCAAACACACUCAUUUUCAUAACUCAAACAAAGACUCCUAAUUUCAAACACACUCUCAUCAAUGGCUGCCUCCACCAUGGCUCUAUCUUCUCCUUUCUCCGGACAGGCAGUGAAAGUAGCUCCAUCUGGUUCUGAGCUUUCUGGGAAUGGACGUGUUUCUAUGAGGAAGGCUACAGUCAAGCAGGUUGCAUCUGGAAGCCCAUGGUAUGGCCCAGACCGUGUCAAGUACUUGGGUCCAUUCUCCGGUGAGUCCCCAACCUACCUUACAGGCGAAUUCCCCGGUGACUAUGGCUGGGACACCGCCGGACUUUCUGCCGACCCCGAAACCUUUGCCAAGAACCGCGAACUUGAAGUUAUCCACUGUAGGUGGGCCAUGCUUGGAGCUCUAGGAUGCGUCUUCCCCGAGCUUUUAGCCAGAAAUGGUGUCAAGUUCGGUGAGGCUGUGUGGUUCAAGGCUGGAUCCCAAAUCUUCAGUGAGGGUGGACUUGACUACUUGGGAAACCCUAGUUUGGUUCAUGCGCAGAGUAUCUUGGCCAUUUGGGCUACCCAAGUGAUCUUGAUGGGUGCUGUUGAGGGUUACAGAAUUGGUGGAGGACCCCUCGGUGAGGUUGUUGACCCACUUUACCCUGGUGGAAGCUUCGACCCCUUGGGGCUUGCUGAUGACCCCGAGGCUUUUGCGGAGUUGAAGGUGAAGGAAAUCAAGAAUGGUCGGCUUGCCAUGUUUUCCAUGUUUGGGUUCUUUGUUCAAGCCAUUGUAACCGGAAAGGGACCAUUGGAGAACUUGGCUGACCACCUUGCUGACCCUGUGGCUAACAAUGCUUGGUCCUAUGCUACAAACUUUGUCCCCGGAAAGUGAGCUUAUUAGUUUUCUUUAAAAGUGUUUUGUAGAUGAAGUGUAUGACAAUUUCUUUGUAAAUUAAUAUGAUAUUUUAUAUGGUUG
rnacentral:lncRNA from 1 species